AAAGUUGGGCAGUGCAGAUUGCAAGAAACAAGUUGGUGAGUAUUUCUCUUCUUUUUUAAACAAUAUUCAUCAAUCAUGAUAAGCUUUGAAAUAAAGAAACAAGUUGUAUUGAUAUACCUAUGGUUGUGGUGGAACACUACUAGCAUUUGUGUUAAAGCAACAAAUGAUAGUUUGAGGCCAGGUGAUAAAUUGGAUGCAAAUUCCAACCUAUGUUCUAAACAAGGCAUGUAUUGUCUAUAUUUCAAUAGCGAAGAAGCUCACUUGGUUAUAAGUAGUGGUUUUGAUGGCCCAGUAGUGUGGAUGUAUGAUAGAAAUCAACCCAUAGACAUAUAUUCAGCAGUUCUAUCACUAGACUACUCUGGUGUGCUCAAAAUAGAAUUUCAAAAUAGGAAUGUACCGAUUAUCAUUUAUUAUUUGCCUGAACCAACCAACGACACUGUGGCCACUAUGUUAGACACAGGUAACUUUGUGCUUCAACAACUUCACCCAAAUGGGACAAAGAGUAUACUAUGGCAGAGUUUUGACUAUCCAACAGAUAGUUUGAUCCCAACGAUGAAGUUAGGUGUUAAUCGAAAAACAGGACAUAAUUGGUCAUUGGUUUCACGGUUGGCUCAUUCGCGACCAACUUCAGGUGAAUUUAGUCUUGAAUGGGAACCAAAAGAAGGUGAAUUGAACAUAAGGAAAAGCGGCAAAGUGCAUUGGAAAAGCGGAAAACUUAGAAGUAAUGGAAUAUUCGAGAACAUUCCAGCGAAAGUUCAAAGUAUAUAUCGGUACAUUAUUGUGUCUAACAAGGAUGAAGAUUCUUUUGCUUUCGAAGUUAAUGAUGGGAAUUUUAUACGAUGGUUCAUAUCCCCGAAGGGGAGGUUAAUAAGUGAUGCUGGAAGCACUGCUAAUGCAGACAUGUGUUAUGGAUAUAAAAGUGAUGAAGGGUGCCAAGUUGCAAACGAAGACAUGUGUUAUGGAUAUAAUAGCGAUGGAGGGUGCCAAAAAUGGGAGGAAAUACCAAAUUGUAGGGAACCUGGUGAGGUUUUUCGGAAAAAGGUGGGAAGACCAAAUAAAGACAAUGCAACAACUACUGAAGGUGAUGUGAAUUAUGGUUAUAGUGAUUGCAAGAUGAGAUGUUGGAGAAAUUGUAAUUGCUAUGGAUUCCAAGAAUUAUACAUUAAUUUUACUGGAUGUAUAUACUAUUCAUGGAAUUCAACACAAGACGUUGAUUUGGACAAAAAGAAUAACUUUUACGCCUUGGUAAAGCCAACAAAAUCACCUCCGAAUUCCCAUGGUAUAUAACAUUUAGUAUCAUUUUAAUUAGAUAGAUUUUUUUUAGUAUGAUUCUAGAAAUAUUUCCCUCUAUUAUGGCCGGUGUCGGUCUAAGGACAAUUGAAGUGCAAAUAAAAUUGAUUGAAAUCAAACAUCUUAACGCCACCACUUAGUUUUUUUAUUUUAUUUGUGUAUAGUCAAUGCAGGUAAGAGGAGGAUAUGGGUAGGUGCUGCAAUCGCAACUUCUUUACUCAUAUUAUGCCCACUCAUUUUAUGCCUAGCCAAAAAGAAACAAAAAUAUGCACUACAAGGUAUAUGGUUACUUUAAAAGAGUUAAUCCAGGUAAAAAAAAAAAAGAUGGAUAUGUAUAGGUUCUAUUUUUAUCUUUGAUUUUUUUGGUUAUGUAGGUAAGAAAAGUAAAAGAAAAGAGGGUAAGAGGAAAGAUUUGGCGGAAUCCUAUGAUAUCAAAGAUCUUGAAAAUGACUUCAAAGGACAUGAUAUAAAAGUUUUUAACUUUACAUCAAUUUUGGAAGCAACUUUGGACUUUUCAUCUGAAAACAAGUUAGGACAGGGAGGCUAUGGACCCGUUUAUAAGGUGACUUGAAAACAAAUGUUUAUAAUGUGGUAAUAUUUUUUUCAUGGUUGCCGAAUUUUGUUUCGGACAAAACAUAUAUGCAUUGGUUUUAGGUAUAUUUAGUAUAUGGUUAUCAACUUAAGUAUCCAUUAUUUCUUCAAAUAUAUAAUUUUAGCAGAGAUCCAUUAAAAAGCAUUUAAGGAAAUACAUCUAAAUUAUGACUUCAGGGAAUCUUGGCAACAGGACAAGAAGUUGCUGUAAAAAGACUUUCAAAAACAUCUGGACAAGGAAUUGUGGAAUUCAGAAAUGAAUUGGCAUUGAUAUGUGAACUUCAACACACAAAUCUUGUACAACUACUUGGUUGUUGCAUUCAUGAAGAAGAAAGGAUUCUAAUUUACGAAUAUAUGCCAAAUAAAAGCUUGGAUUUCUAUCUAUUUGGUGAGAAUAUGUUGAAGGCUAUAUUUGUAUGUGAUGUUUUUUUUUUUUUUUUAUAUGAAAAAAAUCAUAAAAUUGUGUAUAUUAUUAUGUUAUAAAUAGAGCACAAUUAUAAAUAAAGUUAUGGGAUCUUUAUUUUGGACAGUUCACUAAAAUAACAUGUUAUUCUAACUUAAUAACCAAUAUCAUGUUUUAUGGGACUCAUUAGUUAGUCAUAGAAAUCUAAAAUGGCAUUUUAGUUUUCUACUUUUGAUUAGUAUACAUUUUAACAUUAAGUAUCAUGUUUUCAUUGACAAGAUUGUACAAGAAAAAAGUUACUAGACUGGAAGAAGCGCCUGAACAUAAUCGAAGGAAUUUCUCAAGGACUACUCUAUCUUCAUAAGUACUCAAGACUCAAAAUCAUUCACAGAGACUUGAAGGCUAGCAACAUACUCCUUGAUGAGAAUAUGAACCCGAAAAUUUCUGAUUUCGGUAUGGCAAGAAUGUUCACGCAACAAGAAUCAACAGUUAACACCAAUAGGAUUGUUGGGACAUAGUAAGUUUUCUAAGCUUUCUUUAUAUCUACCUUUUUAUCGAUGAUUACACAAAAGAGUUGAGAUUUUUAACAAAAUUUUGGUGCAGUGGAUACAUGUCUCCAGAAUAUGCAAUGGAAGGAAUUUGUUCAACAAAGUCUGAUGUUUAUAGCUUUGGAGUGUUGCUUCUUGAAAUUGUUUGUGGAAGAAAAAACAAUAGCUUCCAUGAUGUUGAUCGCCCACUAAACCUAAUAGGACAUGUAUGUAAAUUUACUCCCAUUGACUUUAUUUUAAAAAUAUAGAAUUCCUCCUUGUUCCUAAUUUGAUUAAACUCCUAACAGGCAUGGGAGCUAUGGAAUGAUGGUGAGUAUCUACAGUUACUGGAUCCAUCUUUAUGUGACACAUUUGUUCCUGAUGAAGUGAAAAGGUGCAUUCACGUUGGUCUCUUAUGUGUACAACAAUAUGCUAAUGAUCGACCUACAAUGUCCGAUGUUAUAUCAAUGUUAACAAACAAAUAUGAACUCACAACUUUACCAAGAAGACCAGCAUUCUAUAUUAGAAGAGAGAUCUAUGACGGGGAAACAACUUCUAAAGGGCCAGACACCGACACCUAUUCUACGACAGCAAUUUCUACCUCAUGUGAAGUAGAAGGAAAAUAUAAGUAAUCAAUAUAUAUUGGUCAAAAACUGCAAGCUAGAAUGCAAGUAAAAAACGGCUUGAUUAUGGUAUUGGUUUCUGUAAUAUUCUCAUUUUCUGUGCUUGUAAAAUGUAAUAUACUCAAUUUCUGUACUUGUAAAAAUAUUAUCAAAAUGGUCUACUUUCUAUUGAAAAACUAGUUAGUUGAUACUUUCUAUUGAAAUAUUAUCAAAAUGGUCUACUUUCUAACUGUGCUAUUGAAAUACUUGUGAAAAAUGGCACACUUAUAUUUCAUUUUUUGCUUAAAAAAAUGUCACACUUUUCAUCGUUCUCUCUUCACCAUCUUACUUCACCGCCGAACCCACCAUCGCGCUCCACCGUCGUGGAUUCUCUCUCCACUGCCAAACUAAAUUGAGCUUCACCUUCAAAUCCACCUCUCUUCACCGUCAAACUCAUCACUACACCGUCGAACUCUCACCGUCAAGCUUCACACCGUCGAAUCUCACCGUCGAGCUACACAAUUCAUCCAUCGAGCUUCACUCUUUCUUUCUAAGGUAACAUUUCUCAUAUUCUUCUUCUGUUAUUCGCCUUCGUUUCCGCUUUCGCACUUUCGAUUUCGUUUAGAUCUUAUCAAAAUUAUCGUCGAUCCAUGCUGUGUUUCUGUUAUGAAUUGCAAUUUAACUCAAUUUUUUGAGUUAUGAAUCGAAAUUAACUUGUAUGUUUUCUGUUUGUUAAAAUGCUUCAACGAAAUUUUUAGUGUUUCAGAAUAUCCAAUGGAAUUUUGAGUUCUUGUAUGUUUUCUGUUUGAUAAAAUGCUUCAAUGAAUUGCCAUUUUAAGAUUUGUCUGAUGUUGCUGCGUGCGUAAGUAUAAGAAAUUUAACUGAAGUUUUGUGUUGAGAAGUAGUAGUAAUUAAUUAGUAGUGUGUCGACAUGUUGUGUUGAGAAGUUUUGUGUUGAUAUUGUUGAAGAGAUUAAGGUGUUGUUGUGGAGGUGGAUGUUGGAGAGGACUUUUACCCCAUCGUGCCUUUUCUACCAAUGGUGUUGGAAUCCUAGGUUGUGUCUUGAAAGGUAAUGUUGGCGGUUUAUGAGUUUUUCUGUUAGAGGCUGCUGCAGGGAGGGUUUUUAGAGUAUUGGGGUUUUGGUGGUGAGUUGCCAGUGACUUAUGUUGCUGGCCUGGCUUCUCUGUGAUUUGGCUUGUUAGUAUCGGCUUUUGGUAUAGUGCUUUGGGUAUUGUUUGUUAGUGCUGUUGUGGGUGUGUUUCUUUGGCUCUACCAUAGGUGUUUUUCCUUUCUCCUUAGCAGAUGAAUCUAACACCUCAACCAUGUCUCUCUCUCCUUCAAUGCUGCUUUCUGAUGAGUCAUUUAUUGCUUAUUUUUAUAUGCUAUUAAGUUUAGGGAUUGUUAUGAGAUUUUAGAGAAUUUUGGGGGAGAAAGAGAAAUAAGAUAAAAUAGAAAUAAGAUUAUAAAUAGGAAAGACCUAGUUUAGAAACAUUUAUGAAGACGCCAUUGUGCCAAAGACUGUUUUAGUUAUUGAAUAAAUUCCGCUGUGAAGUAUUAAAGAUUUUGUUAUUGAAUUUUAAAGGAUAAAUAGUUAUUUAUUCAGUUUAUGAUUUUAAGAAUGUGACAUUCCGUUUAUGUGAAUACUCUGAUUAUUUUUAUGAAAUUAAUAUGUUGGGAAAUCGGGGUGUUACACUAUAAAUAGAGUAGUCAUCCAUCACAAAUAUUCAUCCUUUCUUGGAAUUCAAUAAGUGACAAUUGCUUUUCUAUUAAAAGUUCUUUUCUUUUCCUUUAUUUUCUUGUCAUUUACUUUUAUGCUUUCUCUCUUCUUCCCCAUGUCUACGAUGAACAUGAGUGAGUAGACUUCUCCUUGUCUUGGGAUUGUUGGAUAAGUCUAAAUGACAUAAUCCUAAUCAAGCCAAGUUCUAAGCCUUAAUUUUAUGCAACCCUAGUUUCUUAUCUAAAUUCACCGCUUUAACAUGGAUCAACCAUUAUCAAACUGUGGAAACGAAAGUGGAGGGUUUGAUAAUUGUUUAUCCAUCAUCUCAAAUAUCAAUUCAUAAAACGAAAGUGGAGCUUUGAUAUUCGAACAAGUGAAUUUAGACAAGGAUUGCAAAGGCAGCGAAAUAGUCUUUGCAAUCUUUGAGACAUAUAGUUUCGAUCUUCAAGGGAACUAAUAAUAAUAAAGUCAGCGAAAUAUGCUUGGUUGUUAGAGGAACCAAAAUCUAAUAGUAAUCAAGUCAGCGAAAUAGGCUUGGUUGAGGAACCAAAAUCUUUCUUUGUGAUUAGAACUCUUUCUUCUUCCCCUUUUCUUCUCUUCUUCUUUCUUUUUGUUUCCUUACACUUGACUUCUUGGGUAGCAUAAAAUAAUAGAUAACAUGGCUGAGGAACACACUUUUAAGGAGUAUUCGAUCCCUUCUUCAGAUGAGCCAUGCACUAUUAUGUUUACCCAACGGUUGAAGGUAGUGGUUUCAAAAUAAAACCUGCACUACUAAGUUUGGUACAACAAAACCAGUUUUUUGGAUCACCCUCUGAAGACCCAAAUUUGCAUAUCUCAACCUUUUGGAGACUUAGUGUAACUUACAAAGACGACCAAGAGACCGUUAGACUACAUCUCUUCCCUUUUUCUCUAAAAGAUAGGGCCAGCAGUUGGUUCAAUUCUUUAAAACCCGGCUCCAUCACUUCAUGGGAUCAUUUGAGGCGAGAAUUCCUUUGCUGUUUCUUUCCCCCAUCAAAAACCGCCCAACUUAGGGGAAGGCUUUACCAAUUUACUCAAGAAAACGGGGAAUCUCUUUACGAUGUGUGGGAGCGUUUUAAAGAAAUACUUAGACUUUGUCCCCAUCAUGGUUUGGAGAAAUGGUUAAUCAUCCACACCUUCUACAAUGGUUUAACAUCUAACACUAAGUUAACUGUUGAUGCAGCUACAAGUGGUGCCCUAAUGAACAAGGAUUUUACAACAGCUUAUGCCUUGAUUGAAGACAUGGCUCUAAACCUUUUUCAAUGGACUGAAGAGAAAGCAAUCAUCAAUUCUUCACCCUCUGAAAAAGAGGCAGGUAUGAACGAAAUCUCUUCCUUUGCUAUCUAUCUACCAAGGUGAAUGCACUAUCUCAAAAACUUGAUCACAUGAAUACUUGUGCUGUCACACCUACUUCUUUUUCACCUCCAUGUGAAGCAUGUGGCAUAUCUAGUCAUUCUAGCAUCGAUUGCAAACUAGGUAGUGUUGAGCAGUUAAACUUUGUUCAGAAUGGCCAAAGAGUUGUUCAAAAGUCUCACAUUGAACUUUUAAUGGAAAACUAUUUUCUUAAACAAUCCGAACAGCUCCAAGAGCUUAAGGAUCAAACUAGACUUUUGAGCGACUCUCUUGCUACUCUCACAACAAAGAUAGACUCCAUCUCCUCUCACAACAAAACUUCAGAAACUCAGCUCUCCCAAGUAGUUCAUAUGGUCGGCCACCCCAACAAAAUGAAUGCUGUUUCACUUAGGAGUGGUAAGCCACUCGAAGACCCCAUAGGGAGAACCAAAUCCAAUGAAAGUGAGAAAGAGAUUUGCGAACCACCGCUUAGGGAAACUAGGGUAGAAAGAGAAGAACCAUGAGUUGAGGAAACCACACCACCUCCCUUUAAGCCAAAAAUUCCCUUCCCACAAAGGUUUGCCAAAUCUAAGCUAGAUGAGCAAUUUAAAAAGUUCAUAGAAAUGAUGAACAAAAUAUACAUUGAUGUGCCUUUCACCGAAGUCUUAACCCAAAUGCCUACCUAUGCUAAAUUUUUAAAAGAAAUCCUUUCUAAAAAGAGAAAAAUUGAGGAAGGUGAGACGGUUAACCUUACGGAAGAAUGUAGAGCCAUCAUCCAAAAUAAAUUGCCACCAAAGCUUAAAGACCCAGGUAGUUUCUCCAUACCUUGUGUCAUAGGGUCAGAAGUAAUGAAGAAAACUAUGUGUGACCUAGGAGCCAGUGUCAGCCUAAUGCCUUUAUCCCUUUAUGAGACACUGGGAAUAGGGGAACUUAAGUCGACCAGGAUGACCCUACAAUUAGCGGACCGUUCUAUUAAGUACCCAGCUGGAAUCAUAGAAGAUGUCCCCGUUAAGGUAGGAGAGGUGUACAUCCCUGCUGAUUUUGUUGUGCAGGAGCCAGCAUUGAUGUUAAAAAUGGUAAGUUAGCUUUUAAUGUUGGUAAAGAAACUGUUGAAUUUGAACUUGCCAAACUAAUGAAAAGUCCUUCUAUUAAGGACUCUUGUUGCAUGAUAGAUAUAGUCGACUAUUGCGUGAAAGAAUGCUCUUUAGCAUCAACUACACAUGAUGGUUUGGAAGUAUGCUUGGUAAACAAUGCAGGUACAAAGCUGGAAGGGGAGGCGAAAGCUUAUGAAGAGUUGUUGAAUAGAACCCCUCCAAUGGAAGGUUUAAGUGUGGAGGAAUUAGUAAAGGAAGAGCCAGCACUUCUACCCAAGGGGCACCGAAAGUAGAGCUUAAACCGCUUCCAUCGAAUCUAAGGUAUGAAUUCUUGGGCCCUAACUCAACCUACCCUGUUAUUGUGAAUGCAAGCCUCGAUGAAGUAUAAACUGAAAAGUUACUUUAUGUCCUCAAGAAAUAUCCUAAAGCUAUAGGGUACACCAUUGAUGACAUUAAAGGAAUAAAUCCUUCGUUAUGCAUGCAUAGGAUACUUCUUGAAGAAGACUAUAAACCCUCCAUUGAACAUCAAAGAAGGCUAAACCCUAAUAUGAAAGAAGUUGUGAAAAAAGAAGUUUUAAAACUUCUAGAUGCAGGUGUUAUUUAUCCAAUUUCUGAUUCCAAAUGGGUUAGCCCCGUGCAAGUCGUACCUAAGAAGGGUGGUCUCAAAGUUAUUAAAAAUGAUAAAAAUGAAUCCAUUGCUACUAGAACCGUCACCGGUUGGAGAAUGUGCAUUGAUUAUAGGAAGCUUAAUAAAGCUACCCAUAAAGAUCACUUCACUCUCCCUUUUAUAGAUCAAAUGUUAGAAAGGUUAGCUAAGCAUUCACAUUUUUGUUACUUAGAUGGUUAUUCCGGAUUUUUCCAAAUACCCAUUCACCCUAAUGACCAAGAAAAGACAACUUUUACAUGUCCCUUUGGAACCUUUGCUUAUAGGAGGAUGCCUUUUGGUCUUUGUAAUGCCCCUGCUACUUUUCAAAGAUGCAUGAUGUCUAUUUUUUCUGACUUUGUUGAAAAGAUAAUGGAAGUUUUUAUGGAUGAUUUUUCUGUGCAUGGAUCUAGUUUUGAUAAUUGUUUGACUAACCUUGAAAAAGUUUUGGAAAGAUGUGAGCAGGUGAACCUAAUCUUGAAUUGGGAGAAAUGUCACUUCAUGGUAAGAGAAGGAAUUGUCCUAGGACACUUGGUCUCCGAAAGAGGUAUAGAGGUAGACAAAGCAAAAAUCGAGAUUAUUGAAAAAUUCAGGCAAUACCUGGUGGGAUCAAAAAUCAUUGUUUACACAGAUCACUUGGCCAUAAAAUAUUUGCUAAACAAAAAAGAUGCCAAACCGAGGUUGAUCCGAUGAAUUUUGCUCCUCCAAGAAUUUGACCUUGAAAUAAAAGAUAAAAAGGGUGUUGAAAAUGUUGUAGCUGACCACUUGUCCCAACUUAGGGAGACCAAUGAGGAUGAACUACCCUUGGAUGAUUCCUUCCAGGAUGAUCAACUCUUCUUAUUGGCACAAACUAACGCACCUUGGUAUGCAGAUUUUGUUAAUUUUUUUGCAGCAGGAGUACUACCACCUGAGUUGAGCUACCAACAGAAGAAGAAGUUCUUCAAUGAUCUCAAGCAUUAUUAUUGGGAUGAGCCUUACCUCUUCAGAAGAGGCUCAGAUGGGAUUUUCAGAAGAUGCAUUCCUGAAAACGAGGUAAGUAGUAUUCUAACCCAUUGCCACUCCUCUUCUUAUGGUGGCCACGCCAGUACACAAAAGACUUCUUUCAAAAUUCUUCAUUCUGGUGGCCAUCACUUUUCAAAGAUGUGCAUCUCUUUAUUUCUAAAUGUGACAAAAGUCAACGCACUGGUAGUAUUACUAAAAGAAAUGAAAUGCCUUUGAACAACAUCCUUGAAGUAGAAAUUUUUGAUGUUUGGGGUAUUGACUUUAUGGGACCAUUCCCCUCCUCUUUUGGGAAUCAAUACAUAUUGGUAGCGGUUGACUACGUGUCCAAAUGGGUUGAAGCCAUUGCCUCCCCCACUAAUGAUGCACAAGUUGUUAUAAAACUGUUUAAAAAAAUCAUUUUUCCAAGGUUUGGAGUGCCAAGGGUUGUGAUAAGCGAUAGAGGGUCUCACUUCAUUUCAAAACAUUUUGAAAAACUUGGAGUAUGGCACAAAAUUGCAACACCUUAUCACCCACAAACUAGUGGACAAGUGGAGGUCUCAAAUAGACAAAUCAAAGCUAUCCUUGAAAAAACUGUUUCAACCUGUAGAAAAGAUUGGUCAAGUAAGCUUGACGAUGCCCUUUGGGCCUAUCGGACGGCUUAUAAAACUCCCAUUGGAAUGACUCCUUUUAAACUAAUCUAUGGGAAAUCUUGUCACCUUCCGGUUGAGCUCGAGCAUAAGGCUUAUGGGGCAAUUGAAAUCUUUUCUGAAGAAAUCGGAUCCUUUACGGUUAAUGGGCAAAGGCUUAAAAUCUAUAAUAUCGGAGAAGUAAAUGAAGUGGUGGCUGAUUUUACUCUAAGUGACCCUCCUUAAGGAUUUUUAUCCUUACUUUUGUCAAGCUAGUGACACUAAAAGAGCGUUUCGUGGGAGGCAACCCAUUGAUUUAAUUGUUUUCUUUGUUUUAUGUUAUUUCUCUUUGUUUUGUAGGUAAAUGUCCGAGAUUGAUUAGGAAAUGCAAUAAAAAUUAAAGUUACAAGACCCAGAAAGGUGGCACGGCCCGUGCCAGGAUCUAACACACAAAAUCAACCGAAGUUGGUAGCAUGAUGGCACGACCAGUGCUAAAGUUGGCACGGCCGUGCCAACCUGACAGGCCUCUAGGGUUCAAUUUUUUUGGCAAAUUGUGAGCUUUCCGCUUCCUUUUCCACUAUUUCCUUGUUUCUUUCAUUUUUCUUCUUAAAUCAUUGAGGACAAUGCUUCUCCUAAGUGUGGGGGGAGCCUAAUAAAGUGUCUUUAGUCGUAGUGUUUCCUAACUCCCUUGAACUUUAUUCUUUUUGUUUUGUUUUAUUGUGAAAGGCAUGAUUAAGUAGCUUGUUUUUAUUGAAAAAUCAUGACAUAAUUUUUUUUUAUUGUCUCCUCUUAUUGGUCGUUUCUUGUACAUGAAAAUAAACUAUUGUGUUUCAAGUUCUCCUUAUAUACCCACAUCUUGUUUUAAAGUGAAUAAAAAAAUGCACAAGUUGCUUCCCUUGAGUAAAUGUAUGAAUAGGUAUUUUAACGAAAUGCGUUCUAAUUUUAGUGGUACUUUAACCUUUAAAAAUUCUCAAAGUAAAAAUAAUAUAAGUUAGUAUAAAGGAGUUUAUAAAAAGCCAAGCUUAAAACUUAUUUCAAGGUUGCAUUAUUGAAUCUAGAUUGGGGAAGGAGGUAGGCCCUUCGACUUCCUACGUGAAGGUAAUGUUAUCUUGAAAAAGAAACUUUAAAAGCACGACACCAUUUAUCCUCUCCAGGAACAAUUCAAAAUCGUUGCCAGAACUUCUAAAAGCGUUGCCUAAUGGUUUAGGGGACGUUUUUCAGGUGUCUCCUAUGUGAGCGUCGCCAAUUGUCUAAGGGGACGCUUUUUUUGCACCUUUGGGCACACUGUUUAUAAACGCCUGCUGAAGUCCUGGAAUAGGGGACGCUUUUCUGGAGUAACAUUGGCAACGUUUUCCAUUGUUGGCAUAUUUAACAACAGUUCAUAAGCGUUGCCUAUUACUUCAAAAAUUAAAAAAAUAAAUUAAUUAAUUAGUUUGAUGCUUUUGAACCUUGAUUGAUUGGAUGCCAUUUAUACAUAAAAAUAGAGUCGUUCUGAUUUCUGUAGUUUAUGUCUUCACCAUAUUUUCAUAAAAAUUCAUAUAUUAUAAACUUUUAUCGAUACAAAAACUCAUACCAAUGGUUACUUUUUUUAUAACAUCAAAUAACAGGGAGCAUUUUCUUACUCAUAAAAAAGGAGUAAGUUAUGGAACAAAUCAAACCCAAGGGUUCAAACCAAAUUGUUUGGGGGCUACACUACAAGCAUCAACAUUCUUUAUACAUUUUGAUAAAAAUUACCUUACGAUUAGACAAACUAGAUAAAAUUCCACAACAAUCUAACAUAACAUUUCAAGUGGAAGCUACUUCAAUUUUGCCUUCGAGCCAUUUGACACAUACCCUAGUAUCCAUUUCCACUAGAAUGUGACCAUCUUGAUUAGUAGUUCAGACACCAACGAAGGACAAGUGCUUCAUCCAAGGUGCAGUCAAAUUUUAGUUGUGGCACGUGUCUAUGAAGGAGAACAACCAACAUAAUGCAUCAAUGUUUUGCCUUAAUUUCUAUGAAAAGCUUAGCCUUACUUCAUAUGAAUAAAAACAACCAACAUUGAACAUUAAGUAUUGACUAAACAAUAUGAAAAGUUUUGCCUUACUUUCUAUGAAUCAAGUUCUGCCAUUGGAUUUUGUUGAAAGCUGAGGGAUCUUUUAACAAAUAAAUCAAUCAACUAACACUAAGAGAAAAAAACCUCACGUGAUCAUUGUGCCAUCGUAUGGCCUGCGCUCAUGUCACCAUUCUCUAGUUUCUGAGUCGCUUUGUAGCGCCUAAGGCUGGGAGGUGCUGACCGUAAUGAAUUUCGUACCAUCUCUUGCUAAUUGAUAUCCCUUGCAGAACUUCAAACCAACUCCAAAACCCAAACAACAAAUAACACAAAUUGGGUUUAAAAUCACAAUAAUUUGAUUUUUUUUUAAAAUUAAUAAUUUGAUAAAUUAAAUAACAUACAAAUUUCAUCACCAUCAAUAAUUUGAUAAAUUAUUUAAAUUGAUCAAUCAUUGUUAAAUAAAAAUUAGGGAAAAACCUAACUGAAUCAUGAAACCUAGAUCCAGUGAUAUACAUAUGAAAUUGAAUAAACAUGAAGGAGAGCCAUGAACGAAAAUUACCUUAACAACCCGAAAAUGACCUCAACACAGUCUGUUGAAGAAUUUAAGGCAGCCAUCGCAGAGGAUUUAGGUGUGAACGGCGAAAUCGAACUUGCAGUCGUUUCUCUGUCACCGCACUGCAAAGGGUUUUGUUUCGCUCGCGUUUCAUAACGUAAACUUUGAAAAUCAAAAUCACGAUAGGGUUUGGAAGGAACCGCACAAUUAAGAGAAUUUGGGAGUGAGAAUCCAAAGUAGAUAGAAGAUAAGCAUACUUAGAAAUCAAAAUCGUAAGGGGUUAGGGAUUGGAAGAGAGAAAUCGAAUGGAUGAAGUGAGUGGCUGCAAGUGUACGUGUCUCUGUAUUGGAAGGGAUAAUGUUCUAAACUUCUAAUUGUGUAAAUUGUGUAAUUUUUAGUUAUGUGUGUAUUAUUUUAUUAUUUUUUUUUCAAAUGUGUUCUUUUUCUUUAUGGAUAAGUUCGGAUUAGUUAAGUUGAUUAUUUUUUUUACUAAUAUUUUUUUAAGGACGAUAAACUAUGUUUAUUAAUAUUUAUUUAUAUAAUUAAAAUAUAACAAAACACGGUGACAUGCAAAUUGUAUAAAAAAAUUAGAAAGAUGUACAAUAUUUUAUUUUUUCUUUUAAUAAUAAUAAUUUGGCCCAUACUUUUUUUUAGGAAGUGACCCAUAAAACUUAAUAUUAUAUUACACUAGCGAAAAGAUGGGCAUUCACGUGCUCGUCUUUCUGCUCUUUUUACUGUGCUAACGUUUGAAAAUUAAGAGCAGUGUUUUUUUAAUGAAAUUUUGAUUUUGAUUAAAAUUAAAAAUAAAAAUGUUUGUUGCUUUCAAUUAUAAUAAACCAAAUCGUUUGAAAAUUAAGAGCAGUGUUUUUUUAAUGAAAUUUUGAUUUUGAUUAAAAUUAAAAAUAAAAAUGUUUGUUGCUUUCAAUUAUAAUAAACCAAAUCGUUUGAAAAUUAAGAGCAGUGUUUUUUUAAUGAAAUUUUGAUUUUGAUUAAAAUUAAAAAUAAAAAUGUUUGUUGCUUUCAAUUAUAAUAAACCAAAUUAACUAGUGUCAUACCCCAUUUUGACUAUUUAGUUCUCAUUUUUACUCGUCUUUUAAAGCUGAGAACUUUCAUCGUUUCUGAAGAAAUUUCGGCAGGUAGGUUACUUUGAAGUACGCGAAAAAUUGGUUUCGAAGCGACAGUUUUAAGUUUUUUAUUUUUAUUUUAUUAUUUAUUUUAUUUUAUUUUCUAUUUGUUUAUUUUAUUUUUUAUUUUUGAAAUUCUCUUAUUUCCUUUUAAAAAAAAUUCUUCUCAUUAUUCUUUCUUUUUUAAAAGGUUUUAAGUUUUUUUUAAUAUUUUUUUUGUGCAAAGUCCAUAUUUGUCCCGAAGUGAAGUUCAACAAAAUAACAAACACAUUUUCUUUCUUUAUUUCACACUUAGACUUUUAUUUACAAGUAAGUAAUUAAUUUAGCACAAGAUAAUUAAAAAAAAAGAGGUUUCUAUAAAGUACUAUAUAGAUGUUUAGGAUGCUAAAACCUUUCCUUUGCGUAACCAACCCUUAAUCUCUUAUUAUUAGGGUUAUUCGAUUUUUCCCCCUUUUCUUGAAAAAAUAAAGCUUGGUGUUGAACUGAAAAUUUACGAGUCAACGCUAAUCAAUAGCUUGAUAUCGAAAAAUCACAGCGACAACUAUGAUUAUAUAUUUCAACGACACCAACUAUAUAACAAAAAAUAUAUAAUCUAAUUUUUUUUAAUGACAUCAACAACGAUAUUUAUUAUAAAAUAAUUUGUUUAAGAGUAUAAUUGAGCUAAUGAAAAAGUAAGUAUAAAUAUAUAUAUUUAUAUCAUGUUUGUUACAUUUUUUUUAUAUUUACAUUUACUCUUAUGUCAUUGUUACAUGUGUUAUUUGUAUUUAAAAUUGAGGGUAUUUUUGGAAAGAGAAGAAAGUCAACCCAAAAGAGCUGAAUGAAGUUAUUUUCUUUAUAUAUAAUAAAAAAAAAAUUAGAAAUGUGGUGUGUUGACCAGGCCAAAGUGGAGGGAAAAUUUGUUUUUUGGUAAACAAGCUUGGAGGGAAGAUUGUCACCAAAAAUUUGAUGUUGGUGAAAUUUUUAUGCAACAAUCUAAAAUUGUCCCCAAAAGUAUCUAAGGGGACAAUUAAUGGUUGUCACCAAAGAAAUAAUAUUGUAACGCUCUAAAAUCGUCCCCAAAGGUAUUUAAGGGGACAAUUAAUGGUUCUCACCAAGGAAAUAAUAGUGUAACACUCUAAAAUCGUCCCCAAAAGUAUUUUAGGGGACGUUUAUCAGGGGUUGCGAAAAUAUUUUUGGCAACAGCCAUAAAACGUUGCCUCAGAGACUUUUAAGGGACAAUUUUUACACGUCCCCUAAAAAAGUGUUGCUAGAGAACAAAUGGUGUAGUGUGCAUAGUUCUAAUUGUGUUGCAUAGUUCUAAUUGUGUUGCAUAGUUCAUUUUCAUUAUGCAAGAAUAAGAACAAUGAAGGGGGAAAUUGUAGAGUAUGUAAUUCAAACUUGUUAUUAAAACUUGUAUCUAAUAUUAGUUAAUUCAAAUAUGAAUGAAGUUUAAGCAAAGACAAAUUUGGUAGAUUCAAAAAAAUUUAGUCUAGACAAUUUUGCGACACUUUUUACAACUUCUCAAAAAUUAUAAAUGUAACACUUUUUUAUUGUUACUAGUGAUACAAAAAGUGUUACAAUAAUGUAACAUUUGCGACACUUUUUAAUUGUUACAGAUAAUACUAUAAAAUGUAACUAAAACUCUUUAGUAACACGGACUUUAUCUAACAAUUGUUCGAGUGUUGCAAAAUUUAAUUAGUAACAUUUUUCUUGAUUUAGUUACAAUUUUCAAGUGUUGCUAAAUGUCAUUAUUGUAGUAGUGAAUUUCUUGAUCGAUCUGGAUGUUCCUCUUUACGCUUUAAUUUUCUAGGUGCGUGUGAGUGAUUGGAUUAUGCGUUUCUUUUUCAAAUUUUGAAGGAAAAUAGGUAAUGGAAGUAGGAGACAAGUACAGAAACCACAACCAUAUGUAGAUAUGAAAAAUGCAAAUAAAUUUGUGAUGUUAAGGAAUUAAGAAAAAGUUAAAUAUUCAAUUGCCUUUGUUUAUUCAUUUUCGGCACAAUAGGAUUCAAUGCGACACCAAACUUGCUAUCUCUAUGCCAUGAAAAACGAAAACAGACACCAAAGAUAACACUAACAAUUCAAUACGACAGUAUUGUGAGAAAAUAUAAUGAUUAUAUGGAAUUGAGAAAAGAAACAUUGUAUGGGAAUAGAUGGAAUUGACAAAUACAGAAGCUGCAAAGAUGCGAAUAGAUGGAAUUGCGAAAAAAAUUAAAUAUAUGGAAUCGAGUGUGCUUAUUGAAUUUUAAACGCUACACUUUGCCGCAAUUGUUACUGUGGUAGACAUUUUUUUUUGAAUUUAUUCCUUCUUUGCUUUAGGUAUUUGUGAUUUUUUCAUUGUGCUUUCUGAUUUGUUUGACUGAUCUGUCAUAGCCUUCUCAAUCAUGAUUUCGCGAUUCUUCGAUAUGAUCUGAAUAAUGUGAAAAAUAGUUCUACGCUUGGAAUGCUAGCAAAGUGAGCUACAUUCAAUCUUAGCAGACUCCUCAAGUUUCCAAUAUUUUCAAGAAACUCACCUUUUAGACAUUAGAUUAUUGAUUCAACCAACCUAUGUAAUUUAACAAAUUUUGCAAUUGUCUAAGUUUAGCAAUAUUUCUUCAACAUAUAUGUUGAAGAAUUAUAUAAUUCUGCAUAGGUCCAAGAGAAAGAGAAUUGAACAUUAAGAAACAAGGCAAAGUGCAUUGGAAAAGUGGAAAACUUAGAAGCAAUGGAUUAUUCGAGAACAUUCCAGAGAAUGUCCAACAUGUGUAUCGAUACAUGAUUGUCUCUAACAAAGAUGAAGACUCCUUCAGUUUUGAAAUCAAAGGUUGUAAGUAUUAUAAGUUUCCAGGGUAGAUACUAUUAUAUACUGGAAGGUUAACAAGUAAUGAAGGAUACUAUAAUAAUAGUAAUGGUGGAUGCCAAAAAUGGGAGUAUAUACCAACUUGUACGGAUUAAGGUGAAGUGUUUCAGAAAAUUAAAAGAGUGGUAGUCCCAGUUAGACAAUACUGUCGAGCGUUACUGAAAUCAUUUAGUAACACAGUCUUUACCUAACAUUUGUCAAAUGUUACAAGAUCUAAAUAGUAACAUUUAUUUUUGAUUUAGUUACAAUUUUGAAUUGUUACUAAAUCUCAUAUCUGUUGUAGCGUGGGACUGGUUGUAUAUUAUACAAAACAUUGUUUGUAAUUUGCACGCAAAUUUUAAAUAAAAUAUUGUGGAUGAUAUACACGGGCUAGCGUAAUAAAAAUAGCAAAAAGAAGGGCAACGUGAGUGCCCGUAAUAAUAAUAAUAAUAAUAAUAAUAAUAAUAAUAAUAAUAAUAAUAAUAAUAAUAAUAAUAAUAAGAAUAAUAAUAAUAAUAAUAAGAAUAAUAAUAGAUAGAUAGAUAAAUAGAUAGAGAGAUAGAUAGUGUUGAACCAAAGUGAGUUUUAGAACAAUGUCUCUAAAGUUUUGAUGAUAACAAUGUAUGAAAGAACAAUUGGAUACACAAAUGUGUGUUCAAGUGUGCAGUACCACAAAAUUAAAUUCUAACUCUGAAGUCAACCUGUUGGUUAUGAAACACCAAAAUUUGAAUGCAAAUGAAUGCUUUUGGUAUUCAAGAGAAGCUCUGAAAACUACGACUAUGAUAUGAAGUUGCACGAAGCCUUAUAGAUUCUAAUGGAAAGCAAAUUCUUAUGUAAGUACACUCUAAUGUACAUGUCCUUGGUCAACUGGACACCUCAUGGUCAACUCUAAUGAACUCUGACCAGUUUUGUCUUUUUUUGGAGAGACGUCACUAUCAAGUUAUGAAGCAUUGUUUAUCUUCUUAUGACCACGUGUACAAAAUAUUGAAAGACAAGGAGGAUGCAACAAAUCAUUCAAAAAGAAGCAAAAGAACACAUCAAGUACGAUUCAAUGAAAUAAUCCAUUAGAGGCAAAGCUUUCAAACCUGAUCAAAGUUUCUAAAGGAAGAGUUAAUGCACAGGCACUUCUUCAAACAACGAAUCUAUUCUCUUCUUCUGUUUAAGGAACUUGAGCAUUUGAAGAACGUAAGAGACUUCACAAAAUUAAGUGUCAAAAGUCUAUUGAAUUUCUUACAAUCUUGCAAUCUUGUAAUUUCUUAAGUAUCAAAAGUCUAUUGAGUUUUAAGUUAGUUUACCACUUUGAGUAUCAAAGUGUAAACACAAUAAUUUUUUUUUUUUGUCUAAACUUUGAUCGUAGAAGUCCUCAAGUGUGAGGCAAGUUUUUUUUAGACAUGUGUAUGUAAGUAAUUGUAACCUUGUGUGAUAUAUUAUAGUGGAAAAUCUUUUGGAAAUGCAAGGGGACUGAACUAAUUAACCUCGAAUUAUGGGUAAUUGCUUGAGUUGUUCUCUUCUCUCUUUAUCUUUCUAUACUUUGUUUUGUUUUCAAACUUUACUUCCCUUUUUGUUUUUCUCACCUUUAGAUAGAUUAAGAUCCGAAAAAGUGUAUACCCAUUUUAUUUGAUUGCUAGGAAGAAGAAAAAAAUACUCACCAAGACAUGAGAAGGGUGGUUUCAGUUUGAAAUCUUACAAUGCAUUGCACAUCUUUGAACAACAAGAUAAGUAAUUAUUUGGCUCUCAUCAGAUUUCAUGUCCCACCAAUUCAAUCAGAGAAGCGUAAUCUUUAUUUUCCACUACAAAAUGUUCCACAAGAGUACCUUUCUCCAACACUUCUUUUUAAAAGAAAAGAAAAAUAGAUCAGUGUACUUUAGCACAAUCAUUGAAGGAUAAGUAAUGGAAAGUUGAUAACAUCACUGUUGUCUGUUUAUUCUAUUGACAUAUUUAGAACUUAAUCUACUAACAAUAUGAUAAGAUACUGUAUUUUUUUCUUUCUAUUUUGAAUAUGCUUUAUUCUAGAAAAGAAUACGUCUUUCAUUUUUGUAAUACUUUUUUGAAUAGUAAAAAUAGUAAUAAAAGGUUGAAUUAUUUUUACUUAUAUGUAUUCAUUUCCUAAUUUGAAUCAUCUAAAUAGAGUUGGAACAAAAAAACCAGAACCGUAGACACUGUGAACAAUGUUUUUAGGGUAAUUAUUAUCUUUACAUAUUAAAGUAAACUGAUCUUUACCUUUAACUUUAAAAAAAGUUAUGAAGAAAGGUCUAGUGCAACAUUUUGCACUGGAAAAAUAAAGAUAAAGUUGAUUUAAGUAAGAGUUGGGAAGUGCAGAUCUUUUUCUUUUCCUUUUUCAAUCCAAAGUUGGGCAGUGCAUAUAGUAAGAGUUUAAAUUAUUCUCCUUCGGGUUCGAUCAGUAUAUUUCUCUUCUUUUUGAAACAAUAUUCAUCGAUCAUGAUAAGCUUUAAGAUAAAGAAACAAGUUGUAUUGAUAUACUUAUGGUUGUGGUGGAUUACUUCUACUAACAUUUGUGUCAUGCAGUUCUUUUAUUUUCUCUGUUUGCUGCACUUAAGGUGUUUUUCCUUUCCAUUCCAAUCGUAAUAUAGUACGGCCGCAACUGUUCUUUUUGUUCAAAGUGUUCGUCGAUUUACAGGUUUUGUCCCUUUAUUUACUUUUUAAUAUGAAUUCAUCUAAGAUAAAUUUAGAGUAUUAUUUCAAUAUGUGUAGUUUAAUUGAGUCCACAACGAGAGGACAGUCGUCCCGACAUAACUCAUAUAAAAUCAAUGUUCUGAAAAUUCUGUUUUAAUUUAAAGCUUUACUACGAAAGUAGAAACAUAGAAAUAUCGCUUACGCGUAGAAAGAGCGGCAACGGUAUUGGACUUAGAAAAUUCAGAUUUUUAAUCAAGUUAGUAGUUAUAACACUUUUCUAAUUAAUUAAGAACUUACUGAAUUAGAAAAGGGAAUUUUAGACAUGUAGUUAAGCACUACGAAAGUAGGAAAUUAUGCGUCUAAAAUCCGACAACGGAUUGCGAAAGCAAACGAUGUCUCUAAUUAGGUAUUUUUCUAGAAAAAUAUUAUAUUCUCGUCAUAGCUAAGCACCAUAAUUUGUAUGAGUAACUUAGGUAAACGAAAAUCAUUGUUUUGGCCUAUCGUUGUUAUUAUUAAAUUAAAUUCUGUAUUUUAUUUUUAACGCGAAACAAAUUGUUUUGAAUUAGCCUUUGAUAAACAAAGAAACGACAAGCCUUUAUACUUAAACCAAUAUAGCCGUACACUUGCGGCGUAUCGUUUGUUACGUUCAAAUUUAUUUUUCUUUUCCAGUUUUCCUUUUUUAUGAAGUUAUCAAAGCAUACAAGUAGUUUUGUAUAGGUUUUGAAAGGUACUCUUACUUUCGGUAACAAUAUUAUUUUUGGUAUAAUUAGCCCCAUCUGUAGAAUGAUUUUAGCAUCAUUAUAUGCAGACUAAUUAGCAUCACCCUGGAGUGGUAAACAUCAAGGCAGCAAGUGGAGAAGAGAAGCAUUUGAGUCACUAUUUUAAUAUUUAGUAACAUUUUUGCUAACAAAAUUAGCUAAAACUGUAUUUAAAAUUGUUUACUAGAGAAUGGCUAUGAUUGAGCUACUAAACGGUAACAUUUUUUUUUUGCAUGUUAGUAAUACUACUCUUAUGGUUACUUAAACCAUUUAGUAACAUGGACUUUACCCAGCAUUUAUCAAAUGCUAUUAGAUCAAAUUAAGUAACAUUUGUUUUUGAUUUAGUAAUCUUUUUCAAAUGUUACUAGAUCUAAUAUAUGUUGUACUUUAACUUGGAGUGAGAUUUAAUAUAUUAAGAUAUGAAAAAAGUUUAUACACCCGUUUAAUUUGAUUGCUAAAAGAAAUGCUCACUAAGACAUCAGAAGGAUGGUUUCAGUUUCAAAUCUUACAAUGCAUUUAUAUUUUUUAAUAGUAAAUAUAGUUAUAAAAGGUUGAAUUAUUUUGUGGGUAACUAUACUUUUUGCAAUUAGGCCUUUGCUUCAAUUGAACCGCAAGAGUGCAAAUUUCUUUAGCUACUGAAUCUUUAAAUUAAAUUUUGAAUAUACUUUUAUCUAGAAAAGAAUGCAUAUUCUCUCAUUUUUGCAACACUUUUGAAUAAUAAAGAUAAGAGGGACAACAAGGUUAAUAUACUAACCAAGCCUCUACCUGGGAAGAGCAAGAGAAACUAAGGACGUCACUUUCCCUCGUUCUUUUCUUCUUUAAUAAAAAAGCACCGUAAGGGCUUAACACUUAUCUGGCAUGCAACAUUGUGGAAGAUUUGGGAAGCGCGGAAUGAAGUUAUUUUCUCCUCAAAGAUUGCAGGGAUGGAUGAAAUUGUAGAAGGGAUCAAAGUAACAUCUUAGAAAUGUUUAAUGCAAAAAAAAAAAAAAAAAAACGCGGGGGAGGGGGGAAACAUGUUUGUAUAAUGAAUGAUACUCAAACCCUUUUAUUUGUUUAAAUACUUAAAUUAGAGGUUGGUUUUUUUACUGGGCAAGCACCUCUUAUAUUGUUCCUGAGUUAUGGGUUAAUUAAGUACUCUUUCUACUUCUCUCCUUUCUAAUAAAUUUUGUUGUUAAAAAAAAAAAAAAAACUAAAAUAAACUUUAGUCAGGUCCCUUGUGAACAGGGACGUUAUUAUCUAUACAUUACUUAUCCUUCAAUUAUUAUUGUAUUAAAGUAAACUUAUUUUAAAAAAAGUAGUAGAGAAACAUUUAGUAGUGGAAAAAUAAAGAUAAAGUUGAUUUGACAUUAACUUUGUGAACUACAAGAAACUCUGAUAAGUGUCUAAAAUCAGUUGUAUCAAAUUUCCAACCCAAAGUUGGGCAGUGCAGAUUGCAAGAAACAAGUUGGUGAGUAUUUCUCUUCUUUUUGAAACAAUAUUCAUCAAUGAUGAUAAGCUUUGAAAUAAAGAAACAAGUUGUAUUGAUAUACCUAUGGUUGUGGUGGAACACUACUGCUAAUAUUUGUGUUGAAGCAACAAGUGAUAGUUUGAAGCCAGGUGAUAAAUUUGAUGCAAAUUCCACGCUAUAUUCAAAACAAGGCAAGUUUGCUCUAUUUUUCGAUCAAACAUUAGCUAGCGAAGAUGCUCACUUGGUUAUAAGUGUUAAUGCAGAUUAUGGCAUUCAGGUGUGGAUGUAUGAUAGAAAUCAUUCCAUUGACUUAGAUUCAGCAGUUCUAUCACUAGACUACUCUGGUGUGCUCAAAAUAGAAUCACAAAAUAGGAAACCAAUAAUCAUUUACUCUUCACCUCAACCAAUAAACAACACUUUGGCCACUAUAUUAGACACAGGUAACUUUGUGCUUCAACAAUUUCAUCCCAAUGGGUCAAAGACUGUUUUGUGGCAGAGUUUUGAUUAUCCAUCAGACGUUUUGAUCCCAACGAUGAAGUUAGGCGUUAAUCGAAAAACAGGAUAUAAUUGGUCAUUGGUGUCCUGGUUGACUCCUUCGCGGACAACUUCAGGUGAAUUUAGUCUUGAGUGGGAACCAAAACAAGGUGAACUGAACAUCAAGAAAAGCGGCAAAGUGUAUUGGAAAAGCGGAAAACUUAAAAGCAAUGGAUUAUUCGAGAAUAUUCCGGCCAAUGUUCAAAAUAUGUAUCGGUACAUCAUUGUCUCUAACAAGGAUGAAGAUUCCUUUAGUUUUGAAAUUAAAGAUCGGAAUUAUAAGAAUAUUUCAGGGUGGACACUAGACUGGGCGGGGAUGCUAACGAGUGAUGAAGGGACUUAUAUUGGAAAUGCAGAUAUAUGUUAUGGAUAUAAUAGUGAUCGAGGGUGCCAAAAAUGGGAGGAUAUACCAGCUUGCAGGGAACCUGGUGAGGUGUUUCAAAGAAAGACUGGAAGACCAAACAUAGACAAUGCAUCAACCAUUGAACAGGAUGUGACUUAUGUUUACAGUGAUUGCAAGAUAAGAUGUUGGAGAAAUUGUAAUUGCAAUGGAUUCCAAGAAUUUUAUCGCAAUGGGACUGGAUGUAUAUUCUAUUCAUGGAAUUCGACACAAGAUCUUGAUUUGGUGAGUCAGGAUAACUUUUACGCCUUGGUAAACUCUACAAAAUCAACCCGAAAUUCCCAUGGUACGUAAGUCUAUAAUAUCAUUUUAAUAAGAUGGGUUCGGAGUGAUUAUUUAGAAAUUGGAUUCCCAACAGUCACCUUAGUUCACGCAUUCAGGACAUUGGUGACUAUGUGAUCUUAAUCAAACAGUUCAAAAAAUGUAUAUUUUAUUUAAAUUUUAUAAUUUAAAAUACUGAGAUUAAAUUUGAACCGUCUGAUCAUGAUCAAACUGUCACUGAUAUUGAAUGCGUGAACAACUAACGGCAAUGGAGCAUUCCAGUUAUUUAUGAAAUAUUUAAAAUUAUCUUAUAAUAUAAUCACUUAUAUAAGCGAACAUUGUCUCCAAGGGGAAAAAGAGAACUCUUCAUCAUACACUAGAGUUAUCAAACAGACUUUGAGGUAUUAAAUUUAAUACUACCUUAUCAAGUAUAGUAAGCUAUUUUAAUUUUGCAAACAAGCUCAAAGAUUAUAGUAGCAAGUUACAUCAAGUUAAGACCAAAAACUAAAGGUUUGAGAUGAAUAUGCUUAUAUCACAUUUCAUAUUGAUUGUGUAUAGCAAAUGCAGGUAAAAAAAAGUGGAUAUGGAUAGGUGUUGCAAUCGGAACUGCUUUACUCAUAUUAUGCCCACUCAUUAUAUGGCUAGCCAAAAAGAAACAAAAAUAUUCACUUCAAGGUAUCUGGAUAUUUAAAAUAGUCUUGUAAGUAGGACUAAAUCCAAUCCCUUUAUUUUCCAUCUUUACCUUCAUUUUUUUUGCUUAUGUAGAUAGGAAAAGUAAAAGACAUAAGGGUCAGAGCAAAGGUUUGGCGGAUUCUAAUGAAUCUUAUGAUAUCAAAGAUCUUGAAGACGAUUUUAAGGGACAUGAUAUAAAAGUUUUUAACUUUAUAUCAAUUUUGGAAGCAACUAUGGACUUUUCCCCUGAAAACAAGUUAGGACAGGGAGGCUAUGGACCUGUUUAUAAGGUGACUUUAAAGUUAAAUUGCAAACAAAUGUUUUUAAUGUGGUAAUAUUGUUUUUGAUUGUUGGUGGCUAUUGUUUUGCACAAAACCUAUAUGCAUUUUUUUAUUAGGUAUUCUUUGUCCUAUUCUUAAUUUUAGUAUCCAUGAUUUCUUUAAAUUCAUAACUUCCCAAAAGUUUGUUAUUAUAAAUAACUACACAAAGUGUAUUACGUUAAGAACCAUAUUUAAAGUAUUUAAGGAAAUGCACUUAAAUUUUGUUCUUUUGUUUUACGACUUCAGGGAAUGUUGGCAACAGGGCAAGAAGUUGCUGUAAAAAGGCUUUCAAAAACAUCUGUACAAGGAAUUGUGGAAUUUAAAAAUGAAUUGGUACUUAUAUGUGAACUUCAGCACACAAAUCUUGUACAACUACUUGGUUGUUGCAUUCAUGAGGAAGAAAGGAUUCUAAUUUACGAAUAUAUGCCAAACAAAAGCCUGGAUUUCUAUCUAUUUGGUAAGAAUAUGUCGAAGUCUAUGUUUUCAUGUUUAUUUUUUUUCAAUGGAAAAUAUAUAUUAUAUGAAUAAAAAGAAUAGAAUUCCUGCACGAGUACAACCAUAUUGAAAUUAGAGUACAAGAAGUACUCAAGUACGCAGGUGAACAAGAGCAAGACUAGGUAUAGAACCCCUUAGUUAGCCAGCCCCAAGACAAAUCCGCCACAAUUCACUAUCGCGGUGCGAAGACAUAAUGGGUUCAUGAUCCCACUCUUAGAAGGAACAGGUGUAAGCAGAACGUUAUCCUAAAACAACUUUCAAGAGGUAAAUUUAAUCAUAUCCACCAAUUGAAGCACAUACGUUUCCCUCCCCGAAAAUAUGUGAGCAUUUUGGGAUCUCCACAACGACCACACAACAGUUUGCUUGAUUAAUAAGAAACCAACCCUCUCCUUUUCCCCCCACCUAGUUCAAACAUAAAACUAAGAAGACUCACUAAAUCUGAAGGUAAAACAAACUCCCACCCCAAACCUCUCCUUUUUCAUGAGAUGUUUUUUUAGGUCAAAUUCAUAUAAUUGUGAUCAUUAUUAUGUAUUGUUUAGAGCAUAAUUACAACAAAACUUUUAGCUUUUAUAACUAAAUAUUUUCUGUAAUUGUUGUGGAUAGUUCGCUAAAAUAACGUCUUAUCCUAACUUGAAAAUAACCAAGUAAAUAUCAUUAUUUAAGAAAACUAAAAUAUCAUAUUGGUUUGCUACAUUUGAGUACUAUACAUUGUAAUAUUAAUUAGUAUGUUUUCAUUGUGAAGAUUGUACAAAAAAGAAGCUGCUAGAUUGGAAGAAGCGUUUCAACAUAAUAGAAGGAAUUGCUCAAGGAUUGCUCUAUCUUCAUAAGUACUCAAGACUCAAAAUCAUUCACAGAGACUUGAAAGCUAGCAACAUACUUCUUGAUGAGAAUAUGAAUCCAAAAAUUGCUGAUUUUGGUAUGGCAAGAAUGUUUACACAGCAGGAGUCCGUAGUAAAUACCAACAGAAUUGUUGGGACAUAGUGAGUUUUCUAAACUUUAUUUGUAUCAAAUAUUUUGUUAAUGAUUUUGUGAAAACUUUAUUUAUUUUUCGAGUUAUGAAUUUUGUGUGUAGUGGAUACAUGUCUCCAGAAUAUGCCAUGGAAGGAGUUUGUUCUACAAAGUCUGACGUCUAUAGCUUUGGAGUGUUGCUACUUGAAAUCGUUUGCGGAAUAAAAAACAAUAGCUUCUAUGAUGUUGAUCGUCCACUAAAUCUAAUAGGACAUGUAUGUCAAUUCUUUCCAUUGAGUUCUUUGUAAUAAAUAUUAUUUUGUUGCUUCUAACUUGAUUAAAUUAUUAAUAGGCAUGGGAGCUAUGGAAUGAUGGUGAGUAUCUAAAGCUAAUGGAUCCAACAUUAAAUGACACAUUUGUUCCUGAUGAAGUGAAAAGGUGCAUUCAUGUUGGUCUCUUAUGUGUAGAACAAUAUGCUAAUGAUCGACCUACAAUGUCUGAAGUUAUAUCAGUGUUGACAAACAAAUAUGUACUCACAAACUUGCCAAGAAAACCAGCAUUCUAUGUUAGAAGAGAGAUCUUUGAGGGGGAAACAACUUCUAAAGGGCAAGACACCGACACCUAUUCUACGACAACAAUUUCUACCUCAUUUGAAGUAGAAGGGAAAAUAUAAGUAAUAAAAAUCGCUUGAAUAUGGUUUUUGUUUAUGAAAUAUAUUCAUUUCAUGUAUCUGUAAAAGUAUACUCGCAAUGUUCCUUUUAAUAUGUACUUUUUCAUGGUAGUUCUCGUUACUCUAUUGCGGAAACCGUCCACUUUUGGACUGACAAAUGGGUAUCUAGAACCAUAUAUAGUUGAUCACUAGAGCAUCCCAGUUCAUAUGCAAUCAUCUUUGACCAUGAAAGUUUCAGACUAUUUGUGGGAAGGUCGUUGGAAGAUUCCUGAUUACUUUCUGCAGAAAGAUGACAGUCUCCACAAUCAAAUUGUUAACAUGGAGCUUCCUUUGAUCCCUGCCUCUGAUAAGCUAAACUGGACAGCUUCAACUGGUGGCAAUCUGACGAACAUGCGAGCUUAUUUACAUCUUAAAGGCAACUUUCCUAAGCUUUCUUGGUGUAAAAUAAUAUGGAAAAAAUGUAUUCCCCUUUCCAGGUCCUUUAUAAUCUGGAUAUGAGCUCAUCAUAGGCUACCUACUUACGAAAAUCUCCAAAAAAGAGGGUGCAUCUUAGCUUCGGUUUGCAGUUUUUGCAUGAAUCAAUCUAAGACAUCUUCUCACCUUUUCCUGAACGGUCCUAUGUCGUUGAAAAACUGGAGUUGGCUUCCUCCGUCGGACAUCCAUUCACUAAAAUUGACAUACUACCCCCAAAUACACAAGCCUUAAUCCAAGACACCCAACCCUCUUCAUCAUAUAUUAUAAGAAACCCCAAUCCACCGAAUCAUAUCCUUUUCAAAAUCAACCUUGAAAAUCAAACAUUCUUUUCUCAUCUUUUUCGCCAAUUCCACUACCUCGUUAAUUAUCAUCACAUCAUCUACUAAUUUCUAGCUUUCGAAAAGGCCGAUCGGGAGUUUGAGAUAACAAAAUUCAUAACUCCAGAUACUCGACAACACUUUUGAAAGCAAUUUAUACAAGCUCCCUGACAAGGAAAAUGGACGAAAAUCUUUUAAAGCAAAAGGGGAUUCUUACCUUUGCUUUAUGAAAGGAGACAUUUCGGAAGUCUAGCAUUACCAUGAAAUUAGUCAAACAAUAUAUGAAUCUCAUGCUUCAAAAGAUGCCAAAAUUCCUUGAAGAACAAAAAAUUGAAACCAUCCAUCCCCGGACUCUCAUUACCAUCACUAUUUUUCACCACUGCUUCAAUUUCCUCCAAAAGAAAAAGGCUCUAUCAAUCUCACAUUCUCCUCGUAUGAAAGAGAAACAAAUAGGACACUAUCCAACUUCGGUCUCUCCCACGGAGUAGUCGAAACAUGCUCUUUAAAGUACUCCACCACCACUCUCCUCACCUCUCUUGGCUCUUGAAUCCACUCGCCGCCCACCUUUAAGGUCUUAAUACCAUUUCUAUUAGUCCUUGGCUAUGAUUGAGCUACUAAUUAUGGGUAACAUUUUUUGCAUGUUACUAAUACUAUUCUCAAAGGUUACUAAAACCAUUUAGUAACACGGGCUUUACCUAACAUUUAUCAAAGGUUACUAGAUCAAUUUAAAUAACAUUUUGUUUGGCUUAUUUAUACCUCUAAUCCCUGUAAAUAGCGCUCAAUUGAAGUUUGGUAGUCCCUGAACUUACUAAUCUCUUCGAACAACCACUGCAAUUACUAAUCAUUUACAAUUUGGUCCCUCAACCAAGUUAAUGACUGUCAGUACGUGAAUGGACCAAAGUGCCCAUGAGGAUCUCAGACAUAUGCGUAAUGACCGUUUUACCCCUUAGUUCAUCUUCUCCCUCUUCAUCUUCAAAACCCAUCACAAGAAUAAUCUAGAUUAUUCAACAAUUAAACUGUUCAAAAUUUGUUUGAACAAGUCAACAUAAAUUCAGAAAGGAAAAACAAUUGUUACAAUUAACGAUGUGUAUGAGUCAUCUAUAAGCAAUCAAAGAAAGCAAAGAAUCUAUGAUUUAGAAUAAAUCAGAUUGGAAAAUAAAAGAUUUAAAAGCAUAGAGUGAAGACUAGCAAAACACUGUUACAAUAACAGGUAAGUAAUUUUCAAUUCCCUUAAUUCCAUUUUCAAUCUCUUUAUCGUUUUCACAAUUCCAUUAACAAUCCAUUUUCAAUUUUUCAUUCCUUGAUUUUGCAGAAUGCAUUGCACGAAUGUUAAACCUAAACCAACCAAUAAUAGAAACAACAACAACAACGAACAAAGAAGCAUACAAGAUCCUAAUCUACGACAAAUUCUGUCAAACAUUCUAUCACUGUUAAUUCACGUCAAAGAUUUUUGCAAACAUGGUGUCACUCUCUAUUUCCUCAUCGACAAAGAUCGCAAACCUGUUCACGAUGUUCCAGCCGUUUAUUUUGUUCUUGCAGUCAUUGUUUCAAAAGAUUAGGAAGUUCAAGGACCAAACAUCAAACGAGCUCUAUUUGUAACCUUUUUUUUUUAAGAAGAAAAUAUGCUUAUAGCAUUUCAUUAAUAAUAAUAAUAGAUUCAAUACAUUGUGGGAUUGCAUAAUAAAUUGUGGGACUAGCUAAGGAAAUGACUUCUCUUGCUAAGGCAUGAGCUGCCAUAUUCGCUUGUCGCCUAAUAAACUCAACCCUAGAGUUUGUGAAGGAAUGGAAAAAUUGCUCUCAACACUCAUCAAUAAGAUUGCCAAAUUCUGUGCAAAACAAAUUAUUACGACCUCUUUUUUAAAAAACAGUUUAUUCAAAACAACUUAUUUAUGCAAAACAGCUUAUUACGACCUCUUUUCAUAAAACAACUUAUUCCAAACAACUUAUUUAUACAAAACAGCUUACUACGACCUCUUUUUAAAAAACAACUUAUUCCAAACAACUUAUUUAUCCAAAACUGCUUAUUACGACCUCAUUUUCAAAACAACUUAUUUAUACAAAACAAAUUAUUACGACCUCAUUUUCAAAAACAGCUUAUUCAAAACAACUUAUUUAUGCAAUACAGCUUAUUACAACCUCUUUUCAAAAAACAACUUAUUCAAAAUAGCUUAUUGAUGCCAAACAACUUAUUACGACCGCUUUUUCAAAAAUAGCUUAUGCAAAACAGCUUAUUAAUGCAAAACAGCUCAUUAAGAUGUCUUUUUCAAAAACAACUUAUUCAAAACAACUUAUUUAUGCAAAACAACUUAUUACGACCUCUUUUUUAAAAAUAGCUUAUUUAAAACAGCUUAUUUAUACAAAACAGCUUAUUAAGACCUCUUUUCAAAAACAAUUCAUUUAUACAAAACAACUUAUUACGAUCUGUUUUUCAAUUAUCCAAAACAGCUUAUUAAGGUCUCUUAUCAAAAACAGCUUAUUUAUACAAAACAAUUUAUUACGAUCUCUUUUUCAAAAACAACUUAUUCAAAACAACUUAUUUAUAAAAAACAACUUACUACGACAUCAUUUUCAAAAACAGCUUAUUUAUGCAAAACAGCUUAUUACGACCUCAUUUUCAAAAAGAACUUAUUCAAAACAACUUAUUACGAUCUCUUUUCGAAAAACAGCUUAUUGAUGCAAAACAGGUUAUUACGACCUCUUUUUUGAAAACAACUUAUUUAUGAAGAAAAAAAAGCAACUUAUUACGAUCUCAUUUUCAAAAACAACUUCUCUAUAAAAGAUAUCGUAAUAAUUUAUUUUUCAUGAGAUAAACUGUUUUUUAAAAAGAGACCGUAAUAAGUUGUUUUGUAUAAAUAAGUUGUUUUUUAUAAAGUGAUUGUAAUAAGUUUUUUUUAUUCUAUAAAUAAUUUGUUUUUCAUGAGAUAAGCUCUUUUGAAUAAAUUAGAAGAUAAAUUACAAAGUAUAAUACAAUGUAUUAAUUUAAGAGAAAAAAAGGGUAAAAUAAUAAAAUUAUAACAUAAGUCUUUCAUCUCCUUUCCUUGUUGGUGUUUUAAUUAACUCCCAAACAAGGGGAAGGUUUUUCCUCAUUUCUCCCUUCCCUCUCUUUCCUUCCCUUCCCCUCCUUAGCCUUUCCUUUCCUUCCCCUUAAGACUCGAAAACAAAGCCUUAGCUACUUAAUCUUUUAAAUUUUGAAUAUGAUUUUAUCUAGAAAAAAUGCAUUUUAUCUCUUCUUUGACAAGCUAUGUUUCUCUCUCUUCCUUUUUUCAAACCCUAACUGUCACAAUUUUUCUUCUUUUUGAUCUACCAAAUAAGGGUGAUUUAAAGUCAAUUUUGACCCAAAAUAACCCCUUCGAAAUGUUUUUCUUUCUCUUUUAGUUAAACAAGUAAUUUUCACAUAUUUUCAGCUUUCUUCCGUUUAUUUUUGUGACUGUAUAAUGUAGCAUAAUUUAAUCACAUAAUUUAUAUCCCGUCUUUUCAUUAUUUAUAUCACAUAAUUUAAUUUCAUUACUACAGUGGGAGGAGGAGCAGCCGGGGGGUUAUGUGGAGGUGGAGAUGUCUGGCAGUGGGAGGAGGAGAUGUUAGUGGAGUGUAGGGCUUUACUUCUUGAUGUUCUCUUGUUUCCGAGUGUUUCAGAUAGAUGGGUUUGGCUUCCUGCUCCGUCAGAUGGAUACACUGUUAGUGGUGCUUAUCAUGUGCUAACCUCUCAGGACCACUCUGGUGCGACUACUGAUGCGGAGUUGGUGUGGCACAAACAGGUUCCCUUGAAGAUCUCAGUUUUUGCAUGGAGACUCUUCCGAGAUCGUUUACCGACGAAGACUAAUUUGAUUGCUCGACGGGUGUUAUCGAAUGACAUGUCCUUAUGUGUCGCUGGUUGCGGUCAUCCGGAAACGGCCCAACAUCUAUUCUUGUUGUGUAAUACUUUUGGUUCGCUUUGGCAUAUGGUGCGUGAUUGGAUUGGUUGCUCGGGGGUGGAUGCUGAUAAUUUAUCUGACCAUUUUCUUCAGUUUACUUAUUUGACAGGUGGUGCUAAGUCCAGACGUUCUUUUAUGCAACUUAUUUAGCUUAUCUGUGCCUGUGUUGUGUGGAAUGAACGAAAUAAUCGUCUGUUUAAUAAUGUAAUAACUCUCAUUCCCCGUUUCUUAGACAAGGUCAAGAUGUUGUCCUUAUCUUGGUUAAAAGCUAAAAAAGCUACUUUUGUGUUCGGUACUCAGCAGUGGUGGUCAUGCCCUCUUGUGUGUUUGGGUAUAGGCUGAUGUAGCUCUGUUGGGUUGGUUGUUUUGUUGUAACUCUUGGUUCCUAUUGUAGUCUCUAUGGCACACCUUAUGCUUUAGGGACUGUAUUGUUAUAUAAUUUCAUUUCGGCUUUUUCAAAAAUAAAAUAAAAUAGAUUCCUGCAUUUUUUUAGAAAUAAAUUCGUAAAUCUUAUGGGUCAAAGAUCACUUAUUGAUCUACAAUAGACAUGUGUUGUUCAAUUUGGACAUAAAAUUAUCUCUAUAAUAAUAAUCAAUAUAUAAAUAAAAGAAUCAAUCAAAUAUAAACAAGAGAGAUUAAUAAACUUUUCUCUUUUGAGAUUGUUGUUGAAUUAGAACACCGACCACGACUUUAUCAACAUCUUUGACAAUCAAAUCAAAUAGAAUCAACAACUACAAAACGAACAAACCAUGAAUAGUCUGAGACGUGCUGAUCGCACUAUCCUUCAUGAUUUUUCACGUAAUUAUACGCUAACCCCCCAAGAUUUAACAGACCCAUCUCGGUUAGAAUCGAGGAUACAAAACUGACAAGAAGAAUUUUUUCAGAAAGAUGAUAAAACCCAAAGUUGUUGACUGCACAAAAAUUAAUAUAUGGGGCUUUGUAAUUUUGAUAGGAAAGAAUAGUUGUUUUUCGUUUCUAUUGAUCAAGGGCUAGCUAGAAGAAAAGAGCUUAACUCCACUUCUACUGUUUUUUCACGUCAAAAAGGUUUUUUACAUUGAUGACAAGUAAAAAAUUGACUUUGUCAUGCCAAAUAUAAAGCCUUAAUAAUUGCUUUCAAGUUGUGAACGUUUGGAAUAAAAUGUAACUGCCUUUGACUCAGUAAACAAAGUUAAAUGAGCAUAAAUAAAUGGUUAAUUGCAUUAACUUUUGAAAUAUAUCAUAUAAAAAACAACAACAAAACCCGUGUGUCGCAUGGAUCGAAAGUUUAGUAUAUAAAUAAAAUGUAGUCCGGUGGUGCCAUUUGAAACCCUAACCCACAAAAAACGAUCCCCUUAUUCAUCUUAUCUUAAUCUUAAUCAUCAUAAAAACAUAAUAAUUAAACGACUACAUGUACAAUUAUGAUUCUGCAGCCCCACUUUUCUUUUGCACAUGCUUCAUGAAAAAUUACAAUAAUUGCUAAAUCCUAAUUGGAGCACAAAGAAAUUACAUUUAUUGCACUCAAUCAUUCCUUAGACAAAAAGUAGUCACCUAGGCUGUCGUUUUUUUAUGAGUGGUGAUACAUGUACAUCUCCAUGUGGUAAUGCACCUCAUACACCCACACAAAAUCCUGACAUGUGGCAAGGAAAAGGGAGAGGAGAUGAAAGAGAAAGUAUAGUUGUGAGAUGAAUUUAUCAAAACAUUCUUAAUGCAUGAAAGAGAAAGUAUAAUAGGGUGUAUGAUUAAAGGGUGUUCAUGUAACAUUUUCCUUUUUUUAUUGUGAUUUUUAUGACAGGAUUUUGGCGGGGUAUGUGUUUACAAGUUAUGACCACUACAAGAAAACAUUUGAAUUCCAAGGCACAUAACUUCCAGGAAAACAUCUAUUUCUUCUCAGAAUGUCACUUUUUUCCGAGGAAAAGUGGGCCUCGAAAAAUCGUUGGUUGCGAAUAAGACACGGAUAUUUUAUCCUUCCCUCCCUUUCAUAAAUGUUGUGUGACAUGGCGAAAACAACAAAUCCAUGAAUUCCUUCCUCAAAUUGUAGUUUUAAGUUUGAUUCUCCCCGUAAAUGUUCUAUCGUACAUCCAACUUCGGUAGUAAUAAUAUUGAUCCAUCUUCUGCGUUGUUGACAUUUGGCUAAAUUCUUAAAAAAAAAACUAUUUAUGCAUUUCUUAAAAAAAAAAAACUAAUAUUUAUGCAUAUUAUAUUUUUUUUAUACCAAUAUCCAUGCAUAUUUAAUCAAUAAAGUUAUAUAUAAAUAAAUAUAUAAUUAACAAGACAUAUGUAAUAAUAUUAAAUUGAUUUAAUAAACUAACCUGAUCAAGUUGUAAUCCGAGGAAAAAUAUCCAGUAAAAUCAACUGCGACAACAACCGCAAUAGACAUGCCUAACUACAAAAAAUACUAACAAAUUUGUUAUUUAAGCAGUAAAUAAAAAAAAUUAAGCAUCAACAAGAAAUUGAUAAUGAGAUUAAAAAUAACUAUGAUCAAAAGUAUAUAAAUAAUUAAUGUCUAUGAGAUUAUAGAUAAAUUGAUAAAUUAACGUUGUAAAAAAAACUAAAUCAACAAUAUUUAUAAAAUCAAAAUACAUUUGAAAAACUUACCAGUAAACCAAUAACAAUGAUCUAAUGCUAAAUUUCAAUAGAUUUAAGUGACAAUGUUUUUAUCUUUUUGAUGAAAAUGGUGAGUGAUUUUUUCUUUUUGAUCGAAAUUUGGUGAAAAUGGUGACAUAUUGACGAAAAAAUCGUAGUGUUGAAAUGGAAAAAUGUUAGUAUUCUGGACAGAUUUGUAUAUACUACCGGAGGUAGGUAAAAAUAAUUAAUUUUUUACAACUGUCACAUAUGCUUUCCUAGGAAAAAGACUCUGUAUUCUAUGCCAAUACCGACAACGCGGUUUCAGCAGAGGAUAAAAUGAUAACAUGUUUUCCGAGAAAACUUUUCCUCGGUAGUUCCUCGAUAUUACAUCUGGAAAAGCGUGCCAGUGUAGUAGUGAUUCUGACAUGUACAUUUCGAGGAAGUUUUUCCUCAGAAAAACCUUUAUUUAGCGAGUAAAUAUGCGUCCUCGGAAAUAUUUGGUCGGAAUUUCCAUGUUUUCUUGUAGUGGACAAAGGAUUUUGGAAGGUAUGUUUUUACAAGUAAUGUUUAUAUAACUAAUGUUAUAUAGUAUCCCCUCCCAUUUUUUAUGUAGUGAUGAGAUCAAGAGUUCCGUAAGCAUGUGGAAGGAAACUUAUAAAAAAAUGCCUUAAAUAACUGAUGGCAUUAAUUAUUUGGUUAGCUUAUGGUUCUUUAUUCUUAUUCCUAUUGGUUCAAAAAAAUAUUGAGCUUGAUUGAUAAGUUAAUUUUUGAAUUGCAUGAGAUUGACAUUGAUUAAUAAGUCUAUGCAAUUUAGGUUCUUAACAUUUGAGUUGACUGAAAUUCAUUGGUCAAUUUCUCAACAUCACAAGGAAGAAUAGCAUAUUUACUGAUUCAUGUUUUUAGCACACAAGCCAAUAAGGUGAUAACUAAUUCAAUCGGUUUUGGAAUGCAUUUGGCUAUUGCAAGGAGCUCAUAUAAUUCUCUUGGAAUUUUAUUGGAGUAGGUCAAAGAAAUAUUUUUAAGACCAUUCAAAUCAAAUGAAGACCUCACGCUACAAAUGAAGAGAGCAUUCAUGAUCCAUCCAAAUUACUUACUAGAAGCAUCAAUUCAUCAAUAUUUUUAAGAUAAUUCAGCUCAUGCAGUCAGUUCCUUUUACAGCCGUUACAAGUCUGCAUUUGAUUCCAUACCUUGCAUUUUAUAAGGUUCUUUGAGUGACUUGAUUUAGAGCUAUAUAAAUGCACUCAUUUUGUACCAAAAAAAUAAAAAUAAAAAUAAAAAAUAAAAAAUAAAUGCACUCAUUUUAUGAAUUAAGCCAGCUUGAAUUUUGAUAAAAACUACAAUGUGUGUAUUUUGAGUUAGAGUUUUUUCCUCUGAAUUCUUGGAUUAGAACUUCUAUAGUGUUGGUUCUACCGGCAGGUCGUGGUUAGGGUCGCACUUUUGUUUGAUGACUUUGGUUCUACCGACAGGUCAUGGUCAUGGUUAGGGUCAAGUUCCUUUUCUGUUUUCAAGAUGGUCCAUUAUCGGUUACGUAUCAUUUAGUCUUUUUGUAUCUAUGUAAUUAUCAUUUUCCUUACCAAAUAACCAAAUAAUUGAGUUCAAUUAGUUAAUGAACACCACCAAGAACGAAUUACUCAGAAUAUCCCAAAUUCAACUCCUAAAAAAACAAUUUUAGGUCAGACUUUACAAUGGUUUCAACCAAGAUCUUGAAUACCAGGAGCCCUUUUCCAUUAGAACCAAAAGAUUAAUACCAAAAAAAAAAAAUCAUUAACAAAUGUUUGUAAGAGUUAUAUUGUUAAUGUCAAAUUCUAUUUAAUUUAGGAGAAUGCUAACCAUUGCCCUUGGGGCAUUGGAUAAGGGGAUAAAAAUAGAAAUAUAGUAUUGGAAAAUUGUGAAAAGUGAUAAAUUUAACUUUUUAAAAGUCAAAAUAUCGUUGAAAACAAUGCAAACAUGCUACUUUUGAUUUCCUUAACCAAUGGUUAGCAAGACCGUUUUUUUAAUAUCAAUACUCCAAUAUUUAGUAAAAUGUUGAUAAUAAAAAAAAUUUCAAAGUCGAACCACCAUUGUUAUAAAAAAAUCCUAACCCUCCAAAAUAAAUCUCCAUGUUCAUCUUAAAAACAUCAUUAAAGGCUACAAGUGCAGUUAUGAUUAUGCUGCCCCACUUUUUAUUGGCACAUGCUUCAUAAAAAAUUACAUUAAUUGAUAAAUUAUAAUUGGAGUACCAAUAAAUGACAUUUAUUGCUCUCAAUCAUUCCCUACACAAAAGUAGGCAUUUGUGCUAUUGUUUUUGUUGUGAUUUUUAUGGCAAAAUAUUUGGUUGCCCAUGUUUACUAGUAAUGUUUAUAUAACUAAUGUUAUAUAGUAUGCCCUUCCAUUUUAUAUAAAUAUCAUUCUUCUUAAUAAAUGUUUGUUAAAUUUUUAAAAGUUGAAAUUAUUCUCGUUCGGGUUUAGUGAGUAUAUUUCUCUUCUUUUUGAAACAAUUAUCAUCAAUCAUGAUAAGCUAUGAAAUAAAGAAACAAGUUGUAUUGAUAUACUUAUGGUUGUGGUGGAUUACUUCUACUAACAUUUGUGUUAAUGCAACAAAUGAUAGUUUGAAGCCAGGUGAUACAUUGAAUUCCAAUUCCAAGCUACGUUCUAAACAAGACAAGUAUUGUCUUUUAAUCAACAAGGGUGGUUACUUAACUAUAGCAACUGUUAAUCGCACAGGAGUGUGGUUUUAUAAUCGAAAUCAACCCGUAGACGUAAACUCAGCAGUUUUAUCAUUAAACUACACUGGUGUGCUCAAAAUAGAAUCUCAAAAUAGGAAACCAAUAAUCAUUUACUCUUCACCUCAACCCAUAAACAACACUAUGGCAACUAUGCUAGACACCGGUAACUUUGUGCUUCAAAAAUUUCACCCAAAUGGUACAAAGAGUUUAUUAUGGCAGAGUUUUGAUUAUCCCGACGACACUUUGAUCCCAACGAUGAAGUUGGGAGUUAAUCGAAAAACAGGACAUAAUUGGUCAUUGGUUGGCUUCUUCGCUACCAACUCCAGGUGAAUUUAGUCUUGAAUGGGAACCAAAACAAGGGGAAUUGAACAUCAAGAAACGCGGCAAAGUGUAUUGGAAAAGCGGAAAACUUAAAAGCAAUGGUUUAUUCGAGAACAUUCCGGUGAAUGUUCAACGUAUAUAUCAAUACAUUAUUGUCUCUAACAAGGAUGAAGAUUCUUUUGCUUUCGAAGUUAAAGAUGGGAAGUUUAUACGAUGGUUCAUUACCUCGAAGGGGAGGUUAAUAAGUGCUGAUGAGGGAGAGAUUUAUAGUGCAGACAUUGCUAAUGCAGAUAAGUGUUAUGGAUAUAAUAGUGAUGCCGGGUGCCAAAAAUGGGAGGAUAUACCAACUUGCAGGGACCCUCGUGAGGUGUUACAGUGAUUGCAAGAAGACCAAGCAGAGAAAAGGCAGGAAGACCAAGCAGAGACAAUUCAACAACGUUUGAAGAGGAUGUGACUUAUAGUUACAGUGAUUGCAAGAUGAGAUGUUGGAAAAAUUGUAGUUGCAAUGGAUUCCAAGAAUUGUAUGAUAAUGGGACUGGAUGUAUAUUCUAUUCAUGGAAUUCGACGCAAUAUGUUGAGGUGGUUUCGAAUACCUUUUACACCUUGGUAAAGCCAACAAAAUCAGCUCCAAAUUCCCAUGGUACGUAAGUUAUAAUGUCAUUUUAAGUGAUUAUUUAUUUUCUGCUUAUUCAACCGUAGAAACUGCCUUCUUUCAGCCCAUUAUAUAACCUUAUAAUGAGACUCAUCAUCUCUCAGUAUUUUAGAACGCAAUCUAAAAUAUUUUAGAACGCAAUCUAGAAUAUUUUGGAACACAAUCCGAAAUAUUUUGAUAGGCAAUCUAAUAUAUUUUAGUGCAUGAUCUGAAAUAUAUUUUGAUACUCAAUAGUAUAUAGGCUAAACUGCACUUUUCGCCCCUAUGUUUCAAAAUGUUGCAAUUUUGGUCCCCUAUUAAAAAAAAUAGCAAUUUUGGCCCCUUUCAUCCAAAAAUUGCUGAGAAGACGCCACGUGUCCCAAAAAAGGGGCCAUAAUCGCAACUUUUUGUAAAGAUAAGGGGUCAAAAAACAUAUUUCCCUUAUGUUAGGAGGUCAAAAGAGCAUAUUUCCCUAAACAUAGGGGGUCACUUUUGCCAUUUUUUUUAGGGUUAAUAGUGUUUUUCACCCCUGUAAUAUAGGCCAUUUUCGGUUUACGCCCCUGUAAAAUUUUCGGUUUGAUUUGCAUCCUUGUAAAACUUUUUUUUUCCAGAAAACACCACUCCCCCAUCCAACUCAGCAAAUUCGCUUACGUGGCGCUGAUUUGGCAUUUUUUUUCAUUUUUUAUUAUUUUUAAUUGGCCACGUGUAAAAAAAAAAGUCCACAUCAGAUUUUACUUUAAAAAUAUUUGAAAAUAAAUUUAAAAAAAUAACAAAAAUCAUAAAAAUAUUCAGUUUUUUUCAAAAAUUUUAAAAAUUAGAGAGAAAAAAAACUAUUAAGAUUUUUUUCGAUUAAAAAGAUUUUAAAAAAUUCUGAAAUUUAAUUUGAAAAAUACAAAAAAAGUAAAUUUUCAAAAUGAAAAAAAGGUCAGAUUUUUUAAAAAAAUUCUGGAAAAAAAUUUAAUUUUUAAAAAUCUGGAUACAAAUUUAGAGGGUUUUAAAAAAGUCGUGGAAAUUCCAUUUUUCCUAGAAUUAAGCUUUUCCUUAGAGGAGGUAGUAAUCAUAAAUCUUAUAUUUGUUGAAUGAAAUGAUUUUUUUCCCAAUAUUUUAUUAAAAUUGUGGAAUAAAAUUUUCGACUAAAAAAACUGAAUUUUUUCUAUAUUUAUUAUAUACAGAUUUUUAAAAAAAUUUCAGAUUUUUUUUAAAAAAAAUCUGAACUAUUUUGUAAUUUUGAAAAUUUUCUUUUUUUUUUUUUUAUUUUGAAAAUUAAAUUCUAGAAUUUUUUUAAAUAUUUUUAAUUUUUAAAAAAAUCUGAUUAUAUUUUCUAAUUUUUUAAUUUUUUUGGAAACAAAUAUGACUAUUUUUUUGUUUUUUUAUAUUUCGGAAAAAAUCUUAAUUUUUUUUUAAAUUUUUCGAAAAAAAAACUGAAUAUUUUUUUGGAUUUUUUUUAUUUUUUAAAAAUAAAAGGAUAUAUUUUUGACACGUGGCCAAUUAAAAAAAAUAAAAAAUGACAAAAAAAUGCCAAAUCAGCGCCACGUAAGCAAAUUUGCUUAGUUGGAUGGGGGAGGGGUGUUUUCUGGAAAAAAUUUUUUUUACAAGGAUGCAAUUCAAAUCGAAAAUUUUAUAGGGGCGAAAACCGGAAAUGACUUAUAUUACAGGGGUGAAAAGCACUAUUAACCCUUUUUUUUAAUAGGGGGCCAAAAUCGCAACAUUUUGAAACUUAGAGGGCGAAAAGUGAAGUUUAGCCUAAUAUAUAUUUAUGUACUGAAUAACAUAUUUAUGUACUGAAUAAUAUAUUUUUGUGCUCAAUAUAAUAUAUUUUGGUAGACAAUCUAAUAUAUUUUAGUGCUUGAUCUGAAAUAUAUAUUUUGAUACUCAAUAAUAUAUAUUUAUGUACUGAAUAACAUAUUUAUGUACUGAAUAAUAUAUUUUUGUACUCAAUAUGAUAUAUUUUGGUACUCAAUUGAGAUAUUUUUGUACUAAAUGAAUUACUUGUUCCCAAAGUUUCUCACUUAUUAGUUGUGAAAUUUCUCUAUAAAUAGAGAUCUCACACAAUGCAUUAUGGACCCCGAAAUUCACAGUUGAUGCUUCCUGUGCUUUUCUUCUCUUCUCCCUUCUUCGAUUUGUCUUGACGAGUCUUUCUUCUUUUUCUACUCCUUUAUGUCCGUUUCGAUUUUAAGGUAUUUUUUUAUUUUUAUUUUGCUUUUAUGUUAUAAAAAAUGAAAAAAAAUUAGAUUAUGUUAAGAGAUUUUGUGGUGAUCCAACCUCGCUUUAGCUUUAGGUUUUAUUUAUCAUUCAAAAUAACAAAAACAUUCAAAUAACAAAAACCACAAAAAUAUUUUCAUAAUAAACCUUGAUUUUCAAUCAAGUGAUCGUUCUUUUUAUUUUUGUUUUUCUUAAUCAAAUUUUGUUUUCCUUAAUCAAAUUUCAAAUAGAUUUUAACUCUACUUUAAGACUAUUCUCUUUCAAUAUAAAAAAUACAAACAAAUUCUUAUUUGCCACUUGGCUUUUCAUUUUAGAACCUUUUUCAAAACUAAUAAAAAACACAAAAUAAAUCAAAAGUCAAUUUCUACCCCGAACUACGAGGUUUUGAUCCUCAUGGGUACGUAGGAAGAUGACCAUGUCCUUCCAAAUCAAUAAAAAAUGUAGAUAAUUAGGUCUCACUUUCUUUUUCUUUUAACCAUCACUUUAAUUCCAUUUCUUUUAAGCAAGCAAGUUUAUAACACAUUAAUUAAAUAAAAUCAAGAGGUUCCCGUAGAGUAUUACGGACAUAAAGGGUGCUAAUACCUUCCCUUUAUGGAACUAACCCCAAAAUCUUUUCAAAAUGGGGUAGUUUGAACUUUUUUUCCCCUUUUUCUUAAAAAUUAAAUGUUCAGUCUUAAAAUAAUUAGUGAGUCAAAAGCUAAUCAAAUAGCCUUGAUCUCCGAAAAAUGACGCGACAAUAUUAAUAUUAAAAAAAAGAUUUACUUAUUUAAAGAUAUUAAAUAGGGUUUAAUCUCAUUUUUAAUAAAGAUAUUAAAAAAAAUUAACCCGUUAGUCUAUUUACUACAGAUGUAACAAAGUUACUUAUUUAAAGAUAUUAAUAUAAAAUAGGUCUUUAAGUAACCGUGCAAGUCAUAUAAGGCUUCCAAAAAUGUCACAUUAGGACCAUACUUAUUUCACUUCUCUUCAUAGGUGCGAAGAAAUAGAGUGGAGACACCAACUAUUUUCUAUUUUCCACAUUUCUCCUUGGGUUUGAUGAUAUAUACUACUAAUAUAUACUUCCAACUUUUUUUGUUAUAUAAUCUUUUUCUUUUUAAUAUAGAAAAUUUAGAGUGAGAGGAUGACGCCCUAGUAUAAAAUCUUAUAUCAAUUAUAAUUUGUAAAUACCAUACUAAAUAUCCUAAUACAAUUCAAAUGUUAUAAAUAUAUAUUCAUGUACAGAACUGACCCAUAGCAAAUAAAUUGAUUGGUCUCAAAUGAUUGAUGAACUUCACUUAAGAGAAAAUAGCUUGGAAAAACCCAAAUUCGAUUUUUGAAUGAAACAAUUCUUCAUCAAACUUUACAUAUCGUUUGACCCAACUCGAAGUUUCUUGGUUCCCAUUUUCAUAGGAACCAUAACGUUAACACUAAAAAAGAACCGGGUCGUAAGAUAAAUCUAUGAAACAAAGAAUUUCAUGGUAUUGCUUUGGCUCAUGGUCAUUUUCUUGAUUUAAUGUAUACUAUUUUCAAAAUAACUAGUUACAAACCCGUGCUUCGCAGGGGUUCAAUAACGUAUUCGAUAAAAAAAAUCUUCUAAAGAAGAGAUGUUAAAACGACGGAACAUUGUGAUUCAUCAUAAAAUAUGUAUGGGCAGAUUAAGAGAGCAUAUAAUCAGUUUAUGAGAUUAGGAAUUGAUAUAAUAUUUAGGAUGAAAACAAUUGGAACCAAUAAAGGAACCAAUGAUGUGUGAAUUUACAUUUUAUCCAAAAUUAUAAAAAAGAGUGUUAUUGUUAUAGAGUUACCAAAAAAUGAUUGAUGCCCAUAUUUACAUCAAAUGAAAUCAAGCAAAGAAGUAGCAUCAAUGAGUGAAGAUAAUCGAGUCAAGGAUUAGAGUUAAGGUGAUUGGUUGAAAGUGCGGAUCAUGAACACCAAAUCUUUAUUUGGGAACGACUUGAACGUGCAUAUUUUUAGGUGGCUUCUCUAGAUCAAAAAUUAAUUUAUCACCUACCUCUAACAUAUGUUCUCGGCGAAAUUUGAACCAUUGGCCGCCUAAAUAUUUUUUGUAACUUUCUCUCUUUGUCGUUAUCAAGCGACACUUAUACCUUUUUUGAGCUUGUUUGUGGAUGAGUGUGAUUGUUUUCCGUGUUCCUUUUAGAAAUGUCAUUGAUAUCUCAUUGGAGAAGUGCUAGGUAUAAAACAAAUUACAAUGUUAAUUAGAAGUUAUAUAUAUAUGUACAUUUAUAAAACAUUUAGCAAAGCAUUAUAAAGAUUUACUUUUGAAAAGAGCAUGUUUUAUUUUAUUCAAGAGGUUAGGAAAACAACAUUUCAAUUAACAUGAUACUAAUUGGAACUAAUGAAGGAACCAACAAUGUGCAGAUUAACGUUACAUAAUAGUUAAGUUUAUAAAAGAGAUUGCAAGUUUCAUAGACUAAUCAAAAAGGGAUUUUUGCCAAUAUUUACACCAGACAAAAUGAAAAGAACAAAUGAUAUCCCAAAGUUAAGAUAGUUUACGACUACAGUCCAAAGCGAUGCGUCAAAAUGGUAGAAGUUUAAAUAGUUCAACAACAAAGAUCUACUUUGGAACAACUCGAAUUUGCAAGUUCUUCUGUGACUUUUCGAGAUCAAAGAUGAGCUUACCACCUUCUUCCAUCAUUCGUUAUUUGUAGAAAUUGAACCACUCCCCACCAAAGAAAUUUUCAUAGCUUGCUCUAUAAAGGUAGCUUAACUGAUUUUAAGCUAAAGAAAAUGUAGCAUGACGUCUAAUUUAUCUUCCAAUUAUCUUCGUAUAAAGUCUAGAUAAAUGUAUGCAUGUACAUUAUAUGUACUCCAUUGACCAAUUAACAUUGUUGAAACAAAUGAAAAUUAAGCAUCACUUCCGCAUGUGCAUAUAUAGCUAGCACCAUUUUACAUUGAUGUCUCGAACAUUUGGUGCAACUCUCAUAAUACAAUCCAAACUGGUUAGGAUUGAAUUUAGUUGUUUUCCAAAUAGUGAUCCAGUAUGUUUCCUAACACAAAUUAUGCACAUGAAAUAAAGAAUAAUGCAAUAUGUAUUUUUAAUUUGUGCGUAAAAAAACUCAAAGCAUGUUUGUGCAUAAAAAAAGCAGACAUUGACUAAGUUUAUAAAUUCAACAACUGGCCUAAUCUGAGUCAGUUUGGAAAAAUCGUUGUACGAAGUACAAUGACAAGAAGUCGAACUCUGACUUAAGUUCUAACUGAAGCUUUGACUCUGAGCUCACGAAACAAUUCAAGAAACAUGGUCAAAAAACAAUCAAAUCGGAUUGUGAAAUAAUAAGUUACUCUAACACUGUAUUGUGAAAUCAUAAUGCAAACUUAUAAGUCUUAAACUUCUCAACAACCGGAUGAUGUAGGUUGAUGAGCAGCCUCGAACCUGACCAAUUGUUACAUAUAUUUGGGUUGCCAUUGACUACAAAAUGGAAGCAAAGAACUCAAGGUAAAUAGAUGGUAAAUGAUAAAGCUACGAAAUAUUUUUCCCAUAGUGUUACAUCAACUAUAUUCCCACUACAUAAGGAAAGACAUCUUUCGGGUCAUUAUCAAACUUAUACAAAAUCCUAUCAUCCGAUGCUGACAAAAUAGAAAAUAAUACCUUUUCUAUUUAGCAAUGUUUAGUUUUUUUGAAUAAGAAAAAGAUAUGCAUAGUUUGUUACGAUAUAAAGGUGUAAUAUAUAUAUAUAUAAGAUAAAUAUAAUUUUUUUAGGCAUCUAUAUCUUUUUUGAAGAAAAGACAUCUACAAUUUUACUUUUAAUUAAAAUCAAAAUUUUAUAAAAAUUAUACGCAUUAACGUAACAAAAAAACAUACACACAUAAAGUAUUACUCUAAACGCUAAUAUGUGUGUCUGUAUAUCUGCGAGGUUGAAGAAAGAAAAUAAAAAUAUUUUGUAUUAUUAAAUGAUAGCGUGAAUAAAAAUAUUUUAGAGGUUGUUAUGAUUAAACGAUAUUUAAAUUAAAUAUAUAAGUGAUAAAAAGAUAAUAAAAUUUAUUUGAAAAAAAGGUAAAAAAAUUAAAUGGAACCUCCUUAAAAAAAUUAAAUGGAACGGCUAAAAAAAAUUAAAUGGAAGAAAAAAACAUAUUGAAAUAUAAUAUUAGAAAAUAAAAGAAAAAGUUCCUAACGUGAAUUGAAGAGAGAUGCUUGUGAAAUAAAUUUUCGAGAAGUAGUUUUUUGAAGUAGCAUUCAAACAACUUUUGGCCAAAGCUCAUUCCAUUCAAUUUUAUGCAUUAAAAAAAAGUAUUUUAUGCAUUGAAAAAAAAAACCGUGUCAAACGGUAUCUUAAUCUCCCACAACGGAAGUGUAGAAGCCACCGAAUUUGAGAGAAAAAAUUAGAAAAUAGUUAAAAAUAAAAAAUUGGAAAAUAGUUCAAAGUUUUUAAAAAUAUGAAAAUUGGAAAAUAGUUAAAAAAAAUCGGUGAGGUAGCACUCAACCAAGAAAUACUAAAAAAAAAUAUGCAUUAAUGUAACAAAAAACAGACAGACGGACACAAAAUAUUACUAUGGACAAUCCAAACUUUGCCAAGCUAUCAUGAUAGAAACAAUAGCCAAAUGAUUCCAAAAUGUCAUAUUUAUAAAUGAGGAUUCUGAAGUUGAAGUAUUAGGGUUUGGCAUCAAGAUAAGACCAACAAAAUUAAAUGUUUGAGAUGAAUAUGCUUAUAUCACAAUUCAAAUUGAUUUUGUAUAGUCAAUGCAGGUAUAAAAAGGUGGAAAUGGAUAGGUGCUGCAAUUGCAACUGCUUUACUCAUAUUAUGCCCACUCAUUAUAUGGCUAGCCAAAAAGAAAAAAAAAUAUGCACUUCAAGGUAUAUCAAUAUGGAUACUUUAAAACUGUCAAUGCAAGUAAAACAAGAUGGAUAUGUAUAGGUUCUAUCUUUAUCUUUGAUUUUUUUGGUUAUGUAGAUAAGAAAAGUAAAAGAAAGGAAGGUAAGAGCAAUGAUUUGGUGGAAUCAUAUGAUAUCAAAGAUCUUGAAGAUGACUUCAAGGGACAUGAUAUAAAAGUUUUUAACUUUACAUCAAUCUUGGAAGCAACUAUGGAAUUUUCCCCUGAAAACAAGUUAGGACAGGGAGGUUAUGGACCCGUUUAUAAGGUGACUUUAGUUAAAUUGUAUGUUUUAAAAGCAUGUUUUAAAUUACUAUUAAAAUUAUGGCACAUGCAUCAUGUUGCAAACAAGUGUUUCUAAUGUGGUAGUGUUGUUUUUCAUGGUUGGUGAUUAUUGUUUCGGACAAAACUUAUAUGUAUUUUUUUUAGGUAUUUUUUGGUAUGAUUCUUAACUGUAGCAGCUAUAAUUUCUUCAAAUGUAUCAAAGUUAAGAACCAUAUUCAAAUUAUCUAAAGAAAUGCACCUAAAUUUUGUACUUGUGUUUUACGAUUUCAGGGAAUCUUGGCAACAGGGCAAGAAAUUGCUGUAAAAAGGCUUUCGAAAACAUCUGGACAAGGAAUUGUGGAAUUCAAAAAUGAAUUGGUUAUGUGAACUUCAGCACACAAAUCUUGUCCAACUACUUGGUUGUUGCAUUCAUGAAGAAGAAAGGAUUCUAAUUUAUGAAUAUAUGCCAAACAAAAGCUUGGAUUUCUACCUAUUUGGUGAGAAUGUGUGAAGUCUAUAUUUGUAUGUGAUGUUAUCCUAGCUCAUGUUUUAUUUACUCAUUAGUUAGCUAUGGAAAACUAAAUAACAUUAUGGUUUGGUACUUUUGAAUAAUAUAAAUUUUAACGUUAAUUAUUAUGUUUUCAUUGAGAAGAUUGUACAAAAAAGAAAUUUCUAGAUUGGAAGAAGCGUUUCAACAUAAUAGAAGGAAUUUCUCAAGGAUUAUUCUAUCUUCAUAAGUACUCAAGACUCAAAAUCAUUCACAGAGACUUGAAAGCUAGCAACAUACUUCUUGAUGAGAAUAUGAACCCAAAAAUUGCUGAUUUUGGUAUGGCAAGGAUGUUUACACAACUGGAAUCCACAGUAAAUACCAACCGGAUUGUUGGGACUUAGUGAGUAUUCUAAAAUUUAUUUGUUAUAAAUGUUUUUAUGAUGAUUUUAUGAAAACUUUAUUUUUUGAAAGUUAUGAAUUUUUUGUGUAGUGGAUACAUGUCUCCAGAAUAUGCCAUGGAAGGAGUUUGUUCUCCAAAGUCUGAUGUCUAUAGCUUUGGAGUGUUGCUGCUUGAAAUUGUUUGUGGAAGAAAAAAUAAUAGCUUUUAUGAUGCUGAUCGCCCACUAAAUCUAAUCGGACAUGUAUGUCAAUUACUUUCAUUGAGUUUUUUUUAAUAAAUAUUACCCGUUCUUCAUAAUUUAAUUAUAUUAUUAAUAGGCAUGGGAGAUAUGGAAUGAUGGUGAGUAUCUACGGUUACUGGAUCCAUCUUUAAGUGACACAUUUGUUCCUGAUGAAGUACAAAGGUGUAUUCACGUUGGUCUCUUGUGUGUAGAACAAUAUGCAAAUGAUCGACCUACAAUGUCGGAUGUGAUAUCAAUGUUAGCAAACAAAUAUGAACUCACAACCUUACCAAGAAGACCAGCAUUUUAUAUUAGACGAGAGAUCUUUGAAGGGGAAACAACUUCCAAAGGGGAAGACGCCAUCACCUAUUCUACGACAACAAUUUCUACCUCAUGUGAAGUAGAAGGGAAAAUAUAAGUAAUAAAAAUCACCUGAAUAUGGUUUUUGUUUUUGAAAUAUACUCAUUUCCUGUGUCUGUAAAAGUAUACUCGCAAUGUUCCUUUUAAUAUGUAUUUUUUUCAUGGUAGUUCUUGUAAUUAAUAUAUUGUACUAUAUAUGAGAUUUUUCAUAAUCGUUGUUAAAAAAUUUCUUAGUCCAGCACUAAUCUCUUUUAAAUUCUUACAAGUCUUGUUUAUAAAUGCGAGAUAACAAAUUAGUUCCAUAAAAAUUGGUUUAUGAAAUGCUUGCCAAUCAAUCCCAUAUCUCUGCUAUUUAAAAAGCAUGCUUAUCAAUAUCUAUCUACAGUACCUUUGUAGCCCCUCUCUCUCUCUCCAACUAUCCUCAGUUAAAACCGCCGCAAAUGUGUAUCCUCGAAUUCAGUAACAGCCACUGUCAGAUCAAAAAUGUGUCGGCGUCGAUCUAUUGGAGCUACAGUGAGCAAACGACAAAAUUGUUUCUCUCGUUGUCUCCCAUUUCUCGUUGUCUUAUUCUUCUUCCUUUUUUCUCUCGUUUGGUUCUAUUAAUUUGCAUUUGUGUUCUUAUUUAGGAAAGAUGUGAAUGGACUAUUACUUGUGUCUUUCACAAUGCCAGUGUCGUCAUGAGUAUAACAAUUUGUUUAAAUUUGAGUUUAGUAAUCUUAAAGCUGUAUCAGAAUGAAAAUUAAUGAUAAUUUAGGAUGAAAUUGUAUUGAUUUUGUGUUAUUGAACUCAAAGUUUAAUAAUAUUCAUAUUGUAUGAAUUUUCUUUUGGUGCAUUUCAUUGAAUAGGUUGGCUCGGGAAAUGGUGGAAUAGUUCAAUGCAGUUCAUGCUUUGAAUCAUGGUAUUUUAAUUUGGUUUCGUUCUACUUUAUUAUAUACAUAAAUAUUGAAUUUAAAUCCAAGUGUUUUGGACAUUAGUAGAUAGUCUUCUUAAAAAAUUGGAAUCUGGUUUAUCUGCGAGUUUCCUCUUUGAUAUGAAAAUCUAUUACUUUAAGAUUGUCCAUACAUGUCUUUUACAUCAUCUCAAUUAGUACUUGAUUUUAUACUUCAAAGUUAAGUUAUCAGUAGCUGAAACAAUAUUAAUAAAAUUAAAGCUCUUAAUUGCAUGAUAUUAUCUAGGGAUGAAGGCACUUCACACAUAGAGAUACAUUUUUAUGAUUGAUGAGCCUUGCCUUGAGAUUAUUUCCCCUUUCAAUAAUAAAUUUAGAAACAAGGUACGUGUUGUUAUUUGUUCGUUCAUCAAUCUAAUGUUGGUUACAUCUGUGUUAAUGAUUUUGUUUUCUUCGAUUGGUUUGAGAGUUGCUUGCAUCACAGGAAGAUAAUUAACAUUGGUCUGAACUCAAUUUUGAAUGUAUUCUCAUCUUCUUGUUGAAUUCAUUUUCUAUUGGGUUCGACUUUUGUUGCGCAACAAAUAUAAUGCUCUACAGAUCAUCUCAGUUCUCCAAUUUGACUUUGAUCCCUAGGAUUCUUCACUCUUAUUUAGGGUUCUUGUCUCUUUCUCGCUGAAUCCCUAGUUUUCACAGUUCAAGGAAACAUUAUUUUGUUUUUCCGCUCUUUUUUUAUCCUCCGUUGUUUAGUUUUCAGCUCCAAUUCAUCGUUGUUAUAACUUCUUUUACAUUGGCAGGUAUAUGUUUUAACUUUUUAGGUAUGGUAAUUUUUUUCUUCAUAUUUAUGAAUACUAUCAUUUUAUCAUGGUUUAUGUAUUAUAACUCUUAAUUGUUGUCUUUUUGAUAUUUAUGGAAGGAAAAAGAUAUUUAUAGUGACAAAUUAGACAGAGAAAUCAUCCGGAAAGCACGUGGCAUAAUGUUUGAAGCCAACUUAUUAGCACCCCACCCAGCAUGUUUUCCGCCCAUAAUGUUUGAGGUUAGCUUCAUAUUAGAUGGCAAUUGUGGUAAACAAUUUAGUUAUUGAAGUCAUUGAGCAUUUGAGGCUUUGUUUUCGACUUCAUGUAUUUUUAUACACACCAAGACAUAACAAGAACCAUUUUCUUUGUGAUUCUUAAUUUGAUCACUUUAUAAUUUUUUUAAUUUUAAAAUUUGCAUCUUUUGUAUGUUUGAUGCAGAAGAUCUAGAUGGUGAUCAUGAAUGAUAUAUUCAAUAUUUGUUUAUUUAUCACAAUAUAGAUUAACUAAAUUUGUAUCUAAAAUUUAGUAAUAUUUAUGCCAUCAAAAUUAGCUAAAACUGUAUUUAUAUUUGUUUGCUAGAGAUUGGCUAAGAUUGAGCUACUAACCGGUAACAUUUUCUUCAAUGUUACUAAUACUACUCUCAAAGGUUACUUAAACCAUUUAGUAACAUGGACUUUUUCCAACAUUUAUCAAGCUUUUGAUUUAGUAACCUUUUUCAAGUGUUAGUAGAUCUAAUAUAUGUUGUACUGUAACUUGGAGUGAGAUUUAAUAUAUUAAGAUCUGAAAAAAGUUUAAUUUGAUUGCUAAAAGAAAUGCUCACUAAGACAUGAGAAGGAUGGUUUCAGUUUCAAAUCUUAGGAUGCAUUGCACAUCUUUGAACUCCAACUUUUUGGGAUAGGAAAUUUGUAAACAAACUAAUCAUUGGCUCUCAUCAGAUUUCGUGUGCCACAUAAAUCAAACCAACGUUAUCUUUACUUUCCACUACAUUCCACAAGAGUACCUUUCUCCAACACUUUUUUUUUUAAAGAAAAAAGAAAAGAAAGAAGAAUGGAUCAGUUUAAUUUGACUCAAUUAUUUAAUGAUAAGUGAUAACAUCACUGUUUCCUGUUCCUACUUCCUACUCUUGACAUACUUUUGAGCUUAAUUUACUAACAAUGCAAUUUUAAUAUAGGCAAAAGUAAUAUAAAUCAAAUAAAAUGUUAAGCUACUGGUUUAUUUCUUCUUUAUAUUUUGAAUAUGCUUUUAUCUAGAAAAGAAGACAUCUUUCGUUUUUGCAUUAUUUUGUAGGUAACUAUACUUUUUGCAAUUAGGACUUUCCUUUUUGCAUCACUGUUUCCUUUUUGCAAAUUUCUUUAGCUACCGAAUCUUUUAAUUUUGAAUAACAAAGAAAAGAGCCAAGCCUCUACCUAGAAAAUAAGAUCAACCAACCUACAAGAUGAAAGGUUCAAAAACCAUUCAUAUUAGAAGCUAAAGUCUUGACUUUGCCCGAACAAGACCUGAACUAUUGCAAUAAAUAAUGAAAAUUUGUAUCCUUAUUAGAAAAGGAGUACAUCAAUUCUGAAGGUAGCUCCUAGAAUGCCUACAUUACAAAAGCCUAAACAAGAAGAGGGUUAAUGGGAAUAUGGUUGAGUUUGGCUUCGCCAAAGGUUCAAAUUUUCUCUUGCCUAGUAAUUCUUGUAGACUCCCGACUUGCUCAAAUUUGUCUAGAAGAGGAUGGUGUUAGUUUGGAAUGUGUGUGGUGUCCUAGAAUUCGAGAGCUGGAGGAUCACUUGUUUUGUAGAUUAACUUCAUUGCAGACAUUUGGUAUUCGAUUUUUAAAUGGAUCGGAACGAGGGGUCACUCUACCUGGGAGUGUUGUUUCCCUCCUUCUCUUCUUCUUUAAUAAAAAAAAGCACCGUAAUUAAGGGCUUAACACUUAUCUGGCAUGCAACAUUGUGGAAGAUUUGGGGAGCGCGGAAUGAGGUUAUUUUCUCCUCAAAGAUUGCGAGGAUGGAUGAGAUAGUAGAAGGGAUCAAGUUAACAUCUUAAGAGAUGUUUAACGCCAAAAAAAGAAAAGGAGAUCAUGUUUGCAUAAUGAAUGAUACUCAAACCCUCUUCUUUGUUUAAAUACUUAAGUUAGAGGUUGGUUUUUUUUGGGGCAAGUACCUCUUAUACUUUUCCCGAGUUAUGGGUUAAUUAAGUACUCUUUCUACUUCUCUCCUUUCUAAUAAAUUUUGUUGUUAAAAAAAAUAAACUUUACUUAGGUCCCUUGUGAACAUGGACGUUAUUAUCUAUACAUUUACCUAUCCUUCAAUUAUUAUUUAAUUAAAGUAAACUGAUCUUGUCUUUUUCCUUUUAAAAAAAGUAGUAGAGAAAGGUAGUCUAGUUUGUGCAACAUUUAGUAGUGGAAAAAUAAAGAUAAAGUUGAUUUGACAUUAACUUUGUGAACUAGAACAAACUCUGAUAAGUGUCUAAAAUCACUUGUAUCAAAUUUCCAACCCAAAGUUGGGGAGUGCAGAUUGCAAGAAACAAGUUGGUGAGUAUUUCUCUUCUUUUUGAAACAAUAUUCAUCAAUGAUGAUAAGUUUUGAAAUAAAGAAACAAGUUGUAUUGAUAUACCUAUGGUUGUGGUGGAACACGACUAGCAUUUGUGUUAAAGCAAUAAAUGAUAGUUUGAAGCCAGGUGAUAAAUUGGAUGCAAAUUCCAACCUAUGUUCUAAACAAGGUAAGUAUUGUGUUCAAUUCUCCCCUACUUUACAAAACGAAGAUGCUCACUUGAUUGUAAGUGUCAAUGAGGAUUAUGGCGCAGUAGUAUGGAUGUAUGAUAGAAAUCAUUCCAUUGACUUAGAUUCAGCAGUUCUAUCGCUAGACUACUCCGGUGUGCUCAAAAUAGAAUCACAAAGUAGGAAACCAAUUAUCAUUUAUUCUUCACCUCAACCCAUAAACAACACUUUGGCUACUAUAUUAGACACAGGUAACUUUGUGCUUCGACAAUUUCACCCCAAUGGGUCAAAGACUGUGUUGUGGCAGAGUUUUGAUUACCCAUCAGACGUUUUGAUCCCAACGAUGAAGUUAGGAGUUAAUCGAAAAACAGCACAUAAUUGGUCAUUGGUGUCAUGGUUAACUCCUUCGCGGCCAAAUUCAGGUAAAUUUAGUCUUGAGUGGGAACCAAAACAAGGUGAACUGAACAUCAAGAAAAGAGGCAAAGUGUAUUGGAAAAGCGGAAAACUUAAAAGCGAUGGAUUAUUCGAGAAUAUUCCGGCCAAUGUUCAAACUAUGUAUCAAUACACUAUUGUCUCUAACAAGGAUGAAGAUUCUUUCACUUUCAAAAUCAAAGAUCGGAAUUAUAAGACGUUAUCUUCGUGGUAUCUGCAAUCAACAGGGAAAUUAAGUGGUACUGAAGGAGAUAUUGGAAAUGCAGAUAUGUGUUAUGGAUAUAAUAGGGACGGAGGGUGCCAAAAGUGGGAGGAUAUACCAACUUGUAGGGAACCUGGUGAGGUGUUUCAGAGGAAGACGGGAAGACCAAACAUCAUCAAUGCAUCAACUACUGAAGGUGAUGUGAAUUAUGGUUACAGUGAUUGCAAGAUGAGAUGUUGGAGAAAUUGUAAUUGCUAUGGAUUCGAAGAACUAUACAGUAAUUUUACUGGAUGUAUAUACUAUUCAUGGAAUUCGACACAAGACGUGGAUUUGGAUGAUCAAAAUAAUUUUUACGCCUUGGUAAAGCCAUCAAAACCAGCCCAAAAAUCCCAUGGUACGUAAGACUAUAAUGUCAUUUUAAUUAGAUUGCUUCCAAGUGAUUAUUUAUGAAUUGGAUUUCCAGAAGUCUACUUAGUUCACGCAUGGUAACUGUGAUAUUAAUCAAACAGUUCAAAGAAAAGUAUAUUUUAUUUAUAUUUUAUCAUUUAAACCACGGAGCUGAAAUUCAAAAUCUUAAUCAAAUGGUCACUGAUAUCCGGAUUGCAUGAAUACGUGAAAAACACGGUUAUUUAGAGCAACUCCAGCGGUAAGUUUUGUAAUAAUUGUUGAUGGAGUUGGCUAGCAUGUAAUGAUAGUUGCUUUUUGAAGUAACCGUUAUUUUUGUUACUUUGAUUAAAAUAACGAUAAAAUUAUCACCUUUCUAAAUUUUUGAACACGUUAAAUUGUUUUAUGCUGUUUUUAUUUUACUUUGAAAAUUAUUCUACUUAUAAAUUGUGCACAUUUUAAAAUAUUAAACUGAGUUUUUUCUCAUAAUUUUAUCUUUGUAUUUCUCUUAUUAUUUUUAACCUUUUCAUAUUAAUAUUAAGUACAAAUAAUUAAUCCCUAAAGAAAAAAGUAGAAAUAAUUAAAUUAUAAUUUUAAGAUGUGAUAAAAUUGAAUAUAAAUAUUAUAUUUGAGGUAAAAGUGUGAGACCAAAUAUGAGUUUUAUAGAGUUCAUCAUUGGAAUGCAAAAUACAGGCAAAAUUACAUAAUUUGUCUCUUAACUUAAUUUCAUGUAAUACUUUCGUCUUUUUUUUUCUUUCUUGAAUUUCAACGAUAUGAUUAGGGUUUGGCAUCAAGAUAAGAGCAAAAAUUAAAAGUUUGAAAUGAAUAUGCUUAUAUCACAAUGCAAAUUGAAUGUGUAUAGUCGAUGCAGGUAAAAAGUGGAUAUGGAUAGGUGCUGCAAUCGCAUCUGCUAUACUCAUAUUAUGUCCACUCGUUUUAUGCCUAGUAAAAAAGAUUCAAAAAUAUGCUCUACAAGGUAUAUGGAUACAUUAAAAUAGUACAAUAUGCAUUUACUAUAUACAAUCCUUUUUUUCUAUAUUUAUCUUUUAUUUUAUUUUUUUUGUUAAUUAGUAGAUAAGAAAAGUAAAAGAAAGGCGGGUAAGAGCAAUGAUUUGGCGGACUCCAUUGAAUCCUAUGAUGUUAAAGAUCUUGAAGCUGACUUCAAGGGACAUGAUAUAAAAGUUUUUAACUUUACAUCAAUUUUGGAAGCAACUAUGGACUUUUCCCCUGAAAACAAGUUAGGACAGGGAGGCUAUGGACCAGUUUAUAAGGUGACUUUAAAGUUAAAUUUUGUUAAUGAUUAGGUUUGUUUAAAAACAUGUUUUAAUUUACUAUUACAAUUAGUGCACCAUCUCAUGAUGUAAGCAAAUGUUUCUAAUGUGGUUGUAUUGUUUUUUGUGGUUGGUGAUUUAUUGUUUUAAACAAGCCUUGUAAGCAUUUUUUCAUGAUUUUUAUUGUAUGGUUCUUAAAUGUAGCAUCCAUAACUUCUUCAAAUUCAAUUGUUUCGCAAAGUUUGUUAGUAUAAUUUACAAAAAGUGUAUUGAGUUAGGAUUCGUAUUAAAAUUAUAUAAGGAAAUGCACCUGAGUUUUGUCCUUUUGCUUGACGACUUCAGGGAAUCUUGGCAACAGGGCAAGAAGUUGCCAUAAAAAGACUUUCAAAAACAUCUGGACAAGGAAUUAUGGAAUUCAAAAAUGAAUUGGUACUUAUAUGUGAACUUCAGCACAUAAAUCUUGUACAACUACUUGGUUGUUGCAUUCAUGAAGAAGAAAGGAUUCUAAUCUAUAAAUAUAUGCCAAACAAAAGCUUGGAUUUCUAUCUAUUUGGUGAGAAUAUGUUGAAGUCUAUAUUUGCAUGUGAUGUGUUUUUAGGGAACGUUCAUAAAAUUGUGAUCGUUAUUGUGUAACGAUUAAAGCACAAUGACAACAAAACUAUUGGGUUUUAUUAACUUAUCAUUUUAUGUGACUCAUUAGUUAGUUACAGAAAAUUAAAAUGGCAUUUUGAUUAGCUACUUUAUGAGUAGUAUUCAUUUUAGCAAGAAAUGUUGUGUUUUCAUUGAGUAGAUUGUACAAAAAAGAAGUUGCUAGAUUGGAAAAAGCGUUUCAACGUAAUAGAAGGAAUUUCUCAAGGAUUACUCUAUCUUCACAAGUACUCUAGACUCAAAAUCAUUCAUCGAGACUUGAAAGCUAGCAACAUACUUCUUGAUGAGAAUAUGAACCCAAAAAUUGCUGAUUUUGGUAUGGCAAGAAUGUUUACACAGCAGGAGUCUGUAGUAAAUACCAAUAGAAUUGUUGGGACAUAGUGAGUUUUCCAAACUUUAUUUGUUUCAAAUGUUUUACUGAUGAUUUUGUGAAAACUAUUUAUUUUUUAAAAGUUAUGAUUUUUGUGCGUAGUGGAUACAUGUCUCCAGAAUAUGCCAUGGAAGGAGUUUGUUCUACAAAAUCUGAUGUCUAUAGCUUUGGAGUGUUGCUGCUUGAAAUUGUUUGUGGAAGGAAAAACAAUAGCUUUUAUGAUGUUGAUCGCCCCUUAAAUCUAAUCGGACAUGUAUGUCAAUUACUUUCAUUGAGUUUUUUUUAAUAAAUAUUACCUAUUCUUCGUAAUUUGAUUAUAUUAUUAAUAGGCAUGGGAGCUAUGGAAUGAUGGUGAGUAUCUAAAGCUAAUGGAUCCAACGUUAAAUGACACAUUUGUUCCGGAUGAAGUGAAAAGGUGCAUUCAUGUUGGUCUCUUAUGUGUAGAACAAUAUGCAAAUGAUCGACCUACAAUGUCUGAUGUUAUAUCAAUGUUAACAAACAAAUAUGAACUCACAACAAUACCUAGAAGACCAGCAUUUUAUGUUAGAAGAGACAUUCUUGAUAGAGAAACAACUUCUAAAGUGCCAGACACCGACACCUAUUCUACAACAAUUUCUACCUCGUGUGAAGUAGAAGGGAAAAUAUAAAUAAUCAAUAAAUAUAUAUGUAGAUUGUUCAUACACUCGUUUGAAACAGAUUUUGUUCUUUGAAGUAUCAAAAAAUGUAAGCUUGAAUAUGGUUUGGUUUUAUGAAAUAUUCAGUGUCUGUAAAAAAAAAUUCAAAAUGGUUCUUAAAGUACGUACUUUUUCAUUGUAGUUCUUGUUAAUAGAUUUUAGUCUAAAUUAGAUUUUCAUAGUCCAUCACCAACAUUUUUGAUUUCUAACAAGUCCUAUUUAUAAAUGGCACAUAACAAAUUAUUUCUACAAAAAUGGUACCUGAAAAGCAUGCCAAUCACAAAAAUGGUAACCUAUUAGCACUAGGCAGAGGACGAAAUUUAAUGCAAUGGAGUUCCAAAGCUAAUCUAUACUAAUUUUUUGUAUGAAAAGGCAUAUUUACCUCUGGAAUCCUUUCAAUCAUUUUUUACUUUAAAACUUGUUCAGCUUCCGUUACUAAUUUUCUAUACUAAUUUUUUGUAUGAAAAGGCAUAUUUUUUAUUUUAAUAUAUUAAGAUCUGAAAAAAGAGAAUACACCCGUUUAAGCUGAAUUUACUACUUCCUACUCUUGACAUACUUUUGAGCUGAAUUUACAAACAAUACAAUUUGGAUAUAGGCAAAAUUAAUGUAACUCAAAUAAAAUGUUCAGCUACUGGUUUUUUUCUUCUUUAUAUUUUGAAUAUGCUUUUAUCUAGAAAAGAAGACAUGUUUCAUUUUUGCAAUAUUUUUUUUUUUUUUUUAUAGUUAAGAUAGUAAUAAAAGGUUGAAUUAUUUUGUAGGUUACUAUACUUUUUAAUUUGCAAUUAGUUCUUUCCUUGAAUUGAACCGCAAGAGUGCAAAUUUCUUUAAGUGCAGCAACAAGAAGGGGGUUAAUGGGAAAUGGUUGAGUUUGGCUUUGCAAAAGGUUCAAAUUUUCUCUUGCCUAGUAAUUUUUGUAGACUCCCGACUUGCUCAAAUUUAUCUGAAAGAGGAGUGUUAGUGGAUGGUGUUAUUUCAGACUCUGUGUGGUGUCCUAGGAUUCGAGAGGUGAAGGAUCACUUGUUUUGUAGAAGUAACUUCGUUGCAGAGGUAUUCGUUUUUUAAAUGGAUCGGAACGGGGGUCAUUCUACCUGCAAAUUUUCUUUCCCUCCUAGAUUAUUUAUCUUCUUUAAAUAAAAGGCAUUGUAAGGGCUUAACACUUAUCCAGCAUGCAAUAUUGUGGAUGAUUUGGGAAUCGCGAAAUGAGGUUAUUUUCUCCUCAAAGAUUGCGGAAGUGCAGGAGAUCGUAGAAGGUAUCAAAGUAACAUCUAUAAAGUUGGUUUCUUGCUAAAAAAAAGGGGACCAUGUUUCUAUAAUGAUUUCAAACCCUCUUCUUUGUUUAAAUACUUAAGUUAGAGGUUGGUUUUUUUUGGGCAUGUAACCCUUAUACUUUUCCCAACUUGUAGGUUAAGUACUCUUUCUACUUCUCUCCUUUCUAAUAGAUAUGGUUGUUAAAAAACAAAACAAAAAUCAUAGCUUUCAUAAGAACACCUGCUUUAGGCUUACGUACUCUUUGUAAUAAAAGAAAAAAAGCACACCUACUUGAAUAACGUAUUAUUUUCUUGAAAGAAAAAAAAUAAACAAAUUCUUUUCAUUCGUUAUAUCACAUAAUUUAAUUUCAUUACUUCAAUUUAAAAAAUAAAAUAAAAAAUAAAUAAACUUUACUUAGGUCCCUUGCGAACAGGGACGUUAUAAUCUAUACAUUACUUAUCCUUCAAUUAUUAUUGUAUUAAAGUAAACUUCUUUUAAAAAAAGUAUAGUAGAGAAAAGUAGUCUAGUUUGUGCAACAUUUAGUAGUGGAAAAAUAAAGAUAAAGUUGAUUUGACAUUAACAUUGUGAACCAGAAGAAACUCUGAUAAAGUUGGGCAGUGCAGAUUGCAAGAAACAAGUUGGUGAGUAUUUCUCUUCUUUUUGAAACAAUAUUCAACAAUGAUGAUAAGCUUUGAAAUAAAGAAACAAGUUGUAUUGAUAUACCUAUGGUUGUGGUGGAACACUACUGCUAAUAUUUGUGUUGAAGCAACAAGUGAUAGUUUGAAGCCAGGUGAUAAAUUGAAUUACAAAUCCAAGCUAUGUUCUAAACAAGGCAAGUUUUGUCUUCAAUUCGGCAAUAAUUCUAAUUCUGAUUUCCAAUGCUUGUUUAUAAGUGUUAAUGCUGAUUAUGGCAAAGUAGUGUGGGUGUAUGAUAUAAAUCAUUCCAUUGACUUUAAUACAUCAGUUCUAUCACUAGACUACUCUGGUGUGCUCAAAAUAGAAUCUCAAAAUAGGAAACCAAUAAUCAUUUACUCUUCACCUCAACCUACCAACAACACUGUGGCCACUAUGUUAGACGCCGGUAACUUUGUGCUUCAACAAUUUCUUCCCAACGGCUCAAUGAGUGUGUUGUGGCAGAGUUUUGAUUAUCCAUCAGACGUUUUGAUCCCAAUGAUGAAGUUAGGCGUUAAUCGAAAAACAGGACAUAAUUGGUCAUUGGUUUCAGAUAAAUUUAAUCUUGAAUGGGAACCAAAACAAGGUGAAUUGAACAUCAAGAAAAGCGGCAAAGUGUAUUGGAAAAGCGGAAAACUUAAAAGCAAUGGAUUAUUCGAGAAUAUUCCGGCCAAUGUUCAAAGUAGGUAUCAGUACAUUAUUGUCUCUAACAAGGAUGAAGAUUCUUUCACGUUCGAAGUUAAAGAUGGGAAGUUUGCACAAUGGGAACUAUCCUCGAAGGGGAAGUUAGUAGGUGAUGAUGGAUAUAUUGCUAAUGCAGAUAUGUGUUACGGAUAUAAUAGUGAUGGAGGGUGCCAAAAAUGGGAGGAUAUACCAACUUGCAGGGAACCUGGUGAGAUGUUUCAGAAAAAGGCGGGAAGACCAAGCAUAGACAAUUCAACAACAUAUGAAUUCGACGUGACUUAUAGUUACAGUGAUUGCAAGAUCAGAUGUUGGAAAAAUUGUAGUUGCAAUGGAUUCCAACUAUAUUAUAGUAAUAUGACUGGAUGUGUAUUCCUUUCAUGGAAUUCGACACAAUAUGUUGACAUGGUUCCGGAUAAAUUUUACACCUUGGUAAAGACAACAAAAUCAGCUCCGAAUUCCCAUGGUACGUAAGUUAUAAUGUCAUUUUAAGUGAUUAUUUAUUUUCUGCUUAUUCAACUAUAGAAACUGCCUUCCUUCAGCCCAUUAUAUAACCGAUGCCAAUCUAAGGACAAAUAAAAUUGAUUGGAAUCAAACAUCAUCUCUGUAUUUUAAUAGCAAAUGUUAGUAUACUAAUUAGUAUGAUGUUAGCAUAUUUUUUUUUGUUAUGACUUGAAUCGUAGACUUUAAACUCGACAACUUAUUUAACCCCUUAGCUUAAUUGUUGAGCUACCCAACUGCCCUCCUCUAUAAAUUAGAUUAUCGAAAAUGUCACUUUAAAUUUUAAAAUAAGGUUUGUUAUGUUGUUUGGGGGUUGUGUGCGAGCACCGGAACGUAGGUGGUGGAAGUUUUUUUUGGUGGCAGCUUGUGACGUUGGUUGAGAUUUUUUAUGUACGUUUGGUCAGGGUUUUGGUACAACUUUUAUUUUCCUUUGUAUGUUGCUACUUUACGACUCCUAGUCUAGCAUUUUUUGUGUUGGUCAGAUUCUUUAUGAUUUUAAUAAAUUCAUUUGGCUUCUUCAAAAAAAAAAAAUUAAAUAAGGUUUAAUCUCAUUUUGCAUAUUAACCCGUUAGUCUAUUUAUUACAUAUGUGACAAAGUUACUUAAACUACCUAUUGUCUAAGGGUGUGUUUGGUAGGAAGAGAAGUUGUGAAGAGAGAAAAAGGUGGGAGAGAGUAUGAGUAGAGAGAAAAUGUGAGAGAGAAAUAUGUUUAUUUUUGAAAGGUCUAAUAUGUAGAGUAGAUUUUAUGUAUUGUUUGUUGUAAGAGAAAGAAGAGAGAUAAUAUACCCUUGAAUUAAAAAAUUAAAGAACCUAUAAUAUAAAUCUUCUUAUAUAUUAAAGUUAACCCGUAAGCCCUAAUUUUAACCUAAACCCUAUUGCAUAAUUUUACUGUUUUAACCUUAAUGCUCGCACUUAAUCUCCUAUUUUCAUGAACAACCCUAAUGCUCUCACCUAAUCUUCUUAUCUUCUUAUAUAUUAAAGUUAUCCCGUAAGCCCUAAUUUUAACCUAAACCCUAUUGCAUAAUUUUACUGUUUUUACCCUAAUGCUCACACCUAAUCUCCUAUUUUCAUGAACAAAGCAAAUCGGCAUCGCUUUAUUUCCCCUAUUUCUUCAAAACAAAUCGCCCUAUUUCUUCAACAAAACAAAUCGCCCUAUUGGAAUAAAAGGGUUUUGAAAAAUUAUAGCAACAUUUUUUUUGUUAAUAUUACAUUUUUCAUCCAAAUUGAAACUUAACUCUCUUUGUUAAAUAUCUACCACAAAAUGCACCAGAAUUUUGCAAUCUAUAUAAACAGGUGGAAGAAACAUUUCAACAAACAGUUAAAGAGUAUCAUUUACGGUAAAGGCCAAAUAUUCGAUAAAAGAAAAAUUAUUUAAAUACAACAUUUUACAUGUUGAGGUUAAGAAUGAGCUAUUUUUAGGUACAUAAUAUAACAUUAACAUAUAAUUUUUACAAAAGAAUGAAGUAACAUUUUGUCAAAAAAAAAAAAAAUGAAGUAACAUACCAAUAAUAUAACAUUGACAUAUAAUUUUAACAAAAAGAAUGAAGUAACACACGAUGGAUAAAAAUUAAUAUUUUUAAGGUGAAUAACUGUGGUGUCUGAGGUUCGAAUUCCAACAUCUGCAUAUAUUUGGGACCACAUAUUUCAUUCUCUUUGAUAUGCAUUGAGAUUUGUUUUUGUCUACUACAUCUACAAUUAGUUUAAUUAACAGGUUAAAUAUAAUUAAAUUGGAUAAUUAAUUUUUUAUGCCAAAAUGAUAAAAAAAAGAACGAAACAAUUGGUGUUUUGAAUUAAAUAAUUUAACAAAUCAUUUCAUCAACAUGUACCUGUCGUCAAAAAAUCUUUUGUGCUUCAGUUCUUUUUUUUUUUUUUUUUUAUCUAUUUGUUUGAAAAAUCCCUCUCUUUAUUUAUUAACUAUUAUGUUGCAGCAAGCAAGGACACAAUUGGAAAAUGAGAGUUCUCUCCUAUUUCUCUGCUGUCUUGCGAAGACUAAAAAAUGUGCAGCCCCAUGCUUUUAGACUCUGUCUCUUCUAUUUCUUUCCUCUGCAAAACUGAAGAAAAGCCCAUAUUCUCUUGUAUCUCUCUCGCCCCAAUUUCUCUCUUCCCUAAUUCAUCUCUACCAAACAAACCGUAAGAGACAAACUUGCCUUGUACAUUAUAUGGUGGAAAAUGCAAUUUGAUUAAAAAAAAAGAUUGAAAAAGAAGUUCUUUCACUACAACAAUUAUGAUGUAAUGCAACUCCAUUUUGAAAGGACUAAAAAUAAAAAAACCGUUAUCUAGUACGACAAAGUCAACACAAUAUUAAUGGAUAGUCUCGGGUUAUUAUAUUCGAUAAUAACAAAAAAACGGUCAUAAUAUUAAUACUAUUUAGUUAUUUUAUUUUUACUUUUUAAUUAUUUUAUAUUUACUUUUCGAGUGUUGCUAGCAUUCCUCUUUUAUAGAAAUAGAAUCCAAAUGUAAUCUCACAAUCGCUUCAUCUCAUAAUCACUUCAUCAUAAUUGUUUAAUCAUAAUCGUUUAAUCACAUCACUUCAUCAGAAUCACUACUCAUCAUAUCUACUUUAUCGCGAUCACUUUUACAUCCUUAUCACAGUCGCUUCAUCACAACCGUUCUAAUCAAAUUUAUUUCACAAGACCUAGAACUCAAAUAAAAUAAAAAAGUGUCAAAGGGAUAUAUUUCUAUUGCUCAAUGAUUAUUUUUUAUUUUUGUUGAAACAAAGGGGCUAAGAAAACCCCAAAAGAACUAGAAACCACGAGGAAAAGCUACAGCUGAAGACUCCGCAACAACCAGUAAUAAAGAAAAAUCCGGAACACGAUCAAAAAUACGAUAAUGAUUAUCUAAGGACAAUCCAAAUUUUGCCAAGAUGUCAUGGUAGAAACAAUAGCCAAAUGAUUCCAAAAAGUCAUAUUUAUAAAUGAGGAUUUUGAAGUUGAAGUAUUAGGGUUUGGCAUCAAGAUAUGACCAACAAAAUUAAAUGUUUGAGAUGAAUAUGCUUAUAUCACAAUUCAAAUUGAUUUUGUAUAGUCAAUGCAGGUAUAAAAAGGUGGAUAUGGAUAGGUGCUGCAAUUACAACUGCUUUACUCAUAUUAUGCCCACUCAUUAUAUGGCUAGCCAAAAAGAAAAAAAAAUAUGCACUUCCAGGUAUAUCAAUAUGGAUACUUUAAAACAGUCAAUGCAAGUAAAACAAGAUGGAUAUGUAUAGGUUCUAUCUUUAUCUUUGAUUUUUUUGGUUAUGUAGAUAAGAAAAGUAAAAGAAAGGAAGGUAAGAGCAAUGAUUUGGUGGAAUCAUAUGAUAUCAAAGAUCUUGAAGACGACUUCAAGGGACAUGAUAUAAAAGUUUUUAACUUUACAUCAAUCUUGGAAGCAACUAUGGAAUUUUCCCCUGAAAACAAGUUAGGACAGGGAGGUUAUGGACCCGUUUAUAAGGUGACUUUAUAGUUAAAUUGUAUGUUUUAAAAACAUGUUGUAAAUUACUAUUAUAAUUAUGGCACCAGCAUCAUGUUGCAAACAAGUGUUUCUAAUGUGGUAAUGUUGUUUUUCAUGGUUAGUGAUUAUUGUUUCGGACAAAACUUAUAUGUAUUUUUUAUAGGUAUUUUUUGGUAUGGUUCUUAACUGUAGCAACUAUGUUUCUUCAAAUGUAUUAAGUUAAGAACCAUAUUCAUAUUAUCUAAAGAAAUGCACCUAAAUUUUGUACUUGUGUUUUAAGAUUUCAGGGAAUCUUGGCAACAGGGCAAGAAAUUGCUGUAAAAAGGCUUUCGAAAACAUCUGGACAAGGAAUUGUGGAAUUCAAAAAUGAAUUGUUACUUAUAUGUGAACUUCAGCACAAAAAUCUUGUCCAACUACUUGGUUGUUGCAUUCAUGAAGAAGAAAGGAUUCUAAUUUACGAAUAUAUGCCAAACAAAAGCUUGGAUUUCUACCUAUUUGGUAAGAAUGUGUGAAGUCUAUAUUUGUAUGUGAUGUUAUCCUAGCUCAUGUUUUAUAUACUCAUUAGUUAGCCAUGGAAAACUAAAUAACAUUAUGAUUUGCUACUUUUGAAUAAUAUACAUUUGAAUAACAUUAUGUUUUCAUUGAGAAGAUUGUACAAAAAAGAUGUUGCUAGAUUGGAAGAAGCGUUUCAACAUAAUCGAAGGAAUUUCUCAAGGAUUACUCUAUCUUCAUAAGUACUCAAGACUCAAAAUCAUUCACAGAGACUUGAAAGCUAGCAACAUACUUCUUGAUGAGAAUAUGAACCCAAAAAUUGCUGAUUUUGGUAUGGCAAGGAUGUUUACACAACUGGAAUCCACAGUAAAUACCAACCGGAUUGUUGGGACUUAGUGAGUAUUCUAAAAUUUAUUUGUUAUUAAUAUUUUUAUUAUGAUGAUUUUGUGAAAACUUUUUAUUUUAAAGUUAUGAAUUUUUUUGUGUAGUGGUUACAUGUCUCCAGAAUAUGCCAUGGAAGGAGUUUGUUCUACAAAGUCUGAUGUCUAUAGCUUUGGAGUGUUGAUGCUUGAAAUUGUUUGUGGAAGAAAAAAUAAUAGCUUUUAUGAUGAUGAUCGUCCACUAAAUCUAAUCGGACAUGUAUGUCAAUUACUUUCAUUGAGUUUUUUUUAAUAAAUAUUACCUAUUCUUCGUAAUUUGAUUAGAUUAUUAAUAGGCAUGGGAGCUAUGGAAUGAUGGUGAGUAUCUAAAGCUAAUGGAUCCAACGUUAAAUGACACAUUUGUUCCGGAUGAAGUGAAAAGGUGCAUUCAUGUUGGUCUCUUAUGUGUAGAACAAUAUGCAAAUGAUCGACCUACAAUGUCUGAUGUUAUAGCAAUGUUAACAAACAAAUAUGAACUCACAACAAUACCCAGAAGACCAGCAUUUUAUGUUAGAAGAGACAUUCUUGAUGGAGAAACAACUUCUAAAGUGCCAGACACCGACACCUAUUCUACAACAAUUUCUACCUCGUGUGAAGUAGAAGGGAAAGUAUAAAUAAUCAAUAUAUAUAUAUAUAUAUAUAUAUAUAUAUAUAUAUAGAUUGUUCAUACACUCAUUUGAAACAGAUUUUGUUCUUUGAAGUAUCAAAAAAUGUAAGCUUGAAUAUGGUUUUGUUUUAUGAAAUAUUUGGUGUCUGUAAAAAAAAAUAAAAAAUGGUUCUUAUAGUACGUACUUUUUCAUUGUAGUUCUUGUUAAUAGAUUUUAGUCUAAAUUAGAUUUUCAUAGCCUAUCACCAACAUUUUUAAUUUCUAACAAGUCCUAUUUAUAAAUCGCACAUAACAAAUUAUUUCUAUAAAAAUGGUACCUGAAAAGAAUGUCAAUCAAUCCCUUAUCUCUGCUAUAGAAAAAUCAUGCCAAUCACAAAAAUGGUAACCUAUUAGCACUAGGCAGAGGAUGAAAAGGCAUAUUUACCUCUUGAAUCUUUCGAUCAUUUUUUAUUUUAAAACUUGUGCUUCAGUUACUGUCUGGCCAAGUUUUUGAGGAUUAUAUAUAACUUUAAAGAAGUUUUGAAAAGCUUGAAUCUCUCGAAUAUGUGUACCUCGACUUAUGUUGGUCCUUUUCUGUAGAGAAGGGAAAGCACAUUGAAGGAAUAAGUUGAAGUACUCUAAAAAUAGUUUCGGGGUCCAAAGUCCUAUUUACCUCAUAGUGAGAAAAGCUAGUCUUGUUCGUCCUACCCUUCGACAAUUUAUUUCCUCUUCGUGAUCUUUUGGGAUAAAGAAGCCUAAUUUUUGCUAGAAAGUAGCAACUAGCCAGAGUUGGAGUAGUCAUAUAGGCCCAGAGAUUAAAAGACCUUUCCCUGGCUCCAGGCGGUGCAUAACUUGGCAUUCAUAGCCCAGAGAUAUGGGCAUCCGAAGAUGAUUCAACUUAAACAAAAAUUAUGUCCUUCACAUAGUUGAGUCACCAUCACUACAAAUAUUUUGGCUAACUGAAGGGAAUUGGAGCAUAAAAAAAAGUGGAAAAUCCAAAAGGUAUGGUAAGCUAUGUGUUCUUGGUGGGAAACCUCACCAUUAUCAGUUUAAUAGUGAUCAGAGAUAAAGGUUGUAUAACUAGCUUUCUUAAAGUCGAAGUGGCCUAGUGUUUGCUUACUAUGCUAGGGUCAUAUAUGUUUCUCCUGUUGGUUGAAGCCCCAUAAUGGAAGCUAUGUCGAAGAGUGUGGCGGUGAGAAUACCACAUUUCAGUUGUAAUUGUGUUGGUCGAACUCUCCCAAAAAUGGAUGGCAGUUAGAAGUAGAUUGGCAUCAUAUUUAGGACCUGUUUUGGAAAGCUAAACUAGGUCGAAAAUACCUAAAUUCUUACUUACUUGGGCUCUCUUACUUUGUAUUUUGUCUAGCCAAGCAAUAUAACUGGGUUGAUUGGUGUAAGGGGAUGCUCGAAACACUUAGUGGGUGCACUCGUAAAAUUCAUUUCGUAAGGACCUUGUAAGAAAACCCUAGGAGUACAUUUAUCACAUCCUGGGAAAAAGGUUGUUACUGAAGGUGAGAAAAACACAAGGGGGGGGGGGGGGGGGGGGGUUGAAUUGUGUUUUCUUUUUCUCUCUAAAAAAUUCUUCUUCUGAUAAAACUUCAAAAGCAGUUUGUGAAUGCUUCUGAUGAAAUGAUCAGAAUCAGAUAUGCAGCGGAAAAGAUCAAAGCAGAGAAAAGAAAAGCAAGACACAAGCAGUUAUCCUGGUUCCUUCCACAAAUCAGAAGUAGUCCAGUCCCCUUUGCACUUCCAAGGAGAUUUCACUAUAAUCACAAAGAUUACAAAAUGCUCAAUACUCUCUAAGUAUGAGACUUCUCAAAAAUGCUCAAGCACACACGCAAGAGUCUUCCAAUGCUCAAGCACUAAGCAAGAGUCUUCUAAUGCUCAAGCACGCAGGCAAGAGGCUUCUGAUCAAACAAAAAUACAAUGAAAUAAGUUUGACUUGAACACUUGAUAUACAAUCAGUGGUGUUCACAAUACAAUACGUUAAAGACUGUAGACUUUUGAAUUUCUAAGAUGUAUCAAAUCAGUGCAGAAAUUCAGUGUGCUUUGUAGAAUCAAAUUGACAGAGUUUUGGCGCUUUUUAACUUGUAUGUCUCUAUCUACAAUCUUCAAGUCUUCACUCCUUUAUAUAGAGAUGUGAAAGAGACGUUGAGAUGAUUAGCACGUCUAAAGAGUCGUUUGGAAUCCUUUGAUCAUUCACCAGUAAUCCUUUGCCUGAUUUGGGUGUAGUCCUUUGAAGAAUUAGCUUCAAAUUCAUUCCCAUCUUGAAGGCACAAAUUCUGCAGGCAUGGCUGUUGUCUUGUCUUGUAGCGUGGACAAAACAGAGUAGUGGAGGUAGUGGUUGUACACUUGUACUUUGUCAACUCUGUUAACGAAGGAAAAAUACUCAAUGCUAUCCAAAUGACCGUUGAUACCUCCCUUUCAAUUCUUCGUUCUUCUUAGAUAAUGUUGAAAUGAGAAACAGCUACUUUGGAUCUUCAGUUUGAAUUUACGGAUAAAAUGUAGCUUCUGGUGAUGAUAUCGCUUCUGAUGAAAACCUUGCUUCUGAUGAGCUUCUGCUUCUGAUGACGUCAUCACUUCAGAUGCACUUCAGCUUCAGGAGUACUUCAAGCUUCAGACGCAGUUUUCUUCAGAUGCUAUGAAUUCCUUUGCUUUCCAUUGUUCUUCUAAGACCUAUUGAAAUUACUUGACUAGCAUUUGGUCCUGUAUACUUGAACAAUUAUUAGUAAUAACCAAUUGACAAUUUUUAAUACCUUGUUAUCAUCAAAACUCAUUAAGGUUCAUUGUAAAACACAUUUUGUUCCAACAAUCUCCCCCUUUUUGAUGAUGACAAACAAUAGUAUUUAAAAUGUUCAAUUGUUGUUGAUCUAAUUAAUAAGUUGACUACUGGGAUAGAGUUUUGAAAGCUCCCCCUAGGUCUUAUAGAUCUUUAAGGUGAGGUUUGUAAGCUCCCCCUAAGUUCUAUACUCAUUAAUUAAAUUUCAAUAAAAUACUCAUAAACUAUCAGAAGUAUUAAAAAAAAGGUUUAGAAGUGGUUCUGAGCAAAGCUCAUAUCAAAAAGUUAAUUUGAUGGGGCUCAGAGCCUUAAAAAUACUAUACAUCUACUCCCCCUUUUGUCAUCAACAAAAAGUAAGUAAAAAAACAAAAGAAAGAGUAUCAGAGCAACAGAAGGAUAAACUUUAAAAUACAGUGUAUUAGAGCCAAUGACACAACAAAUAUAGCAAUUAUUUUCAGAGCAACAACUUGAAAAUAGCAUGAGAAAUAUUGAAUUGAUUCAGAAGCAAUGAUAAACCAGUUAAAAUACAUAGUCAAAGCAAUGCAAUACUUAAAACAAGAUCUAAACAUUCAAAAAGAAUUGGUGUGCAACUAAGGUUUGGAUAGCUUAGACACUUGUUCCAAUAAGUAUUUGAUCUGCUCAGACUGCUUCUGAAGUUCUUCAUCCUUGGCUCUCAGUCUUCUUCUCAGCCCUUCUUGAAUUCUAUCAGCCCUUGAGAUGUAAACAGCUUCUGGAUAGAACGGAGCGUUGGCUAGCAGAGGCACAUAAUCAAGCUCCUUCACUCUAGCUGCUUCAUGCAUAUCAUCCAAUAAUUUCUUCAACAUAGCAGAGUGAGAUGAGACACAUUUUGUGCUCAGCUGAUCCAGCAGUAUAUUGAAGCCUUUCUUCAGAUCCAUCCAUUGAUCAAGAUAGUGAAUGGGAGGUACAGGAACUGUUCUGAGAAGAAUCAGUGUCUGAAUCUCAUCACUUAACCUUAUAAGUUGUUCAUCAAUAUAUUCAGAUUCCAGGAUGGUGUCUGGGAUGGGUGUUUGAGAUGUAGAAGGUUGAUUAGAGGCUGUUUGAUGGUCAGAAGAGGUUAGGUCAAUUAUUGGUGAUUCUGGUUGUUGUUGUUGUUCUGUGUUAGUCUGGGGUUGUUCUAUGGUAGUUUGAUCUAGGUCAGAAACAGCCUGUUCAGGAACAGUUGGUUCAGGAACAGUUUGCUCAGGGAUGACUGUUUCAGUUUGUGUAGUUGUUUGUUGGUUUUCCAAAACAGUCUUUUCAGGGACUGUCUUAGAGGCCUUUGUGGGUGUAGGUUGCAUUUCACCACCUAAAUGCUUUUCUAAGUUAUGAAGGGUUGAUGAUUCUUGGUGUUGGGGGUUUCUGAAGUAGUUGCUUCUGAAACUACUUCAGAGGCUUUUUGUGGGGAUUGGUUAUUUUGUGGGGUGGUUUCAGGAAAUUGUAUACUAACAGCUUCUUGAAUUUGUGGUUGAAAAAAGUGAUCAGCAGGCAAAUUGAAUUUUUCACAGAUUUUUAUCCUCUGUUUAGAGAAUUCAAUUUGGGUCUGCGCAUAAUCAAUUGUUCCAAAGGUUGUUAGUUUGGUAGGUUUGCGAUUUAGAAGUUUUUCAAUGUGUUGACUAAGAGGUUGGUCAUCUGAUUUAGUGGAUGAUGAUGAGGGUGAAGAUGGAAGGUCAGGAAUCUGAGUAUUGAUAUUAGCUUUUAAAGAAGUACCUGAAGAGUGAGCUUCUGGAUGAGCUGCUUCUGGAGCUUUAGAUGCUGGUUCUGAUGAAGUAGCUCCUGAAGCCUGCUUGUCUUUCAAAGCUUGAGAUAACAGUUUUACUCCCUCCUGGACAGCUUCUUUUUCAACCUCAGCAGCCAAAGCAGCAAACUCAGCAGCCUUCUCAGGAGCAAGCUUAUACCCUGCAGCCUUGAGUUGUUCCUCUCUUUUCUUCUGCUGUCUCAACUGCUUCCUCCUAGCCAUCUCAGUUGUUGUAUAAUUUCUAGCAUAUUGCCAUUGUUCUUCUGUAGGAACAAACAUUGGCAUUACACUAGGCUUAUUACUCUUAGCCUUCUUAGCACUUGGCUCUUCUUCCAACACUCCUAGCUGUUCAACAUGAUCUUCCGUGCUUCUUUCAGAAGUUUUCAGAUUUCUUGUUCUCUUGUUUCUGAUGGUUUGAAGAGCAGCUUCCCUAGCAUCAGAUUUCUUGAUUUUCUGCUUCUGAGCAUCUUCUUCAGAAGCAUGAACUUCUUCAGAAGCAGCAGCUUGUUCAGAAGCAGAAAUUGUUGUCAUGAAUUUCUUGGGCUUUUGUGCUGCAACCUCAACCUUGAUUUCUUUUCUGGUCCUUUUAGCCUCUUCUUCUUCCAAGUAUUCUUCUUUUGAAAGGGGUUUGCUCUUUGAUUUCCUGCUCUUGGCAACAGGAAGAACACCUCCAAACAUCUGUUCUGGCACAUCUUUCAGGCUGAUCUUCUCCCUUGUCUUUUCAAAAUGAUCUCUGAUAUAGUUCAUCUGAACAUCCAGAGGAUCUUGUUUGCAGAUAGGGGGAAAGUUUGGCAUCAAAUCUGAUUUAGCAUCAGAUUCUUUCAAAUCUGUGCUCAGCUUCUUAAGAUCUUCUGCCUUAAUCAGAUGCAUGGAUCUCAGUGUUUCAGCAUUUAUAAUCUUUCCUCUAACAGUUCCCAACUGUUCAUCUGUGAAGAUUUUUGCCUCCUUCAGCAUAUUAAUGAUACCUCCUUGAUAAAAAAUCUCAGAGAGUAGCCUCCCAUAGGGUACCAAACACCUAUUCUUCAGCUGGCUCUCUCUGAGCUGUUGUACCAUAUGCCUGAAGAUGUAUCUGGGCACAUUAGCCUUUACACCAGUUAUGAAAAAGUGUAAGAGGAUUUUGUGUUCCAGAGAAGGUUGAUCACUACCACCACCUUUUGGUAGUAGGUUGUCAUUUUGAAUUUUUAGCAUCACUUUGGUCUUGGCAUUCAUAUCUGCAUAGGCGAAGUCUUUGACCUUGUUGUAGAGUGUUUUAUUCACAAUAUCAUUCCAAGGGCUAUCUUUGGGCAUAGUGAUUCCAGCUUUAUAAUCUCCUUCUGCUGGUGUUCUGAGGACGAAAGCAAUCACAUCCUCAUUGAUCCAUACAGGAAUCCCCAUGAUGCUUGAUCAUAUCUGGGUUUUAUUAAAUGGUUCCAAGCCCAUUUCCUUUCUGGAUUUACCCUUGAGUUAUGGAUUGAGAAGAACUUUUUCAUCUUCUUCAAUCUUAGCAGCAUCUCUAUCAUAGAUACUGGCUCUAACCCAGAAAUGUCGUACCAAAGUUUGAUAAGUUGGACCGUUCAGAAAAUUGAAGUAGCUUCCCAAGCCUUGCGCUUCAUAGAAACUUCCAAUAUCACAGUUGUGAGCGGCCAAAGAAAUAAAAUCCAUUAGAUUUUUUGAUUGAAUCUUCAAAUCCCAUUCCUCCAAGGACAUGGUUCUUCCUUUAAUCACGUAGGCAGGAGCCUCUUCUUGUUGCAUGUUUGAUGAUGGACCAGGUGCAGAACUUGAAGAAGCCAUAAGAUUGAUUGAAGAAGAAAAGGGUUUCUAGGGUUUUUGGAGUUUCUUAGCAGAGAAGGUUUGAAGUGAAAUGAGAGUGUGAGUUGUGAAGGGAGUAGUGUGUGUUUGUUUAAGUGUUUUUAUCAAAAACGUUUGCAAUUCAAAUGAGACAAACAAACAUAGCAUUAAUGACAAAUUGGGGGCGCGUGUUAGUAUGUUUAAAAGCAAAUAAAACAUCAUUGCCCUUUUUGUUAUACUCCAAUACAAAUAGACCACGUCAGAAACUUUUCAGAAAACUAACCUUUGGGUAAUGGGACAGCUGUUACAAAAAAGUAACUGCAAACGAUCCCACUAGCCAGCUAUUCAGAAGCAAAGAAUGCCGCUUCUGAAGUUUUAGUGCUGACGUCAUCUUCAGAGACACAUUUUCCUCAGAACCUCAGUUAAGAGCUUCUGAUGGACCAGAUGCUUUUGAAUGGACUUCAGAACCAAACUUCUUAUUCAGAGGCAAGCAAAUUUUCAAUCAGACACAAAGUGCAUGUUCAAAUUUUUCUUAAUAAAAUCAAAUCUUUCAACAGAUAAAGGUUUAGUAAAUAUAUCAGCCCAUUGAUGUUCAGUAUCAAUGAAUUGUAUAUCUAAAAUUCCUUUUUGAACAUAGUCUCUGAUAAAAUGGUGUUUGAUCUCAAUAUGCUUGGCUCUAGAAUGUAGAAUUGAAUUCUUAGACAAACAAAUAGCAGCAGUAUUAUCACAAAAGAUGGGAAUACUGUUAGCAUUAAUAUGAUAAUCUUCCAACUGAUGUUUCAUCCAAAGUAGUUGUGUGCAACAACUUGCAGCUGAAAUAUAUUCUGCUUCUGCUGUAGACAUAGCAAUAGUUGCUUGUCUUUUGCUUGCCCAGGAUAUCAGAUUCUCUCCCAGGAAUUGACAAUUUCCACUGGUUGAUUUUCUUUCAAUCCUGUCACCAGCAUAAUCAGCAUCACAGAAUCCAAUCAACUUAUAAUCUAGGGAUUUCCUAUACAGGAGUCCAAGAUUAGUUGUUCCUUUCAGAUACCUGAAGAUUCUCUUAACUGUAGUUAAAUGAGAUUCUCUAGGAUCUGAUUGAAAUCUUGCACACAAGCAUACACUGAAUAAAAUAUCAUGUCUAGAUGCAGUGAGGUAUAACAGAGAACCAAUCAUACCUCUGUAUAGCUUCUGGUCUACUACAGUUCUAGUAUCUUCUUUGCUUAAGGUGCAGGUUGGAUGCAUUGGAGUGUUCAUCACUUUACAAUCUUCUAGCUUGAACUUUUUCAGAAGCUCCUUUGUAUAUUUUGUUUGAUGAACAUAUACUCCUUCUUUACUUUGGUUGAUUUGAAUUCCAAGAAAGAAUUUCAAUUCUCCCAUCAUGCUCAUUUCAAAUUCAUCCUGCAUUAACUUAGAAAAUUCCUUGCAAAGAGAUGCAUUAGUAGAACCAAAUAUUAUAUCAUCAACAUAUAUUUUCACAAUCAAAAUGUCUUUCUUAAGAGUCCUUCUGAAGAGUGUUGUGUCAACUUGUCCUCUUUCAAAAUCAUUUUUAAUUAAAAAAUUACUUAGCCUAUCAUACCAAGCUCUAGGAGCUUGUUUCAAGCCAUAUAGUGAUUUCUUAAGUUUACAAACAUGGUCAGGAUGCUUAAGAUCCUCAAACCCAGGAGGUUGUUUGACAUACACUUCUUCUUCAAUGACACCAUUAAGAAAAGCACUUUUGACAUCCAUUUGAUAUAAUAUUAUGCCAUGAUUAAUUGCAUAGGAUAGAAGUAACCUGAUUGCUUCCAAUCUUGCAACUGGAGCAAAUGUUUCAGUGUAAUCAAUGUCUUCUUGUCGACUGUAACCUUGUGCAACAAGUCUAGCUUUGUUUCUGGUUACUUCUCCUUGUUCAUUCAGCUUGUUUCUGAAUACCCAUUUUGAUCCAAUAAUGUUCUUCUGAGAAGGUUUGGGUACCAGAUCCCACACAUCAUUCCUCUGAAACUGAUUUAGCUCUUCUUGCAUAGCUAAUAUCCAUCCAUCAUCUGAGAGAGCUUCUUCAACAGUUUUAGGCUCAAUUAUUGAAAGCAAACCUAUCAAAGAUUCUUCUUGUCUGAAAUGUGAUCUUGUUCUUCUAGGACUAUCUUUGCUUCCAAUGAUUAGCUCCUCAGGAUGUGAAGAUUUGUGCUUGAAUUUUGGUUGAAUAACCUGCUGAGUGUUAUCUUGAAUGUCCUCAGAAGCAUUAUCAUUCUGUAUUACUGGACUAGGUUCUGCUUCUGAAAUAGACUCAGCUUCUGGAGUAUGUUCAGCUUCUGGACUAGAUUCAGCUUCUGAAUGCUUUUCAGAAUCAGAAGGUUGAUCAGAUUCUGAUGCAUCUUCAGAAUCAGUUGGACCUGCAUUACUUUCACUUUGCUCUGGAGUUUUACUUCCAGGCUCUCUAUCAUCAAAUUUAACGUGCAUAGAUUCUUCAACACAAUGUGUUUCUGAAUUAUACACUCUGUACGCCUUUGACCUUUCAGAGUAACCUAAAAAGAUUCCUCUUUGAAUCUUGGCAUCAAAUUUCUUCAGAUAGUCUUUAGUGUUUAGAAUGUAACAAGUACAUCCAAACUGAUGAAAGUAAGAGAUAUUGGGUCUUCUUCCUUUAAAGAGUUCAUAUGCAGUUUUCUCCAACAUAGGUCUGAUAUAGAUCCUAUUUUGAAUAUAACAUGAAGUAUUAACUGCUUCUGCCCAGAAAUGUUUAGCUAAAUUGUUUUCAUGGAUCAUGGUUCUGGCCAUUUCUUGUAAGGUUAUGUUCUUUCUCUCUACAACCCCAUUUUGUUGUGGAGUUCUAGGAGAAGAAAAUUCAUGGAGAAUCCCAUGUUUUUCACAAAAAGAUUCAAAUGGCUCAUUUUCAAAUUCUCCACCAUGAUCACUUCUGACUUUCAAAAUUUUCAAUUCUUUUUCAGAUUGUAUUUGAGUGCAGAAGCUGCUAAACACUUCACAUGCAUAGUCUUUACUUUUAAUGAAUUUUACCCAAGUCCAUCUGCUGUAAUCAUCAACAAUGACUAAUCCAUAUUUACUUCCAUAUAAAGAUGCAGUGUUAACUGGUCCAAAAAUAUCAAUAUGGAGUAAUUCUAAGGGUCUUGAGGUUGAUACAAUGUCUUUGGAUUUGAAAGUACUUUUCACAAUUUUCCCUUUCUGACAUGCACCACAAAGUGCAUCUGAAUGAUAAUCAAUGUUAGGCAAUCCUUUGACAAGUUGUAACUUGCUAAUUUUAGAAAUUAAUCUCCAAUUAGCAUGUCUCAACCUUCUAUGCCAUACCCACUUUUUAUCAUUCAAUAACAGAAGGCAAACUACCUUCUGAUCAGCCAGAUCAGAGAAAUUAAUUUUGUAGACAUUCUCAACUCUCUUUCCCUUGAAUGAAAUGGAUUUGUCAUCCUUGUUGACUAGUGUGCAGUUGGUCUUACUGAACAUUACAUCAUACCCAUUGUCACAAAAUUGACUAAUGCUCAAUAGGUUAUGCUUCAAACCAUCUACAAGCCACACAUUAUUAAUUGAAAUGGAGGAAUUACCAAUAGUACCUGUACCAAUGAUUUUUUCAGUUUGGUUGCCACCAAACUUCACUUCUCCUCCAGCUUUCAUGGUAAGGGUAAGGAACAAAGCUUUCUCUCCAGUCAUGUGCCUUGAACACCCGCUGUCUAGGUACCAUGACCUUUGUUUCUCUCUUGCCCUUAGGCUCACCUGCAAUUUUAACCAAUUCAGAUUUAGGUACCCAUAUCUUCAUGGGUCCUUUUGGGUUAGUUCUAGAGGUUUUACUUUUCCUCCCUUGUACCUUGGGGUGAGUGCUGAGUAGCUUCUGAUCAUUCAAUACUUUAGGUUUAACACCUUUGGGUAUUGUUUUCUCAGAAGCAGUAGCUGCUUUGUUCUUCUGAUCCUUUGGCUUUGGGAUUUUAGAUUCUGGUUUAAUCAGAUUCUGAGGAACAGGUUCUGAUCUUUUCAGAAUUUUAAUCUUUUGAGUCUUAGGAUCAGAUUUUGUCAUAACUUUAGACUUGAGGUUUUCUGGCUUUGAUGUGAUCUUAGCCUUCGAACCAGAAGCUUCAGGUUCUGAUUGAACAGCAGUUACAGCAUCUGUACCUUCAGGCACAAAGGUGGAUUUCAAUCCAUCCUUGAUACAAUCACAGUAGCUCUUGAGACUGUAUUCUUUGGAUUUCUCCUCAGAAUAUCCAAUCCCUUUGCAUUGUUUUUGUAUGUGCUGUAGAUCAUAGAAGCAACUUUGCUUCUGUCUAUGCCAGCCAUAAUAAAAUCAUCCAAGGCAAUCUCAUGUUUGUUGCCUGAACCUUUAUCACAUUUUUCUUGUAGCUUCUGACAAAGAAUCUUGAGUCUAUCUUCAUAUGUUGUUGAUAUGAGGUUAAACCCUUUGAGUUCUUGUUCAGAAGCUUUCAGUUCCAAUAGAGUUGUUUUUUGUUGUUUCAUUAAAUCAACAUAUUUUUCUUUUAAAUCUGUCAACUCAUUGGUUCUGUGUUCAAAUAGUGAUAAGAGUUCUUUUAGAGAAUCAACAAGUUCUUGUCUAGGAAUUUUGGAAUAUACCUCAUUUUCAUCUUCUGAAUCUGAUUCAGCUUCUGAUAUUGCUUCUGAUGAUACUGUUGCCACUAACCCCAUGGCUGCUUUUGCAUCAUCAUCUGCUUCUUCUUUAUCAGAACCAGAUUCACUGUCCAAAUCUUCCCAGGUCGCCAUCAAGCUCUUUUUGUUGCUUUCUGAAUUUACUGGAGCUGAAGCUUGAUUUCUUGGGUUCGCUUUUAGACUUCUCCUUCUGAAGAUCAGGGCAAUCAGCAAUGAAAUGACCAGGCUUCUUACAGUUGAAGUACCCCUUCUGAUCUUCUUUCUUGGAGUUCUUGUAGCCACCUCUCUUGCUCAAAAAUUUCUUCUGCUUCCUUGCCAAAUACUCAAGCUUGUUGGAUAGCAUAGCCAUCUUCAUAGAUUGAUCUUCAUCAGAAUCUCCAUCAGGUGAUUCUUCUUCAGAUUCAUUGGCUUUGUAGGCUUUGGAAGAUCUUGAAGACUUUCCUUUAGAUGGUAAAGCAAUGGAUUUACUCUUCUUAGAGGAUUCAUGCUCAUUUAAACUCAUUUCAUGCACUUUGAGUGAACUAACAAGAUCUUCAACACUUAAAGUGUUUAGAUCCUUAGCUUCCUCAAUAGCAGUUACUUUGGGUCUCCAUCUAGAAGGCAAGCUUCUCAAAAUCUUACUAACAUGAUCAGAAGCAACAUAUCUUUUCUUCAGUAUUUGCAAUCCAGAAACUAAAGUUUGAAAUCUUGAGUACAUUUCUUCUAUACUCUCAUCAUCCUUCAUUCUGAAAAGUUCAUACUGAUGAACUAGCAUCAAAGCUUUAGCCUCUUUCACCUUCUUGCUGCCUUCAAAGUUGGCGCAUAGUGACGCAAACAUAGCUUUCGCAGUGGAUUUGUCACUCAUCUUCAUGUAUUCGGUGCGAGGUAUAGAAGCCACAAUGAUUCCUCUGAUCUUGUGGUGUUUCUUAUAAAGCUUCUUCUGAGCAGGAGUAUGUAUUCUUCUGUCCACAGCAGCUCCUUCUUCAUCUAAAUCCAAGUCAUCAACUCCAUCUUCCAGUAUGUCCCAUAGCUCUUCAUCCAAACCCAUGAUAAAGCUGUACAUAUUUGUUUUCCACCAUGAAAACUCUUCUGGAUCUCCAUUAAACUUUGGAGCUUUUCCAGAGUUUGUUUUCUUGUCAGCAGUAUCAUAUAGUCAUGUUUGACACUUGUGUAUUUUGUAGUAGUUGAUUCCUCUCCUCCCAGACAUGUUUUUCUUUUGGAUCUUGAACUGUCACACGGUUAAGUACUUAUGAUAACAGAGCAAGCUCUGAUACCAAUUGAAGGUGAGAAAAACACAAGGAAGGGGGGGGGGGGUUGAAUUGUGUUUUCUUUUUCUCUCUAAAAAAUUCUUCUUCGGAUAAAACUUCUGAAGCAAUUUGUGAAUGCUUCUGAUGAAAUGAUCAGAAUCAGAUAUGCAGCGGAAAAGAUCAAAGCAGAGAAAAGAAAAGCAAGACACAAGCAGUUAUCCUGGUUCCUUCCACAAAUCAGAAGUAGUCCAGUCCCCUUUGCACUUCCAAGGAGAUUUCACUAUAAUCACAAAGAUUACAAAAUGCUCAAUACUCUCUAAGUAUGAGACUUCUCAAAAAUGCUCAAGCACACACGCAAGAGUCUUCCAAUGCUCAAGCACUAAGCAAGAGUCUUCUAAUGCUCAAGCACGCAGGCAAGAGGCUUCUGAUCAAACAAAAAUACAAUGAAAUAAGUUUGACUUGAACACUUGAUAUACAAUCAGUGGUGUUCAUAAUACAAUACGUUAAAGACUCUAGACUUUUGAAUUUCUAAGAUGUAUCAAAUCAGUGCAGAAAUUCAGUGUGCUUUGUAGAAUCAAAUUGACAGAGUUUUGGCGCUUUUUAACUUGUAUGUCUCUAUCUACAAUCUUCAAGUCUUCACUCCUUUAUAUAGAGAUGUGAAAGAGACGUUGAGAUGAUUAGCACGUCUAAAGAGUCGUUUGGAAUCCUUUGAUCAUUCACCAGUAAUCCUUUGCCUGAUUUGGGUGUAGUCCUUUGAAGAAUUAGCUUCAAAUUCAUUCCCAUCUUGAAGGCACAAAUUCUGCAGGCAUGGCUGUUGUCUUGUCUUGUAGCGUAGACAGAAAACAGAGUAGUGGAGGUAGUGGUUGUACACUUGUACUUUGUCAACUCUGUUAACGAAGGAAAAAUACUCAAUGCUAUCCAAAUGACCGUUGAUACCUCCCUUUCAAUUCUUCGUUCUUCUUAGAUAAUGUUGAAAUGAGAAACAGCUACUUUGGAUCUUCAGUUUGAAUUUACGGAUAAAAUGUAGCUUCUGGUGAUGAUAUCGCUUCUGAUGAAAACCUUGCUUCUGAUGAGCUUCUGCUUCUGAUGACGUCAUCACUUCAGAUGCACUUCAGCUUCAGGAGUACUUCAAGCUUCAGACGCAGUUUUCUUCAGAUGCUAUGAAUUCCUUUGCUUUCCAUUGUUCUUCUAAGACCUAUUGAAAUUACUUGACUAGCUAUUUGGUCCUGUAUACUUGAACAAUUAUUAGUAAUAACCAAUUNNNNNNNNNNNNNNNNNNNNNNNNNNNNNNNNNNNNNNNNNNNNNNNNNNNNNNNNNNNNNNNNNNNNNNNNNNNNNNNNNNNNNNNNNNNNNNNNNNNNCAACCUUUUUAGUAGGAUCAGAAACAUCUGUAUCCAUAGCUGUCACACCGUUACUAUUCGAUGCCGUAGGAAUCGAUAGUGUUGGAAUCACAGGAAUAGCAUCGUUCAAGACAUAGGCAACCUUUUUCGUAGUUAAGAAAAAUUGCAUCUUUGUUUGCCAACGCUUGAAGUGAGUCCCGUGAAACUUAAACGGUUUGUUGAAAUCGAUUGCUGUUCCAGUGGUAAUUUCGUUGGCAGUCAUCUUGGUUUUUCCGAAGCGUCUGAAAAUUUCGUUGGCAGUCAUCUUGGUUUUUCCGAAGCGUCUUAAAAUUGUUAGUUUUGAAAUUAGUACUGCCAAAGGAAUUACCGGGUUGAGUCACGACCAGGUCGCUCUCUUUAAGACGUUUCGCGGCACUACCCAAGUUGUGCAAGGUAGACUAACAACCACGCCGUCUCUAGGAUAAAACAGCCCAGAUCACUGUUACGAUUAUAUACUGCACAAUAUACAAUCGCUCGUAGAUAUACACCUCAAAUAUAGUUUAAUCGUUUGAUUAAAACUAUUCAAUACGGUACGUAGCCGUUCUAUUCGAAACCGAAAGGGACAGAAGAGGAGAAGGAAAAGAAUGACUCGUUAACACAAGUCGAAGGGAGAAGAGAGGAAUCGCACAGGAAUCAUCAACUGCGAAAUUCGAUGUAAAGAAUGAGGGGGGCGAGCUCUCCUUUUAUAGGAGGAGUUCAUAACAAAAAACGAGUUACUUAGGGAUUAAGUCUGCUUAAUCCUUAAGCAAACGCGUUUUUGUUUUAAUUGGAUAUAUCCGGAAACUUCUGGAUACUCGUUUUGGAUCGGGUCGGAAGUAACAACCUUACUUGUUACGAUUAAUUUAUCAUUUUCAAGUGACAAAAAAAUAUAUUUUAUUUUUCACCCACGACCCAAGCCCGGCCCGGUUCGGUCAGACGGCGGCGUCGUCGCGCGCGUGAUAUAUAUGUUUUUGUAAGCGUUCACCCGUUCACAAAAGUGGGUAUCCCAAGGGCACACCCUUGGAGGUCACUCUACCCUUAUAUAAACACUUUCUAGUUGGUGUGGCUCACCAAUGUGGGACAUUUUUAAGUCACACACUCACACUAGUUCUUAUAUUGUGUUUUUCUUAUCCAAUUUUCUCACUAGAUUUAACUAGUGUUCCAACAAUCCCCCACUUGACUUCAAAAUGGUUUCGAUAAAUAACGUAAACGUUUUCAUAAGAUUUGCUAAUAAACAAAGGUGUCGCUAACAACUUGAACCUUUGCAUAGUGGAAGGUAUUCUGAUUUAACAAGAGUUGCUUACAGCAUUGAACUCUAUCUCAGACAUAGAAACCACGCACAAACCCUUUCUUAGGUGUAUUCUAAAAGCUCGUGCGUUUUAAGGCCAUGCACGUGUAUCCCGGUUUUAACGAAUGCUCUAGGAAUUCUGCCUCGAAAUUCCAUAGGUCUGGCCUAAGUUCCACAUUCGUAUAGGUGAGUCUAUCAAAGGUACUCCUGUAGCUAUGUACCCCAGUCAACAUAGAGUAUAAAUCUCAUUAAGAGUUGUUAUUAACUCAUCCUUCUUUCACUGCAGGAUCAUGCUUUCUAUAUCCUUUUUCUCAUAGUAUGUUCUAUCACUUCAUGACUUGUUAUUACCCAUUGAACCUUAAUCUUGGGAUCUCCAAUCAUGUAGGUCGGGUUACCAUCAUUCAAUGAGCUAUAGGCAUUAGUCCCAUCCUACUGGAUGUUUCUCAGACUUUCUCUCUAUUUAGUCCUUUCGUCAAAGGAUCAGCUAAGUUUUCAUUAGUACGCACAAAAUCAACUCUAACUGCUCCAUUAGAGAUACACUCUCUAAUCGUGCUGUGUUUUCGCCUUAUCUGUUGUCUUUUACCAUUGUAAUAACGAUUCUUAAUCUUUGCAAUAGCCGCGGUACUAUCGCAAUGAAUUAACACAGUAGGUAACGGUUUCUCCCAUAAAGGGAUCUCAGCUAGCAAGGAUCUUAGCCAACUUGCUUCUUCACUAGCAGUAGCUAGUGCUAUCAUCUCAAAUUCCAUUGUGGACUGAGCCAGAAUGGUUUGUUUCUUAGACUUCCAAGAAACAACUCCUCCAGCUAUGUUAAAUAUAUAGCCGCUAGUUGCCUUGGAAUCAUCUGACAAGGUGUUCCAAUCUGCAUUACUGUACCCUUCAAGUACAGCUGGAUAUUUUUGAUAAUGCAGUCCUAAAGUCAUAGUUCCUUUUAAGUAUCUCACGACUCUCUCAAUUGCAUGCCAAUGCUCCUUGCUUGGCCUACUUGUAAAUCUGCAUAAGAGUCCCACGACAUAGGCGAUGUCGGGUCUAGUACAAUCAGUGGCAUAUCUGAGACUGCCAAUGAUGCUCGCAUACUCAGUUUGUCUGACACCAUCUCCAGUGUUCUUAAAAAGUUUUACACUUGGAUCAUAAGGUGUGCUCGCAGGUCUACAAUCAAAAUAUUUAUAUUUCCUUAAGAUCUUCUCAACGUAGUGAGAUUGAUCCAAGGAUAUUCCUUUAUCUGAUAUAGUAAUCUUUAUGUCAAGAAUUACAUCAGCUUCUCCUAGGUCUUUCAUAUCAAAGUUGUUACUUAACAAUGAUUUCACAGAGUAUAUGGUAGGAAUGUUUGACCCAAAUAUGAGCAAGUCAUCUACAUAGAGACAUAUGAUUGUGCAAAUGUUUUUAUCAUAUUUGUAAUAAAUACACUUGUCACUUUCAUUUAUCUUGAACUCAUUCAAAAUCAUUAAGUUGUCAAACUUUUCAUGCCAUUGCUUAGGUGCUUGUUUAAGACCAUAUAGAGAUUUGUCUAACUUACAGACUUUUCUUUCCUGUCCAUGGACUACAAAACCUUCAGGUUGUUCCAUAUAGAUUUCUUCUUCCAGCUCACCAUUCAAAAAAGCAGUUUUCACAUCCAUUUGGUGUACAAUUAAAUUGUAAACAGAAGCCAAAGAAAUUAGUACCCUUAUGGAUGUGAUUCGAGUGACUGGUGAGUAGGUAUCUAAAAAAUCUAUAUUUUCUCUUUGUCUGAAACUUUUGGCUACAAGGCGAGCCUUGUAUUUAUCGAUGGUUCCAUCAGGUUUUAGUUUCUUUUUCGAGAUCCAUUUACAACCUAUGGGUUUGCAGCCUGGAGGCAGUUCAGUCAAAUGCCAUGUUCCGUUUGACUGUAGAGAAUCCAUUUCAUCAUUUAUGGCUUCUUGCCAUAAGUCAGCAUCCAAGGAAGCCAAUGCUUCCUUGAGAUUUGAUGGAUCCUCUUCUAAUGUAUUGACCACAUAUUCAGGUCCAUACUCUUUUGCAGUUCUUGCUCUUUUACUUCUUCGAAGUUCUGUAACAUCGGUUAUGAUGUUUUCAUCUCUACCUCUGAUUGUUGGAGUUUGAUCAGAUGUAGAGUUCAUGUGUGCACCCCCACUAUUACCCCCACUAUCUCUCGAUAGAAAGGGAAAUUUCGUUUCAUAGAAAUAAGAGUCAUUUGAUUCUAUUAUUACUUUAGCUUUAAGGUCAUAAAACCUAUAUGCUUUACUGUUUAAGGCAUACCCAAUGAUUACACAUUCAUAGGCUCUACUGGCUAGUUUUACUCUUUUAGGGUUAGGAAUCCUAACAUAGGCUAAACAGCCCCAUGUUCGAAUAUAAGACAAGUUUGGUUGUCUUUUCUUCAAAAUUUCAUAGGGAGAAACUUUGUUCUUAGUUUUGGGUACUCUGUUUAGCACAUAGCUAACAGUCAAUAAAAUUUUCCCCCACCAAUGAGGCGUUGCACCAGAAUUAAGCAUUAUAGCAACUACUAAUUCGGUAAAAGUUCGAUUCUUUCUUUCCGCUUUACCGUUCAUCUCCGGAGAGUAAGGUGUAGUUGUUUCAUGAAUUAUUCCAUGCUCUUUAUAAUACUCAUUGGAUGUGUGUGAUAAAUAUUCAGUGCCUCUGUCACUACGAUAACGCUUGAUUUUUCUUAUUGAAUUGAUUUUCAAUUUCUUUGACAAAUAUUUUAAACAUGUCAAGCGCAUCACUUUUGUUUUUCAUCAAAUACACAUAAGUGUAGUCAGAGCAGUCAUCAAUGAAAGUAAUAAAAUAUCUUUGUCCGUUUCUAGUUAAGUUACCAUCAAGUUCGCAUAUGUCAGAAUGUAUUAAUUCAAAUGGUUCAGUUACUCUUAUUACUGAUUUAUGUGAUUCUUUUGUUAUUUUCGCUUGACUACAAAAUUGACAUUUUUCAAAAACAUUAGAUGGUAACUUUGGGAUCAGACCUAGACCGCUCAUAUUAGAGAUGAUUCGUUUGUUAACGUGACAUAAUCGUGCAUGCCAAAUAUUAAAAUCACACAACAUAUAAGCAGAAGAAGAAAUUUUAUUCAUAAUAUUCAAUUUAAACAUGCCUUCAGUGGCGUACCCUUUCCCAACAAAAACCCCAUCCUUAGUAAUAGAGUUCAUAUCAGAUGUUAUAAUCUGUUGAAAACCAGCCUUAUUUAAAAGAUACCCAUAAACUAGAUUCUUCCUAAUCUUUGGAGUGUGCAUCACAUCCUUCAAUAUCAGAGUCUUCCCGGAGGUGAACUUCAGCUCCACUUCUCCAAUUCCAGCAACUUCAGUGGUGUGAGAAUCUCCCAGCAGCACCUUCUGAUCAUCAGCAGUAGUGUAUGUCUUGAACAUAGCACGGUCAAAACAAACAUGGCGAGAGGCGCCAGUGUCUAUCCACCAUCCAUCAGAUCCACCAACAAGAUUGAUUUCAGUUAUCAUAGCGGUGUACGACUGCUCCUUAGUUGUUGUCAAGUGAGCUUGAGCUGGUCUUGUAGAUGGGUUCCUACACUUUCGUGCCAUAUGACCUGGUUGACCGCAAUUGUAGCAAUUGAACGGUUGAGCAUGAUCAUUCUUUGGUGGUUGUUGAUUUGGGACCUUUUGUUGGUUCCCAUUCUUAUUUCGAUUGGAAUUCUUAUUUGCAGAGCGGUUCUGAUUCUUGAAUUGUUUGCCGUUAGGCUUCAGAACAACACCUACAGAUUUCUUUUUAGUGUUGUUGUUCGAGACAGCAAACACCUCUUCAUUCAGUUCAUGUUUCCUCGCUUCUUCUUCAAUUCGAAGUCGAGUAAUCAGACUUUCAAGUGAGAACUCCUUAGUUUUGUGUCUAAGGAUGUUCUUGAAGUCCUUCUAGGUCGGGGGCAGUUUAUCAAUUAUCACAGCAAUUUGAAACUGAUCAGGUAACUGAAUCCCUUCAAUAAAAAUCUCAUGGGCUAUUUUCUGAAGCUCCUGAGAUUGUUCUUCAACAGACUUAUCAUCACUCAUCUUAUAGUUCAGGUACCGACUCUCAACAAAUUUUUUCGAGCCAGCCUCUUCAGUGUUAUCUUUGUUCUGAAGAGCAUCCCAAACAUUCUUUGUUGUAUCGUGGAUAAUGUACAAAUCGUACAGAUGAUCCGCGAGACAGUUCAAGAUGUAAUGUUUACAUAAGUAAUCAUUUUCUUUCCAGAGGAGUAUUUCUUUAUUGACCUGUUUCUCUUUUUCAGCAUGUUCAGCAAUGAGUCUUUCAAACUCAGCCUUUCUUGUUUCCAACUCAACCUUUUUAGUAGGAUCAGAAACAUCUGUAUCCAUAGCUGUCACACCGUUACUAUUCGAUGCCGUAGGAAUCGAUAGUGUUGGAAUCACAGGAAUAGCAUCGUUCAAGACAUAGGCAACCUUUUUCGUAGUUAAGAAAAAUUGCAUCUUUGUUUGCCAACGCUUGAAGUGAGUCCCGUGAAACUUAAACGGUUUGUUGAAAUCGAUUGCUGUUCCAGUGGUAAUUUCGUUGGCAGUCAUCUUGGUUUUUCCGAAGCGUCUGAAAAUUUCGUUGGCAGUCAUCUUGGUUUUUCCGAAGCGUCUUAAAAUUGUUAGUUUUGAAAUUAGUACUGCCAAAGGAAUUACCGGGUUGAGUCACGACCAGGUCGCUCUCUUUAAGACGUUUCGCGGCACUACCCAAGUUGUGCAAGGUAGACUAACAACCACGCCGUCUCUAGGAUAAAACAGCCCAGAUCACUGUUACGAUUAUAUACUGCACAAUAUACAAUCGCUCGUAGAUAUACACCUCAAAUAUAGUUUAAUCGUUUGAUUAAAACUAUUCAAUACGGUACGUAGCCGUUCUAUUCGAAACCGAAAGGGACAGAAGAGGAGAAGGAAAAGAAUGACUCGUUAACACAAGUCGAAGGGAGAAGAGAGGAAUCGCACAGGAAUCAUCAACUGCGAAAUUCGAUGUAAGCAAACACGUUUUUGUUUUAAUUGGAUAUAUCCGGAAACUUCUGGAUACUCGUUUUGGAUCGGGUCGGACGCGUAGCGCUUUCGGAUAAUGAUUAGAUUAAUUAAAUAAUUAAUUUAUCAUUUUCAAGUGACAAAAAAAUAUAUUUUAUUUUUCACCCACGACCCAAGCCCAAGCCCGGCCUGGUUCGGUCGGACGGACGGCGGCGUCGUCGCGCGCGUGAUAUAUAUGUUUUUGUAAGCGUUCACCAGUUCACAAAAGUGGGUACCCCAAGGGCACACCCUUGGAGGUCACUUUACCCUUAUAUAAACACUUUCUAGUUGGUGUGGCUCACCAAUGUGGGACAUUUUUAAGUCACACACUCACACUAGUUCUUAUAUUGUGUUUUUCUUAUCCAAUUUUCUCACUAGAUUUAACUAGUGUUCCAACAACAUGUGAAGCUCCGAUACUUCAAAAUGGAUGACGUACCGUAUCCCUUGCGUAUCCUGCACCGAUACCUGACCGAUACUUCCCGAUACUUCAAAUAUUAAAUUUUAUUUUUUAAGAAAAUAAUUUCCCGAUACGCAUGGAUACUUGUAUUUUUUUAUAUUAUUUUGAUUUCUGCGUUUUUUUUGUUGUUGUAAAAAAUAAGGAAAAAAACAUUAUAUUACUAUAAUAUAUAUACAUUUCCUUUAUCUUUCUUUGGUGCAGGUAUGACCCACACCAUACCAUAGAAACAAUUUCAUCUUCCCCUUUUUAAAAAAUUAGGGUUUCAACUUUUUCUUUCAAAAUGGUCGCCUUCCACUUUAGAUAUAGUGCUUCUUUUUUGGAUCGAUAUAGUAUAGCAUUAACAAUGUUCCUUUUGGAUAUAGUAUAACAUUGAUAUAACCCUGAUGGUACUCUUUUUGGUAUAUUUUGCGUAUGUAAUUGACUAAUCACCACUCUCUUAAUCGUCAAUAUUAUUUAUAUUUAUGUUAAUGUGCUACGAGUCUAGUUUCUUGUGUUUGUUAAUAUAUUUGCAUAUUAAAAAAAAGGUUAUAAUUAUAUUAUACAUUUAAUUAUAUAAUUUUUUUUAUUAACGUAUCUCAGCCGUAUCGUAUCUUGAUUUUUGAAAUUUUCCCGUAUCAAUGUAUCGGUGCAGUAUCGUAUCUCGUAUCUAGGCUUCGCAGUAUACGACACUUAUGCUUAUGACAAUUGUUUGUUCUUGUGUUAAUAGUUGCAUAAUUGAGAUGGAGAGAUGUUUUUUCUUUACAAAUUGAGAUAGAGAGGUUAGUCAUAGAGAAUAAGAAUUAGAAAGAAAAGAAACUCAUAAACUAGAAAAAAUAUUGCGACUUUUAAUAUGACUCAUCGGUUUAGUUGUUAAAAUUAUGGACGUAAUUAAUAUUUUUUUGGUACAUGUAAUUGACUGAUUUCAUUCAGUUAUUUCAUUUAUUAUUUUUGACUUUGUAGUGCCCCUGUAAUUUUGUCAGCAACUAGCAUUUUACAUUUUUUUUAAGCUUAAAUGCACUUUUGACCCCCUAUGUUUGUCAUGGUAGCAAUUUUGGGUCCUUAUUAAAAAAAACCACUUUCGAACCCCCUAACUUUGCCCCCUUUUGCAAUUCUUAGGUUCCCUCUGAUUUUGACCCGGUCAAAGGAAUUAAAUUUAAAUGGAAAAGAAUGAUAGGAAUAAUUAAUAGCGUUAGGAUUAAAUUAGUGGUCAAGAUUAAAAGUUAUUGUGUUCCUUCGGUUUAAUAAACGAUCUAUUUUCUCCUCUAUUCUCUUGACCCCCACCCACAAAAAAAUUUCCAUCCUAAUCCUCCAUUUCCAGUUUCUAACAACAUUCAUCACAAGUCCAUUUAGAACUUUGGUGCGGCAGAGUCGAAGAGGUUACUCCAGUAUGGGCCGUCGAACUUCGCGAGUGCUUUGAUGUCAUUGUGGAUGUCGAGAACGCUGCCGGAGUUGCUUUGGUAAACGAUUUUUUGGCAGUGAAGUUGUUGGUGGUGAAAGGGUGACGGCGAGCAUUGUCUUUGAUGUUGUCGGAGAGUGGUUGUUGGUGGCGACAGUAAGUGUGCGGUUAUGUGAGGGUUUUGGGGCGUUAAAAAGAAGGGUGGAGAAUGAAGGAUGAAACAGAGAAGACAAAACCAUUUUUAUUGUAUUUUUUGUUUUGAAAAGAUUAUUAUGAUGAAACAGAGAAUAAAGGAAGAUGAAGAAUGAAGGAGGGUGUGUGAGAGGUGUUGUUCUUCUUUUGGAGAAAGAAAGAGAAAAUGAAUGGAGGAGAGGGAGCAUAUACUUUUAAUCUUAAUCAUAAGGCUAUUAAUUAUUUCUAAUUUUUUUUUGUUUUUAUUUUAUUUUAAAUUAUGCAGUGGAAUUUGACCAGGUCAAAAUCAGAGGGGUCCUAUGAUUGCAAAAGGGAUGUCGUUUUAGCAAAAAAAAAAAUUUGUUUCGAAAUAAAUGUCACUCUCAGUUUCCAAUGUAAUAAUAACUUUUUCUUUUCAAUUGUACCCUUCAAUUAAUACUAUAUUACACUACUUCCAAAAUAUUUAUUUUUUCUUUAAUGAAAAACAAACCAGGUAAAAUUGCUACUACUUUAUUCAAUUCCUUAAUCUAUGUGCAAUUGACUAAAACAACACAUAUUUUGAAACGGACGGAGAAGUAGUUAAAGAAAUUUGCAUUCUUUGCGAUUCAAUUGUAAGGAAAGGCCUAAUUAACAAAAAGUAUAUUAAUUCAGGAAUCUGAUUACUAAUUUUUUACUUUAGACACCUAUUUAAAAUUUCUCAAAUAAUUUAGUUACCUACAAAAUAAUUCAGCUUUUUAUUAAUAUCUUUACUAUUUAAAAAAAAUAUUGCAAAAAUGGAAGACGUAUUGUUUUCUAAGAAAAAAGCAUAUUGUAAUAUCCCACUCUUCGAUUAUUGGAAUGUUACCAGUCAAACGUGUCAGAGGACAAAUAUUCAUGGAAAGCAAGUACGGCGGAGAAUGUUAUCAUGUAAUGUCAGUUAUGCACGGGUUUGUCAUCAGUCAAGGGGUAUAUAAGGAUGUUUGGAGCCAAAACCUUCACAACUUCAUGUUACUUCUCUAGGUUGAGAUUUUGGAACUCUCUCCUCCUUCUCUCUAGAAUGGUGCCCCCUUCCCUCAAUCUUCUUCCCUCAAGCUUCCAAAUGCAUGCACUUACACUUUGUUUGGUUGUGAAGAGAAGUUGUGAAGAGAGAAAUAGGUGAGAGAGAGUAAGAGAAGAGAGAAAUAAGUAAGAAAUAGAGUAGAUUUGAUGGAUUGUUUGUUAGAAGAGAAAUAUAGAAGAAAUAGAGAAGAAAGAAGUGUUGAUUACUUUUGAAAGUACUAAAAUGCCCCAAAUUAAAAAUUAUUUUUUUAUAACAACUAAAUUAAAAAUCCUUCAAUCAACAUACACUAAUUUAUUUAUGUAUGUUAAUUUAUUUAUUAAACUACAAACUAAUUUUUUUUUUUAAUUUGAUUAGAUUAAUUAUUUUUAGUUUUUGGACAGGGUUUAAAUAAUUUAGUUGUGGUAAAAAAAAAAAAAAGUUAACGAAAUCAACUCAUAAAUCCAUUUUUAAUGUUGGUCUAUCUACUGAACUAUCACUUGGGUAUCCAGUAAUUUAGAAAUCCUUCACGUACAGUGCCGAGAGAUUAUAGAAGGAACAACAAGAUUAAAUAGGAACAAGGGUAAAUAAUUAGAUCUAAUAUUUCAAUACAAGGGUAAUAAAGGAAUAACAAGAUUAAAAGCCUUAUCUCCCCACUUUCUUCCCUAUUGUGAGGAGACAUAAAAAGGUGGUGGGUCCCACUACUUUUUAAUCUCUCUUCCCUAUUUCUCUUCAUUCCAAACAAGAGAAAUUUGGUCUCUCUUCCCUCUUUCUCUCUUCUCUCUUUCUCUCUUUCUUAUUUCUCUUCAACCAAACAGACUGUUAGUGAUUAAGCAAGAAUCAUAGAACCUUCCUGAACAAGAAACAAAUAGAAGGAUGGAUUAAAGCUUGGUUUGGUUGGAUGAGCUAAGAAUCAUAGAUGUAUCAAGAACUAGGGUUUUAUGGCUAGAGUUAGAGUUGGAAUUGAAGCUUGAAGAAUGCUGCAAAUCAUCAUGUGAGUUCUUAGAUUAGUUUACCACCUUUGGGUUUGUGUAAUCCUAGUGAGAAAACAUGAUCUUAGGCUAAGUUGCUAUGAUGAGAUUUUAGUACCCCAAAAGCCAAUCUUGUUGUUUAUAUGUUAAAAUUGCCAUGUAAGUUUUUUUAUGAUGUUUAUAUAAGUUGCUGGAUGUAUAUGAUGCAUUGCAAGAUUGAAUUGGAUGUGGUUUAGGUCAAAAAUGCAAAAUCUGCACUACAGACCCGAAGAAAUUCGCUAUUAGUGAAAACAUUUCGCCAAUAGAGAAAUUCCCUAGAAGCAACUCGCUAAUGGCGAAAUGUUGUUGUCACAACCAACUUCUCUUUGGCUUGUUGGCUCAUCUUGGGGAUUGUAGUACUGUCCGAGGCUUUUCUUACUAUGAUUUCCAACUCUAUAACCCCCAAACAACAUCUAAGCAAUGCACGUAACAUCAAACGAUUCUUGAAAUGAAAAUCAUGGCCAAUAUUAACAUGUACAUAAAGAAUUACACAAGAGAGUUAAACAUGUUUAUUCGGGUAGCGAUUAACUAAGUAUGGGGAAGGAUCAUAGAACCUCGACAUAGACUGUCGAGAACCAGAAUGAUAGCAUGAAUCCCUAAGUAUGUCAAGACAUGAAUUGAUGAGUGUAAACUCUUCACUAUGAACAAGAAUGACUAUGCAAGCAUGUUACCUUAAUCGGAUAGAUCACGGACCCGUGGUACAUAAGUAUUCAAGUAAUAAUAUAAGUUAUCAUGUAUGAACAAGACUUUAAGUAAGAUGUAGGUGUCCUGUCUCUUGCUAUCCACGCCAGGGGGAUACAAGAGGUUCACGCCAGGGGAACGCGAUAAGCUCCGCAAGGGGGCCCACAUGACAUUGAGGGAGUUCGAUGUACCUUAACUAGGUUUUCAUCGGUCAUGUAUGGGAGUGUACUCGGGGUUACUCCACCCGAUACACCCCGUAAAAUGAACUCAGAUAAUAUUGUUUGUUCAACGCUAACCUCUAACAUAAUGAAUGAACAUGAUUAUGAUAUGAUUAUGAUAUGUUUCAAGACAAGAACAAGCUCAUGCAAUAGAAAAAGUUAUGAUGAUGUACUGUCGACGGCCUUUGUAACUCCCUGAUCGUCCAGUUUAGGAGCAUGUCAUGAAUAAGUUAUGUUUAGAUCUUGAUGCAUUUAGCGUAUCUCGACAAAGCGGUCCUAGGUUCCCUUGACCGCCAUGACAUAUAGAAUGUAAGACAAGCCUUAUGACUUAUGAUACAAAGAACCUUAUGACGGCUCUAGUAUGCACGACCGUCUGGGUAAGCAAGCUCCUCACACAUAUAAUCAACCGUCAGGUUGUAUUCUAGACACGUGGUGACCCUAGGUUUCCCCCUAGAGCCAAGUCCUUAGCUUCUAUUAUGAGUGGUUUAUGAACCUUUCAUCUUGUAGGUUGGUUGAUCUUAUUUUCGAGGUAGAGGCUUGGCUCUUAUCUUUGUUGUUCAAAAGUGUUGCAUAAAAGAGAUAAUAUGCAUUCUUUUCUAGAUAAAAGCAUAUUCAAAAUUUAAAAGAUUUAGUAGUAUAAAGAAAUUGGCACUCUGCGAUUCAAUUAUAAGGAAAGGCCUAACAUAAAGUAUAUAUUAAUUCAGGAAUCUGAUUACAAUUUUUUACUUUAGACACCUAUUUAAAAAUUCUCAAAUAAUUUAGUUACCUACAAAAUAAUUCAACCUUUUAUUAAUAUCUUUACUAUUAAAAAAAAUAUUGCAAAAUUGGAAGACGUGUUCUUUUCUAAGAUAAAAGCAUAUUCAAAAUAUAAAGAAGAAAAAAGUGUUAGUAGAUUAAACUCAAAAUUAUGUCAACAAUAUGAACAGACAGUAGUGAAGUAUCAACUUUCCAUCACUUAUCAUUCAAUAAUUGUAUCAAAGUAAACUGAUCAAUUCGUCUUUUUUUUUAUUUUUUUUCUAGAAAAAAAAGUUGGAGAAAGUUACUCUUGUGGAAUUAAGUGGUAAGUGGAAAGUGUAGAUAACGUUGGUUUGAUUAGAUUAUGUGGCAAAUGAAAUCUUAUGAGAGCAAUGCAUUGUAGGAUUUGAAACUGAAACCAUCCUUCUCAUGUCUUAAUAUAUAUCUACUAACAUUUUUCAGAUUAAACGGGUGUAAACUUUUUUCAGAUCUUAAUAUAUAUUAUAUUAUACUAACAUAUUAAAUCUCACUCCAAGUUAGGGUACAACAUAUAUAUUAGAUCUACUAGCAUUUGAAAAAGGUUACUAAGUCAAAAAUAAAUGUUACUUAAUUUGAUCUAUUAAUAACAUUUGAUAAAUGUCAGUGAAGCCCAUGUUACUGAAUGGUUUUAGUAAUCUUUGAGGGUAGUAUUAGUAACAUGCAAAAAAUGUCACCCGUUUAGUAGCUCAAUCAUCAUAGCCAAUCUCUAACAAACAAUUUUACACCGGGCCGGCUCUUGAAAUUUAGAUGCUUUGGGCGAAUCAAGAGAGUGGUGUCUUUAUAAAAAAAAAUCAACAAAAAAUGAUAAGAUUAAGAGAAAUGAAUGAAAAUACUAUUAAACAUUUCAUUUGAUAUUGUGCGAUAUGAACACAAGUAUGAAUCUUUGAAAUGUGAAACAAAUAGCUCUAAGUUAGAAUCCAUGUUCCAGAGUCUGGACUUCACUCGACAAGUUUAAUUAACUAAAGACAACAUGUUUACCAAAACACCACACAUGGAUCAUAAUUCAAUGUCGAUUCCUCAAAAGUGAAAAUUCGUUUGAUUAUUAAAUAAUAAAUAAAUUGUUUGGAAAUUGCAAUUGGCACCUACUCCUAUAUUAUGAGUUAUGAUCAAUGGUAUAAGGCACUUAUGCUCUUGGCAAUUGAUCGUUCUUGUGUUAAUAGUUGCAUAAUUGAGAUGGAGAGAUGUUUUUUGUUUACAAUUUGAGAUGGAUAGAUUAGUCAUAGAAAAUAAGAAUUAGAAAGAAAAAUGAGGAUUGCUAUAUCUCACGAAUUCUAAUUUCCCGAAUUUAUCCCGAGAGCUGUUUAACCAAUCAAAACUCAUUCUUUUCCACCAUACAAGGAAGUUAGUGGUGUAGUAGUUUUAUCUCAAUUUCACACAAUUCACGAAACCCCUUUUUUUUUUUUGGUAUAACACGAAACCCUCUUUUAAUGAUACAACCAGAAUAUUUUGUGGAAAAAAGAACAAAAACAGCACAAAAAGACAACAAAUCAUUCGGGAUACUCUGGAAAUAUUUUCUCGGGAGAUAUAACAUUUUCAAGAAAAAUAUCGUGGCUUUUAAUAUGCAAAAGCAAAAAAUCUGACUCUUAUUAUUCAUAACACUUCAUAUCAUUAUUUUAAUUUUAGUGCUUCAAUUAGAUCAUUCAGCUUUUCACUCAUGACUCAUAUGUUUAGUUGUUAAAAUUAUAGAUGUAAUUAAUAUUUUUGGUACAUGUAGUUGAUUGAUUUUAUUUUAUAUUUUAUUUAAUCACGUCAAUUAUUAGUUUUGACUUUGUAGGCCCCUGAUUUAUUUUUAUUUUUGUGGGAAGCAUAUAUAUAUAUAUGGAUAGUAAAAAUAUAUUUUUUGGUGCCCCUAAAAUUAUGGUGCCUUAGGCCGUCGCUCCCUCGAUCCGUGCUCAGGGCCACCCCUGAUUUUACAUACAGUUUUUGGUAAUUCUGAUGGCAUAAAUGUUACUAAAUUUUAGAUGCAAAUUUAGUUAAUUUUACUAGGAUAAAUAAACAAAGAUGGAAUAUAUCAUUCAUGAUCACCAUCUAGAUCUUCUACUUCAAACUUACAAAUACCAAAAUAAAAAAAUUACAAAGUGAUCAAAUUAAGAAUAAAAAAGAAAAUGGUUCUUGUCAUGUCUAGGGGUUUAAAAAUACAUGAAGUAGAAAAUAGAGCCUCAAAUGCUCAAUGGCUUCAAUAACUAUAUUAUUAACGUUUACACGUGAGACAAAUUUUGCAAGAAAAAUAAUAAGAUCAUGAAGAAUAAUAUGUUACGAUUUCGUUUUUUUACAAAAAUAAAACGAUAUUCAUUCAUUCAAAUUGAUAGAGUACAUCAGAUAUAAUAACAUGUUCAACAUCGUUAAAACGUCAACGAUGAACGUGCGAAGAAAUUUACAACAUCUAAGUUAAUAACAUAAAACGACAUAAUGUCUAUAAAUUAUAAUAUGCAAAAAUCUAAGUCACAUAAAUUCAUACUUCUAGAUCUACAAAGUUGUCGCCCAAAUCAUUAAUAGAAUCUAUGAUUGACUGAAGUCGGUCUUUUAAUAAGAAUCAAACGAACACCGCAACAAGAAGUGCAGUUAAAAGUGUUUGUUAUAUGGGAGCAUGGUUGGGACGUCCUAGCCACCCUGCCAUGCCAAAUGGGACAAAUUAUACGGGACACUGCCUUGGAAGGCUUAGCAUUGGACAGAACGCGGGGAGAGAGGGAAGAAUCUUACAUUACCAUGACCUAGACAAUGCCUGAACAAGCGUUGACCACAUGUUUAAACAUGGUCUUCCCAAGUCAUGAACAACGAUAUGAUCCACUUUCUUCUAACAAAUCUAACCAUGAAUUCUAAUUUCCCGAAUUUAUCCCGAGAGCUGUUUAACCAAUCAAAACUCAUUCUUUUCCACCAUACAAGGAAGUUAGUGGUGUAGUAGUUUUAUCUCAAUUUCACACAAUUCACGAAACCCCUUUUUUUUUUUGGUAUAACACGAAACCCUCUUUUAAUGAUACAACCAGAAUAUUUUGUGGAAAAAGAACAAAACAGCACAAAAAGACAACAAAUCAUUCGGGAUACUCUGGAAAUAUUUCUCGGGAGAUAUAACAUUUUCAGAAAAAUAUCGUGGCUUUNNNNNNNNNNNNNNNNNNNNNNNNNNNNNNNNNNNNNNNNNNNNNNNNNNNNNNNNNNNNNNNNNNNNNNNNNNNNNNNNNNNNNNNNNNNNNNNNNNNNUUAAUUAAUUUAAUUUUUAUUACUACUUGGGUUUUUUGGUUUAAUUUAAUUAAUUUACUUUAAAUUUGUUUGUUCGUUUUGGUAUAUUUACGUAAAAUUUAGUAUUCUAUGUUAAUUAUUAUAUAUAUAUAUAUAUAUAUAUUUAUUCUUCUAAUUGAAAUUUUGAUUGCAAAUGAAACCCUUGCCGACCAAAUUGGAUAUUUCUGAGAUCGCGCUUGACUAUAUGUUUGAGCACAAUGUGUAUGAUUGUUCGAUCUUAUCAAUUCACAAUAAUUAGUUUGUCGACUAUCGUUUUCUUUUGGACCUCGAUGAAAACUUCACUACAAAUUUGACUAUGAAAUUCGAUGCUAAUCUCCAACAUACGUUGGAAUUAUAUACUUCAAUGGGCCAGAUAGGUGUUAGAAUAGAAUUGGCACAUGCAAACAUAUGUAGUAGAUGGCGUAUUGUUUUGCAGAUAGCAUUAUUCAUAAUCUUCUGCAUCUUUUUGUUCCUUAGCAUGCUGCCAAUUUUGGCACUUUUGUCUUGUAUCUCAAAAAAUGUGAUACAUGCUGUCUAUAUUUUCUACCUUAGAAAUUUGGAUAGUAGUGUUUGGCCUGACUUAAUUUUAACUUCUCUUCUUCUUUAAAGAAGAAGAUGGGCCAAUCACAUUUCAUUUGAAACUCCUAAUAAAAAUAAGUGACUUAAUAUUAAGGAAGAAAAACAUAAAAAGGAGAAGUCGGCAAAUUGAACUUUAGGCAAACUUAUGCGCCUUGCCAUUUUCCACUCCUGUUUCGAAUCCCACUAGAAACAUAUUUGUCUUCUUCUUUUGUUAUUUGUUUGACAUUCAAAGCUUGUUUAUUUUUUUUAGAGGAUUCGUAAAACUUGUUCCAACUAUUUUGUUUUCUUGACUGUUCCAAUUUGUCAACUUUAUUUUUAUAAUGACAGGCAAUAUAAUUUUCAAUUUUUUUUUUCUAAUUCAAGAGUUGUAGAGUUUAUGACAUCUCAAACAAUAAAUAUUUUAAUUUAAAUAUAUAAUUUGGCAUGAUAUUUGUUUAUAUAUCGUAAAAGAAUUUAUAAUUUGAAAUAAAAUUUUAAAGCAUGGAUAUAAUCAUCAUAAAUAUAAUGUUUCUAUCGCAAAUCAAUUUCUUGAAAUUUUUUUAAUAUAUCAUUUUAUAAAAUAAAAAAAAAUACAUAAUUUACCAAACAAAUUUUAGUUUAAAAUAAAAAACUAAAGUUUCCAAACAACUUUACUUCAAGUUUACUUUGAUUUUAAAGUUGGUUCUAACCAUAAAAAAAGCUGGCCCAAACACACCCUAGAAUUGUUUUCUUUUCUCUUCGAAUUAAGUACUAGUGUGGAUAGAGAUAGUUGAUGAACAAAGAUACCAUAACUUGAGUGGGAAGAAAGAAGCAUUUCAGGCUCUGCCUAAAGUUGAAUGGUAAAGAUCAAGACAGCAAGUGGUGGAGAGAAGCAUUUUAGUCUAUUUUAAGUUUGAUGGUAAAGAUAACAUUUUGAGGUUAACUUCAUAUUAAAUGGCAAUUGUGGUUAACAAUUUAGUUAUUAAAGACAUUGAGCAUUUGAGGCUCUAUUUUCUACAUGUAUUUACCUAGACAUGACAAGAAACAUUUUCUUUGUGAUUCUUAAUUUGAUCACUUUGAAUUUUUUUUUAUUUUAGAAUUUGUAAGUUUGAAGCAGAAGAUCUAGAUGGUGAUCAUGAAUGAUAAAUUUAAUCUUUGUUUAUUUAUCCUAGAAAAUUAACUAUGGUUGAGCUACUAAAUGGGUAACAUUUUUUGCAUGUUACUAAUACUAAGGUUACUAAGACUAUUUAGUAACACAGGCUUUAACAAACAUUUAUCAAUUGCUUUUAGAUCAAAUUUAGUAACAUAUGUUUUUAAUUUAGUAACCUUUUCCAAAUGUUACUAGAUCUAAUAUAUAAGCUGUAUUGUAACUUGGAGUGAUAUUUAAUAUAUUAGUAUAAUAUAAGUUGAUUUGAUUGCUCCAAAAAAAUACUCACCGAGACAUAGAAGGAUGGUUUCAGUUUCAAAUCCUACAAUGCAUUGCACGUCUUUGAACUCCAACUUUUUUGGAUAGGAAAUUUGCAAAGAAAGAAAUCAAUUGGCUCUCAACAGAUUUCAUUUGCCAUGCACAUAAUCUAAACAAAUCAACGUUAUCUUUACUUUCCACUACAUUCCACAAGAGUACCUUUCUCCAACACUUUCUCCACUACAUUGACACAAUUAAUUAAUGAUAAGUGAUGGAAUGGAAAGUUGAUACUUCACUGUUGUCUGUUCCUACUGUUGAAAUACUUUUGAACUUAAUCUACUAACAAUGUUAAGCUACUUGGUUUUUUUUUUUUUGAGUGAAUUAAGCUACUUGGUUUAUUCUUUAUAUUUUGAAAAUGCUUUUAUCUAGAAAAGAAUACGUCUUUCAUUUUUGCAAUAUUUUUUUUUUAAUAGAAAAGAAAGUAAUAAAAGGUUGAAAUAUUUGUAGGUAACUAAACUAUUUGAGAAAAUUUAAACAGGUGUCUAAACUAAAAAAACUGUAAUCAGGUUCCUGAAUUAAUAUAUUUUUAGCAAUUAGCCCUUUCCUUACAAUUGAAUCGCAAUAGUACAAAUUUCUUUAGCUACUGAAUUAAUAUAUUUUUUGAAGAUUUAUUUUGGCACUCAAACGCCUUAUACGGAGUAUUUAGGAUUGGUUUUUUGCGGGGCAAGUACCUCUUAUACUUUUCCUGAGUUAUGGGUUAAUUAAGUACUCUUUCUACUUCUCUCCUUUCUAAUAAAUUUUGUUCUUAAAAAAUCAAUAAACUAAAAUAAACUUUACUUAGGUCCCUUGUGAACAGGGACGUUAUUAUCUAUACAUUUACUUUUCCUUCAAUUAUUAUUGUACUAAAGUAAACUGCUCUUUUCUUAUUCCUUUUAAAAAAAGUAGUAGAGAAAGGUAGUCUAGUUUGUGCAACAUUUAGUAGUGGAAAAAUAAAGAUAAAGUUGAUUUGACAUUAACUUUGUGAACUAGAACAAACUCUGAUAAGUGUCUAAAAUCAGUUGUAUCAAAUUUCCAACCCAAAGUUGGGCAGUGCAGAUUGCAAGAAACAAGUUGGUGAGUAUUUCUCUUCUUUUUGAAAAAAUAUUCAUGAAUCAUGAUAAGCUUUGAAAUAAAGAAACAAGAUCUAUUGAUAUACCUAUGGUUGUGGUGGAACACUGUUGCUAAUAUUUGUGUUGAAGCAACAAGUGAUAGUUUGAAGCCAGGUGAUAAAUUUGAUGCAAAUUCCACGCUAUAUUCAAAACAAGGCAAGUUUUGUGUACUAUUCAGCGAUAUUUUAGAAAACGAAGAUGCUCACCUGAUGGUAAGUGUCAAACGAAGAUGCAUGAUAGAAAUCAUUCCAUUGACUUAAAUUCAGCAGUUCUAUCACUAGAUUAUUCUGGUGUGCUCAAAAUAGAAUCACAAAAUAGGAAACCAAUAAUCAUUUACUCUUCACCUCAACCCAUAAACAACACUUUGGCCACUAUAUUAGACACAGGUAACUUUGUGCUUCAACAAUUUCACCCCAAUGGGUCAAAGACUGUGUUGUGGCAGAGUUUUGAUUAUCCAUCAGACGUUUUGAUCCCAACGAUGAAGUUAGGCGUUAAUCAAAAAACAGGACAUAAUUGGUCAUUGGUGUCAUGGUUGACUCCUUC
rnacentral:lncRNA from 1 species